ACUUGCUGCCUCCUAGACAUGAUGAGUACCAUACUCUUCUGAGGUUAGUUUGUCCUUAUUUAGCAGCUACAUAAACACUCUGGUCGCUUGAAAUAAAAAUGUGAGUAGUUGUAUAUAAAGUGGAGCUAACUAACCAUUCAUUUUGAAAAUCUAGAUUCUUGAAAGCGAGGGAUCUUAACAUUGAAAAAACUAUCCAGAUGUGGGAAGAAAUGCUUAGAUGGAGAAAAGAGUAUGGGACAGAUACCAUACUAGAGGUAAGCAGUCAUAGAUUUAAGUUUGACUCCAGCUUCUUUGUUGUUCCAUAUAAAAGAGAGAAGUAAUUUUCGUGUUAGUCAAUGGAUUCAACAUCAAGCUCUUAUGUUCUGAUAAUUCUAUGCAUUCGGAUGCUAGGAUUUUGAUUUCAAAGAGCUGGAAGAAGUUCUGCAAUAUUAUCCUCAAGGGUAUCAUGGAGUUGACAAGGAAGGAAGACCUGUCUACAUUGAAAGACUUGGAAAAGCUCAUCCCGCUAAGCUUAUGCGUAUCACCACCAUAGAUAGAUAUCUCAAAUACCAUGUGCAAGAGUUUGAGAGAGCUCUCCUUCAGAAAUUCCCUGCAUGCUCGAUUGCAGCCAGGCGUCGAAUUUGUUCCACGACUACAAUACUAGAUGUGCAAGGACUGGUACUUAUUCAAGCUAUUCCCAAGUUUUGGAAUUUUUCUUGCACUGUAUUAUGCUCUGAAGCAAAAUUUACUUUUUUAGCGCUUCCAUAUUCUUAGCUGUGCAGUGUCAUGUUUAAUCACAGGGCAUGAAGAAUUUUACACCAACAGCUGCAAAUCUUGUGGCUGCCAUGUCGAAGAUUGACAACAACUACUAUCCUGAGGUACUUGAGUUUCUCAAUUCAUAUGUCAAUUAUUCUUUGCAUACAUACCGGGUUGUUGCAAGUCAUCAUAUCAUUUUGCAGACGUUGCACAGAAUGUACAUUGUAAAUGCUGGGACAGGUUUCAAAAAGAUGCUUUGGCCUGCUGCUCAGAAGUUUCUUGAUGCAAAGACCAUCGCAAAGAUACAUGUACAGCUUUCAGCCUAGUUUUUCUCUUUGGUCAACUUUUGCCAUGUGUACGUUAUCUUAUUUCUGUUGCUGCAGGUGCUAGAACCUAAAUCUUUGUCCAGAUUACACGAAGUUAUUGAUUCAAGGUAGUUUGCUUUUCCAUUCAAACCGCACCUGACAAAUUUCAAAUAUCAUUUGUAGCUAUUACUUACCAGCUCCAUCGCUCUGUGCUUUUAGUCAAUUGCCAGACUUCCUCGGAGGCUCAUGCUCUUGCUUUGGCGAUGGAGGGUGUCUUCGCUCGAAUAAAGGACCCUGGAAUGAUCCUGAAAUAAUGAAGGUAAAAAUCUACAUCCUAUUAAAUUUUGCUUUUAAAUUUUUGGGCACGCUGUUCUUUCCUUACGAACUUUUAAGUAGGAGUCAGCUUAUAGUCCGGGCUUGUUCAUGAAGAUCAUUUUAAAUCUGUGCCUUUAUUAGCUCAUCUAUCAUGGAGAGUCAUCACUCUUUAGACAAAUCACCAGGAAGCUGAGUGACCCACAGAAUUCUUCAUCCUACAUAAGUAUACAUCCAUCGAAGGUAAAUGGCUAUAUCAAGCCAAUAUCUGUUUGUUUUGGAAUUUUUGUUUUUUUUUUUGUUUUUUCCAGGUAUAUAUGACAAAUUCAAAUUUGAAUAUCAGGCUAUGCAAGCUGAGACUUCUGCAGCAGAAUGUGUAUCUUGUUCUGAUGUUCCUACUUCUCUAACUGGAAGGGUGUGCGCAGCCUCUGCUCAUGUGAAUCCAGCUUAUGAGGAAGUGAGUUCUUGUGUUGGUACAUUUUGUGUCACAGACCACACUAGUUAUCUUAUCACUGACCGGAAAAAUAUGAUCUAUGCAGGCAAGGGCAUCAGAUGUUAAUGGCUAUUAUAGUUGCGAUGACAAGUUUGCCAUACCUAACAAAGCUACUAACCGAAAAGGCCAAGAAAGGCAAUCCCACUACCAAAUGCUGGAACUCAAUCAAACAACACUCGGUUUAAAACAUGAAACAUCUCCACCAGGUUAUACUGCUAACUCAUGCUUUGCUGCUAAAAACAUAUUCCUUUGUAAUUUUCUCACCUUUUGAAUUUCAUCUUCCCUCUGGUACCUUCCAGGUGCUCCCAUCAUACGAUGGCUUCAUGAUUUAAGGGGAACAAUUGACAGCAUAAAAUCUGAGAACCUAGCCAAAAGGGUACUCUCGUUUAUGCUGAAACUAGCAGCAGUUUUCCGUUAUAUCCCGUUUGAGCUUUCGAGAAGACAAAACACCGUUACUCCUUCAAACCCAACAGAAGAUAAUAAUAGGAGAAGCCUCAUUCCAACUUCUACAGAGCUCACAAUGAAAGACCGGAUUCUUCCGUGUUUGGAGCGUAUUCAGAAGCUGGAGAAAAAGUAUGAGGAAAUCCGGAACAAACCCGUUGAAAUUCCCGUAGAGAAGGAGAGAAUGCUGUUGGAUUCUCUUGACAGAAUAAAAUCGGUUGAGUUUGAUCUUGUUAAAACAAAGAGGGUAUUAUGAUUUUCCUUUGUUUUUCUUCACAAACUUACUUAGAAUUACAGUAUGGACUUGACAUGUUCGAUGGUUGCAGGUUUUGCACGCCACAGUGAUGAAGCAGAUGGAAAUAACCGAAAUGCUGGAAAGUUUAAGAGAGUCCCAACUUCACGUAAGUCCUCGAGAUUAUGACGCUAUAGUGAACAAGAUUUGCGAUGAGCUAACACCUGCAGAUUGUUGUUUGUGCAGAGAAGAAGAUUGUUCUGUUAGAAACCAUUAGAGAACAUCUGAGUUUUGCAUAAAAUACAGCUCCAAACUUCUGCACAUACAGAGAGAGAAAAAAAAUCCAAUAAACAAACGGUGUUAGUUUCUUAAUCUCCUUCCUCCUCUAACUUCUGUUAUCUUUCUUUCCUCAUAGGUCCAUCUGCUUCCACUUUUAAAUUAAAAAAGAAGAAGAUAGGGACAGUGAAAAUCUUUGAUGUUCGAUCUUGUCGUUGAUAAUGUAGAUUGAGAUCAGAGUUGAAGUAUCAAGCUGAUUUCCAAACCCUUUUGUUGUAAUCGGUGUAGAGAAGAAACUACACUAGAAGAAAAAAAAAGAAUCGUAUGAGAUUUUGUAAAUCUUUUUUAAGGUAAUAUGAUGAGGAAAACACUACCGAGUCUCUAAUGUCUUUACUCUAUGAAGAGAAUCCAUUUGUUUAACAUGAACGCAACAAGAAACAAAAUUGUGAAUGGUUAUACUAUAAUCAUGUAGUACGAUUAUUUAGGAAUCUGGUGCAUCUUGUAGUUGUUAUAGGUAGAUUGUGUAAAAUAUUUACAUAAUUCCAAAUAUCCGAAUGCAAAUGAUAUAAAAGUCAAAUCAGCCCUCGUAAACUUGAUUGAAUACGAGAGACACCCGAAUUAUGGAAGGGUAAGAUUGUAAACAAAGGAUGAUGAAAGUGUAAGGAAUUUUAAAAUCGGGGAAAAAUCGGGACCGUCCUUUUCCACUGAUGUAAGCCUGUGAACGAAGAAGAUAAAUUUCCCUGUCUUCUCUCUCUCUCUCUCCUUCUCCGUUCUUGUUUUCUGAAUUCGCUCGAAAUCGAUCUCAACGCCAAUCCAAUGAUGUUUUAUAUUCGACCCCAAACUUAAAUUUAGAAACCACAAUUUCUCGAAGUCAAUCCGUUUUCAUUUUCACGAAUUGCAUCGCCAGGUGAAUUUGUUGAUCCUAUGUUUUGUACGCCUUUGAUUGCCAUGUUGCUGAGUUUUUGGAAUCGUGCUCCGCUUUUGUUCUUAAUUCGAUAUCACGAUUGCUUACGCAUGUGCGGGUUUUCAUUUGGUUUCGCUUUUCCCUCCGCGGCUUUGUGAAUUUGAACUUUUAGUGCGUCGUAGCCGAAUCAGGGGCUGUUUUCUUCGUUUCGUGUGGGAUGAGGCUACGAUUUUAAUAUUGAACUUGGGAAUACACUUUAAUCUUUGUCCAGAGGGCUCCUAGUACCUAAGCGCUUUGCUUGUUGGAUAUUGUUACUCUCUGGCAUAUUGUCUUGACUAUGAAUUCGCUAGAUCUUGUUUUAGAUGUUGCAGCUCAAGCAAUAUGUACAGAUAGUUAUGGUCUUUUGAAGUCUUACCUAAGAUAGUGUCUUUAUAUGUUAUUGUUCACUUUAGGUCCCUAUUUUGAGCCUCAUCCUUGUGAGUAGGAAUAUUAAGCUUCCUACUAUUGUAGCUUCUGUGGUCCCUUGCUUUGAGAGUUCAGUAAUAGAGGUACUUUUCUACAUGUUAAGGCCCUGUUUAUCAACUAAAAAAAAUGUCCAAUUACCACCAAGAGGAGGAUGCUGAUUACAUGGACGAUGUGGAUGAUGAAAUGGAUGAUGUGGUUGACGAUGAUAUAGAUGACGAGUUUCGCGGGGAUGAUAUGGUUGCAUCGGAUUCCGAUGUCGACGAGUUUGACUACUCAGUAAGUGUGCCUGUACCUGUAAGAAGUCUAUUAAUGUAAAUUUAUUUGUGCCAUUCUUGAAUGCUUUAUGUGAAUUGUAUAGCUAAUAAUAAUAUCGGUUCAUAAUUAGGAAUUCAGUUUUUUUCGAUGUUGUUGCAAUCGCUUACUCUACUGUGUGGACUCUUUGGUUUCAGAAUAAUAAAAUAGCUGACACUUCAGCUGAUCAAGCCCGGAAAGGGAAAGACAUUCAGGGGAUUCCUUGGGACAGGCUUAGUAUUACACGUGAGAAAUACAGACAAACUAGACUAGAACAGUACAAAAACUACGAAAAUGUUCCCAAUUCUGGGGAAUCCUCGGGGAAAGUAAGUCUUUCAUUCUCUGACCCUUAAGCCUUUGUCGACUUGUUUUACUAGUAUUAGUUUACAUAUCAUUCAUUCAUUUGUUUAAUGACCUCAGGAUUGCAUGGUCACGCAGAAAGGGGCCAUUUUUUAUGAUUUCUGGCGGAAUUCAAGAUCUAUCAAAUCAAGUAUUCUUCAUUUCCAGGUUACCAUCGAAGCAUAGCUAUUUUUGUUAUUCAAAGUUCUUUUUGGUAGCUCAGUCGGUAUGCCAUGUGUUUGGUUUAUAGGAUGUACAAAUUGCUACAACUGUCCACAAAAGUUGAAAGAAAUUGAUUCGUAGAACGUUUGCUGUGCUAAAAAGCAUGUACGUGGACUUCUAAUAAAAAGUCGUUUUCUUUGGUUUGUAGUUGAGGAAUUUGGUUUGGGCAACUUCUAAGCACGAUGUCUACCUUAUGUCACAAUUUUUGGUGAGCCACUAUUCUACUUUGACAUCUGGAAAGCAUGAAGUUCUCAAUGUUCAAGGUCAUGUUUCCCCAUCCGAGGUUAGUUUCUUCUGGAAUCGUGAAAGAUUCUUGUAAAUCUACAUCAGUUAAUGAUGAUUUUUUCUUUCUUUUCUUGUGUGGGUGCAGAAACACCCUGGAAGCUUGUUGGAGGGAUUUACGAAGACUCAAGUGAGUACACUUGCAGUGAGAGAUAAAUUUCUAGUUGCUGGCGGAUUUCAAGGAGAACUUAUCUGCAAGGUAAGCUCUAGAGUUUUACGAAUCAUGCAUUUCACAUACAUGCAAUCUGAUCAAGGAACUUCAUCUGUUUCCCCAUUGAUUUGAUUCAGCACCUUGAUAGACCUGGUGUGAGCUUUUGUUCACGUACAACUUAUGAUGAUAAUGCUAUCACCAAUGCAAUUGAGAUUUAUAACAAACCCAGGUAUUUACUUGUCUUUUGGUCGAUGUAGUUUUUGCCAACUUGGGCAAUUUACAGCUUCUAACUUGCCUUUUGGCGUCUGCCUGGCUUCAGUGGAGCGCUUCAUUUUACCGCAUCAAAUAAUGAUUGUGGAGUCAGAGAUUUUGAUAUGGAGAGAUAUCAGCUUGUACACUAUUUUCGCUUUCCUUGGCCAGUGAAUGUAAGUUCCUUACUUGUUUCUUGAUUCAUUGUUUCUGCUUUGUCAUAAGUCGAUCAGUCACACUUGGGACAGUAAGUUUAAGUCAUAACUACGGUAUGGAAUCUGACAUCUUUUACAUCAUGAAUCAUUUAACUAAAAAAUGGAUCAUUUUUUAUUCUUGUCAGCACACAUCUCUGAGUCCUGAUGGUAAAUUAUUGACGAUUGUGGGAGACAACCCGGAGGGCCUUCUCGUAGACCCCAACACGGGAAAGGUGCAGAUACUAUCAUCUCUAUGUUCAAUUACUAUGAAAUAAAUACGCUCUUUCUUUCUAACUCAAUUGGAUCAUUUCCGACAGACACUGGGAACGCUAGCAGGACACUUGGACUUUUCCUUUGCAUCGGCAUGGCACCCAGAUGGGGUCACAUUCUCCACAGGUAACCAAGACAAGACAUGCCGGGUUUGGGACAUACGUAACCUGUCUAAAUCUGUUGCUGUCUUGAGGGGUAACCUCGGGGCAAUCAGAUCCAUCCGCUACACAUCUGAUGGGAGAUACAUGGCCAUGGCUGAGCCGGCAGACUUUGUGCAUGUCUAUGACGUCUCAAAAGAGUAUGAAACAGAGCAAGAGAUCGAUUUCUUUGGGGAGAUCUCGGGAAUAUCCUUUAGCCCUGACACAGAAGCGCUCUUCAUCGGUGUUUGGGACCGCACUUACGGUAGUCUCCUUGAGUAUGGUCGGCGCCGUAACUACUCCUACCUUGAUUCAUUUCUUUAAUCAUUCACUCACAAUAAUAAAAGAGCGUUCCUCACUCUCCCGUGGCUGGCUUUGUUCAACCGAGAAACCCGACCAAGAGAAAACGUUAAAAAGUGUAUAACUGAAUCUCUCUAAUGGUGUAAAUGAUGUGUUGUGCAAUUACUAGUUAAGGGCCAUGGCUAUGGGUAUAGAAAAGAAACAUUUGCCUGAGCCCAUUUUUUAAUAAAAUUUUGAAGACUCCAUUUGAUUAAUUGCUAAUUUUUAAAAUUUUCAAUUGAGUUUUGUUUACAUUAGCAACUAAUUAAAAAGAUUAAUUUAAGUGGAGUGAAUAGAAAUUAGGCGCAUUUGUUUUUGCAAAUCUUGUCCCAUGGCAAGUCUGAGCGUUUGCAUCUAUAUCAAUUAGAUAUGGAUUAAAACUAACAAAAGAGAAAGUAAGGCGUUGAAAGAAAAACCGUGUAAACUACGAGGGCUUCAACAAAAACUAUAUGACUGAAAAAUCUCAUAAUCCAGAAAGAACCAACGAGAUAAUGCCACAUCAUCAACCCGAAAUCGUAUCCUCACAAACAAAAUCCUGUUUCGUCUCCUGAUGACCCAGAGAAGCCAAAACCGAUCCCUAAGAUCAUAAAUCCAAAACCACUCAUUUCUAAUUUGCACUCCAAAAGAAGAAGAAGAAGAAGAAGAAGAAACAAUGGCGACAAGUGCAUCUGCUUUGCUCUCUCCUUCAACAUUCUCCACUGCAAUCUCCCAGAAAAACCCAAACUCCAUCUCAUUCCAUGGCCUCCGUCCUCUCCGCCUCGGUGGCUCCUCCUCCGCCUUACCCAAGCUCUCCACCACCACCGCCGGAAGAAAAUCCUCCUCCGCCGUCGUGAGAGCCGAGCUAAGCCCAUCCGUCGUUAUAAGCCUCAGCACGGGUCUCUCCCUCUUCCUCGGCCGAUUCGUUUUCUUCAACUUCCAGAGAGAGAAUGUGGCCAAACAGGGCUUGCCGGAGCAGAACGGUAAAACCCACUUCGAAGCCGGCGAUGAUCGUGCCAAGGAAUACGUCAGCCUCUUGAAAUCCAACGACCCGAUUGGAUUCAACAUCGUCGAUGUUCUUGCUUGGGGCUCUAUUGGCCACAUCGUUGCUUACUACAUCUUGGCCACUUCUAGCAAUGGCUACGAUCCCAGCUUCUUUGGCUGAUAUUCAUUAUUCUCCAAUCUCUGUCUCCUAUAUGAAUGUAUAUCUUUGACUUGUAUCGCAAGCUAUCUAAUAUAUUCUCUAUCUUUGUUUCUUCUUCUUCUUCUUCCUCCCGUCGUUGUUGUGUCUUGUCCAAGGUUUCUCUCUCGCGUUGCAACUGUUGUUAUGAUUAAUUUUGCCAUUCACAAAGACUGCUUAGGUUCUUCACCUUAUGCUGGUUUAAGUCCAACAUUAGCAGCCUAGCACAAACUACAUGCAUUUCAUUACUACAAACGAUUUUAUGGGUAAUAACAUGUCUUAGAAACUUAUAAGUUGGCCAAAUGUUCAAAGAAAACAAAACUCAUGUAAUGUAAAAGUUGCCAAGAACCUAUGGCCAAGUCUACAACUUAUUGAUUAAAUUAAAGUUCUCAAACAGAAACACAAAAACAGAGAGAUCAAAAGUUACAAACAGAGAAGACAACAACAGAGAAUCACUUAGAGACCCGGCUCAGCCACAUUUUCAGCUGCAUCAGUAGCAGCUGCACUUUCCGCCGCACAAGACUCAAUGAAAGAUUUGUAUUCGGACAUCUCUGUGCGAUACCUCUCCACAUCCUCAAGCCCUUUAUCUUGAUAAACCUGUUCAAAAAAUCAUUAUAAACAGAUCCAUUUUAAUCUCAUUUAAGAUAAAAAGAAACUUGGAAUCCUCAUGGAAAAGAGAGAGUUUUGAUUUACGUUUCUGUGUUACCUUUCUAUCAGAUUCAGAGAGAUUGCUCCACAAGUUCCCAAUUUCUUUAAUGAGAAACCGCUCUCGUCCGGCGUACUCAUGUUUAAGCCUCUUGUACUGCUCGGAAAAGAAGAAGUUAUAGCCGCUCCUGUGGAACUUGGGUCGACGAGAAUCCAUCUGAGAUGAUUUUGAUUUCUUCUUGCGUCUUCGAGUUUCAACACAAGUUUCAGGAAUGUGGUAAAGCACUCCUUUAAGCUCUUCUGAGCCCAUCUUCAUGGUUACAAAAUACCCGUCCUUGAAUUUCCCAUCGAUGAUCCCGUUCACCGGGCAGCCAGGUUGCAGUUCCUCAGUGUCUGUGACAGUUUCAGAAUGCAAAAUCUCAAACACUCCAAAGCUUGAUAAAAAUGGUUAAGUAUAAAGGCAAAAUAUGAAACUCAAGAAACAUAUGGAAAAAAAAUAGCGACUUUAAUUAGCAGCUGAACUACAUUGAAAGCUUCAAGUAUUUUAGUACCUUUGUCAUGAUGUGCAGAUUUUUCGACAAGGCGCUUCACUGCUUCUUCUGAGAAAAAAAAAGGGAGAACGGUGGCUAUGUUAAUCUCGAGUCUCCAUGGAGAAUUAGAAAGAGGCAUAUAAGAAAAAACAUUAUUAUUUUUGGGUAUUUGUUCAGACCUCUCGCCGAGAAUGAAGAAAUUGGCUCUUGGAAGAAAUACACAUGCUCAAAUUCAAAGAGCAUUUUCAGAUAAUACUUCUUUAAAACAAAUGCUGCAUUUGUCAUCUUAAAAUUAAAUGUUCCAAUCACUUCUUUGCAUUUGCGAUCCUUGAUCACCUAAGAAUCAAAAAGGAUUUAAAGAAAAAUUUGUAUGUAAACAACAAAAAAAAAAAAGAAGAAAACUUCAAAAACUUUCAUGUUCAGUGGAACUAUGAACUCAGAUACCUGUUCAAUACCACCUCGACUUGUGACCUCGACGAAAAGCCGAUGCAAAUCGAGUCUGUUUCCGCCCACAAUAGGAAUCCUUUACAAAUCAUGUACAAAAGGCAAAAUCAUUGACAGUUUUCUUUUUUCCUCCAUGAAAUGAAAUAAAAUCUUCUUCAAUAAAAAAAAAAAAAAAAUAUAGAGAUCCACUGAAGCACAAACAAACAUACCCACCCAAAGAAGAUAUUCAUGAUAACCACAACAACACAUUUUAAGAACUCCUUUUCAGAGCCUACCAUUACUAGAUUCUAAUAUAAACCAAAUCCAGUCUGAUUCUAAACAGUUCAAGAACUAAAUGGAUCCAAUGUAAUAAGACAUACAUAUUCCCGAAUAUAAUUCCAUUAAUUAAACCCUGAUUAACUACUGCACCCAAAUCUAUCAUCACCCUUGCAAUCUAAACAAAAUACGAGUUUUAAACAACCACCACACGGCGGAUUACGAACAAAAAUCUCUAAUAAAUACACAGGAAAAUCAUUCAAAUUUUAAUGCAGACUAGGUUUUUCUCCAUCCACGAUUGUAGUAAACCAAUAAUUUCUUAUAGAAACGCAAAAUCCACAAAAAAAAAAUAUAUAUAUAUAUAUAUAGAAGAAUCGUCGAUCUAAAAAACUUACUUCAAAGUUCUGUCAGAAUAUCCGAGAAAAUCCCGGAGCUUGUCCCAGAAAAGAUCAGAGUUCCGGACAAGAUCCUCGUACGUAGCAGCGGGAGAGGAAACGUCGAUGCUCUUGCUGUCUGAAGAGGAAGAGCCAUAAGCGGGAACUAGUUGGAAUUGCGAAUGCUGUGAAAUUUCGGUCGACAUCAAAAAUUCUUUUUUCUUUUUUGGCGGGCGGUUAAAAGGUUGAAAUGAAAAGAUGUUGCUAGCUAAUAACCUUCAAGUUCAAUGGUAAAAAUUAACUUCAUACAUGAUUAUAUUCUACCAGUGAGAAUUUAUUAAGGGAAAGCAAUGCAAUAUUUUCUUCUUAUCUGGAAUUAGGGGCUAAUAUGUAUUAUAUAGAGUUUUUCUUUUUUUCUCCACCAAUUAUAAAUUUACUUUUCUUGAUUGAUAAAGGGUAUUCAAUUAAAAUGCAAGUAAAGAUUACACAAAUAAAUUUACUUCAUUUCUUUUUUUAAAUAGUCUAUAUACGCGUAUAAAUUUAAGUUUAUAACUAAAAAUAAGAUGUUGAAUAACGAUUUUUGGCAAUAAUUUUAAAUGUAGUCAAUCAGAUAAAUAUUUACCGAAGCCAAGUGAAUUAUUUUAUAAACUAGAGUUUGACUCCGCGCUUUGCGCGGAUUUAUUUUAUAUUCAUAUUUUUAUAUUUUAUAUGUUAUUUUUUAGAAAAUAAUUUAUUUGUUAGUUGUCUUUUCUUAGUUUAAUAUUUUUUAUGUUUGUAUUGUAUUAACAUGCAUGUGUUUUCUUAUUUCUCUUUAUUAGUGAUUAUGUAUAACAACAUAUUUCUUUUAAUUAUAAUUAUGUUAUUAACUUCUAUUUAAAUAAAUUUUCUUGUUCAAAAACUCUUCUGUUAAUAUUUUAUUUCUUUUACUUUUAUCUUUUGUCUGUUAUUAUUGUGUGAUUCUAAUUACAGUUUUAAAAUUUACUUUUAUUUUACACCAUCUCAAUUUUUUUAUAAAUUUUGUUAACUUAUGUUUAAUUUUAAUUUAUUUUUCUAUUAUAUGUUAUAUGUUACUAUUUUGUAGUUUUAAUUGAAAAUCUUUUAACAUUAAAAUUAUUGUGUGAGAAGUUUAUAUCAAAUUCUAAUUUAUUUACCACUUUUUCUUCCCAAAAUUUAGCAUAUUUUAAAUAUUUUGCUUCUUUAAAUCCAUUUUAGUAUUACAAUUUGAUGAAAAUAAUUCUCAAGCAUGUGUUUUUUAAUAAAAUAUUUUUAGUUCAGUUAGUAUUACAAUUUUCUUUAAUUUUUAAUCCAGUUAAUUUUUUUAUUUGGUUAAACUUAUACUAAAUAUACUAAUAAUAAAUAUAAAUAGAGAUGUAUUAAUUUUUUUGUUGAUGUGAACAUCUUAGAUGGAGAGAAACCUCUUUCAUUAUAUAAUAGAUUAUAAUUUGCAUUAAAAAAUAGCCAUUUUAUUUUUAUUAAAGCUAGUGUUUUUAUUAAAGCUAGUGUAUCAUUUUUAAGAAGAACAUUUUGUUAAUUUAUCUUACUCCAUUUAAGUAAUUCUUUAUUCAAACCCACGUACACCUCUUCAUAUAUGGCUUCUUCCAUAUGAUCAAAUUACUUACAGUUUUAUAUCCACAAUCACAACUUAUCUGAAUCACUUCAUUUGGGAAGUGUGCUGUAAGAUGUUUUACAUGUCAUCCACGUUAUCGCGGUUUACUGGAGUUAGAGUGGAUUUGGAUGGUUUCUAACUUUCGAUUUGAUAGAAAUUAAGAUUUAUAAACAUUCUUUUCUCGGAUUUAGUAUAUAUAAUUAGUACAUCAGAAUAUAAGUUUCCCUUGAUCCUCGCAAGGAUCAAAAAGCAUGAACAGGAGCUUCAUAGCCAUAUAUCCCUCUGCCAAAAGAGAUGAGCAGAGGUCUACAAGGAGAACAUCAAUGGCUUACAGGAUGAUACAGAAAACAUAACUAAUAAGCUUUUGAACGAUCCGAGCGUACUGAAUAACAAAAACACCAACUGAGAAUAUAUCAAGUUUAUGACUACAAUGUUCCUAUAAGAAGACUAAUAAAGACUACAAUGAGAGGAGCUGGUAUACCUUUCUUGCAGCCAGCUUUGAAAGAUGUUCACUCUUUGAUCCGGUACACACCUAAAAUUGGACGGCAUACAAAUGCUACAUUAAAACAGAACAUGGUAUAUCAAUCCAUAUGAGCAAAAGUGACCAAACAUGCUAUAAACCUGUAUAUAACAUACCAUUUUCCCACAAGCAAAAAUUGUUAAGUUGUGGUAUGCCAUACCAUAAGCUAUGGUAUUGUCAAAUUAUGGUAUAUAUGGCAUACCAGUCCAUGGCUUAACAAAUAUCAACGCUGUGGUCUUUGGCUCUCUUCUCCUCAUGAUAACAGCAGCAAAACGCUCAAACAUGAAAAAACAAAAAAGAUUAGAGCAAAUUUGAGAAUACAAAGAAAGUAGUACAAGUAGCUAUAGCCAAUCAAUAAUGAGAAAGGUAAAAUCAUCAGACCAAUUAUCUCCAUUUUUGUAACCAUAUAUGCUUACAAUGCUUUGAGAUCACUUACACUUGAAAAAGCACUGAAAAUAUAUCAAGUUUGUGACUACAAUGUCCUUAAUUAAAAGAAGAAAAUCAGACUAAAAUGAGAGGAGCUGGUAUAAUCUAGACCCUAAACCUCUUUUCUAAAACUGUUUACACCUCUUCUAAAAUUGAUAUUUAUCUAUUAUUUGUUUGUCAAUGCACGGAACUGGUGCAAAGCUCCUUCACUCUAGUAUACUGCUACUUAACAUUUAGCUGUAAUCGGGUGAAGUUGAUCAACAAAAGUUCAUACUAGGUUCCUGGGAUCUUUUUCGCUCACUCUCUUUGUCCCAGAGUUAAAGCGGCUUAUUAAUGCCUCAACUGCAUGUAAUGGUACCGAUUAGUGCUUGUACAAUUUUGUUGUGCCUACACAUACCUGAACUAUUAAUAAUGUGAAUAUUCAUACCUGAACUCAAUUUUUUUUUGCUGAAACAUACAUUGACUUUUUAAUUGUUAGUCAAUUCCGUCAAUUUGUUAAUGGAGCUGAGUCAUUUGCCACGCUGGAAUCUCCGUUAGACAGAUAUAUAUAAAACGAUGUCGUUUUGAAUUUAAAAAAAAUUUAAAAAAGGUUUAAAAUUCCAAGAAUCGAUUCUUGUAUCUCGCUCCAAGAAAAAUGCCCAGUAACCACUACACCACAUAUUGUUUUCAAAAUUAAAGCGCACCAUCAAAUAUAUGUACUAGGCGUAAAAAAAAUCUCUAGUAAAAUCUCUUUCUUUCUCUUUCGCCAGUGACUCGCGACAAUCAGGUCUGAAUCAUCCUGAGGUGUGAAUCCAUGUCAGAUGUAAAUCAAAUGAAAUCGUUGAAACCCAGAUAAAAAAUCCAAAUUUUUCAACACCCAUCUUAAUCCAACAAGAGAAAAAUUUGGAAUUUACACAGAUUGGGAGAAAGAUUCAAUCAGAAAAACCUGGAAUUUUUUCUUUGGGCUGGUUUUGUUUGUGGGUUCUAUGAUCUAAUUUUGUUUAAUUUGAAGAAUAGUUUACAUAAUUUAAAGAUUAUUUCCUUUUUUGGUUGAAUCUCGGUUCGAAAAUCACGAGAAUCUAGGUCAAAUCUAGAUCUUUUUCCUUUCUAAUAGCUAAUAGCUGUGUAAGUAUUAAAAUAUGUAAUAUUUUGCUUAAUAUUAAUAAUUGUAAGUGGCGUAUCGGUAGCGUAGCUUGAGUUGGUGGAGGACCACGGUUCAAAUCCCCUCAGAUUUGAAUAACUUUUUUUUUAAUUUCAAAACAUCAUCGUUUUAUAAAUAUAUGUCUAACAGAGAUUCCAGCAUAGCAAGUGACCCAGCUCCGUUAACAAUUUGAUGGAGUUGACUAACGAUUAAAAAGUCAAUGUAUAUUUCGGCCAAAAAAAAUUGAGUUCAGGUAUAAAUAAUCAUAUUAUUAAUAGUUCAGGUAUGUAUACACUAAUCGGUACCAUUACAUGUAGUUGAAUAAGCCGUUUUCCCGAGUUUUGUAUGUACCCUAUAGCCUAAAAAAGACUCGAAUAGACGUGGACCAUUCUACCCUUGAACUCUCACCUCCUUUGUCUCCUCUCGGCCUGCUCUUCCUUCUCGUAAUCAAUCGUCAAAUUCAGAUGGAAUUCGCAGAGAUCUAGAUCCCCACCAAGUUGCUUAAUCUUCGAUAGUUUGAUGGGUUUUUGCGAUGAUGGGAACCCGAGGCCCCUGGUGAUAUUUUCGUCUUUGGAUUUAGGUUUAUCGAGUCCGGUCAAUUUCUUUAAUGUGGCAGAGAGAUGAUGAAGAGGCGUCAAUGUUGGAUUGAGCUUAAAUAUGAACUCUGUAAUCCAUUCCGGCACAAGUGUUGUCCGUAAAGCUUCUCACUUUCUCUCAGUCUCGAGGAAAUUCUUCUGCGAUGGUAGUAGCAUCGUUGGUGAUGAAACCGAUAAUGGUAUCGAAGAGCCUUUGAAGGUAACAUGGGAAUCUUCGGAGAUGGAUUGUGGGUUUGCCGAGGAACGUAAAGAAAGCUCCGGUCUUGAGGAAACCUCUGUUAGGAGAAGGUUUUUGGAAGGUGCUAAGCUCGGUGCUUCCCAGGUUCUCAGUACUUUACAGCAAGAUUGUCCCGGAUUCAAUACGAAAUCAGCUUUAGAUGAGUUGAAUGUUCCAAUCUCAGGACUUUUGGUGAGAGAGGUUCUUGUUGGGAUUCUAAAGACUCUGAGCUUUGAUAACAAGACAAGGUGUGCUAAGCUAGCUUACAAGUUUUUUGUGUGGUGUGGUGGACAAGAUUGUUUCAGGCAUACGGCCAAUUGUUAUCAUCUACUUAUGAAGAUCUUUGCAGAGUGUGGUGAGUAUAAAGCCAUGUGCAGGCUAAUAGACGAGAUGAUCAAAGACGGUUAUCCAACAACAGCACGCACUUUCAAUCUCUUGAUUUGCACAUGCGGCGAGGCAGGCCUUGCAAGAGAAGUCGUGGAGCAGUUCAUAAAGUCGAAAGCUUUCAACUACAGGCCUUUCAAGCACUCGUACAACGCGAUUCUGCAUUCGUUGCUAGGUGUGAAACAGUACAAGCUGAUUGAUUGGGUUUACGAGCAGAUGCUAGAAGACGGGUUUUCACCUGAUGUUCUGACUUACAACAUUGUAAUGUUUGCAAGCUUUAGGUUAGGAAAAACAGAUCGGCUUUACAGGUUGCUUGAUGAGAUGGUUAAAGACGGGUUUGCUCCGGAUUUCUACACAUACAACAUCCUCCUCCACCACCUAGCCACAGGGAAUAAGCCUCUCGCAGCUCUUAACCUUCUAAAUCAUAUGGGGGAAGUAGGAGUAGAGCCCUCUGUGAUCCAUUACACUACUCUGAUAGACGGGCUUAGCCGAGCCGGGAAGUUGGAAGCUUGCAAAUACUUUAUGGACGAGAUGGUGAAAGUUGGAUGCUUGCCUGAUGUUGUUUGUUACACUGUUAUGAUUGCUGGUUAUAUAUCAGGUGGGGAGCUCGAGAAAGCCGAGGAGAUGUUCAAAGAGAUGACUGAAAAGGGGCAACUCCCAAAUGUUUUCACGUACAACUCCAUGAUCCGCGGGUUUUGUAUGGCCGGGAAAUUCAAAGAGGCAAGUUCUUUACUCAAGGAAAUGGAGUCGAGAGGGUGUAAUCCUAACUUUGUGGUGUAUAGUACGCUGGUGAACAAUCUUAGAAACGCAGGGAAGCUUUUAGAGGCUCACGAGGUAGUCAAGGACAUGGUGGAGAGAGGGCAUUAUGUUCAUCUAAUUUCCAAGCUGAAAAAAUAUAGAAGAUCCUAGUUCUCUAUAUUUUGUUUUGUUUCAAAAGGCAAUUUUGUGGUGUGGAUUAAACAAAUAUAUAGCUGUUCUCGUUUUAUCAUGUUCAGUAUCCUUUCUCAAUUCUCAAACAUGUUUAGCACAGUGUUCUAUAAUUUAACACCCAUUGUUUCAAUAGAUUGAAAUAACUAACGAAAAAAAAUAAAAGUAUCGUCGACAGCAGGGUUCGAACCUGCGCGGGCGAAGCCCAACAGAUUUCAAGUCUGUCUCCUUAACCACUCGGACAUAUCGACUUGUUUGAAUCAAACGAACAAAGCCUUAUAUAGUCUUUAAAUAUUCGUACAGAAUGACGAACUUAGCCCAAUAAAAGCCCACAAAUGCUGGCUUGGAUCCUCUAGCUCAGAGUGAGGGUACUCUUACGACGUAUGCCACGUGUUACGUUAACGAGACGGUAAAAAUAAUUCUCGGAAUCUGAAAUCCGAUCAAAUCUGAAGAAAACCGGCGAAGAAUCUCUGAGGCGUAGAGUGUAUUUCAUCCCGAAGACGAACCAAGAGAUUGGUGAUAUCGUGAACUAUCACUGCGACGGCGAGGGAUGAUAUGUUGUUGGUAACGGAGGCUAGGAAUUAGAUAUGUCAUCGGGAGGAGCCGGAGAGUACAACGAAGACAGGCAUCUGUUGCGAUCCACCGACGGCGAUGAAGUUAGCAUUGGCGCAGGAGACGAUGAUCUCGAUGUUGAAUCUCAGUCUCCGGCUAUCAGGAGUGGAAGCGGAGGAGUUAGGGAUCUGUUCAAGCAUCUGGAUCGGAGAUUUUCUCUCUCCGGGCGUCGUCUAAGCUUCAAACGGAUGGAGAAUAGCAGAGUUGAUAGGGAGCACCACCAUCCUUCUUCUUCUUCACCGUUUUCGGCCGGUGUGGUUGGUGGAGUAGAAGAUGGCGGUGGUAUCAGUAAUUUACAUAGCGUCGACGAUCGCGAUUACCGGAAUGAUGAGUUCGGUUCUGAUGAUGGCAACGACGUGCUCGGAGAUAGUGCUCCACCUGAGUGGGCUCUGCUUCUCAUCGGCUGUCUUAUCGGUGUUGCCGCUGGAAUUUGUGUCGCCGGCUUCAAUAAAGGGGUAUGUAUGGUCAUACAUUCAUACAUCAGAUCUCGAUCUAUUUGAAUCUAGAUCGAUUCGACUGAACAUCAACAGUGAAUCCUGAUAAAUGCGAAUUACGCUAAACUUUUAUGACUGCUGAUUCAAUAGAGUAGUGUUUUUGUCUAGGUUCAUGUCAUUCACGAGUGGGCAUGGGCUGGUACUCCGAACGAGGGUGCUGCUUGGCUUCGUCUACAGAGACUAGCCGACACUUGGCACCGUAUUCUUUUAAUUCCUGUCACUGGAGGUGUGAUAGUUGGAAUGAUGCAUGGUUUGCUCGAGAUCUUAGACCAAAUCAGGCAGUCCACUUCUUCUUCUCAAAGACAAGGAGUCGAUUUUCUUGCUGGUAUAUUUCCAGUGAUUAAGGCCAUCCAAGCUGCUGUGACCCUUGGUACAGGAUGUUCACUUGGUCCCGAGGGACCUAGCGUCGACAUUGGAAAGUCCUGUGCCAAUGGUUUCGCCCUCAUGAUGGAAAACAACAGAGAAAGGAGAAUAGCUCUCACUGCAGCUGGGGCGGCUUCUGGGAUUGCAUCUGGUAUAAUCUAAGACCCUACCUCUUUUCUAAAAAUGCUUACGCCUGCUCUAAAUUGAUAUUGGUUUGUUAAUGCAUGGAACAGCAGCGUAGCACCUUCACUCUAGUACUUAACAUUUAGCUCUAACCAGCUGAAUUUGAUCAGCAAAUGUCUGUACUAGGUUCCUGUGAUGUUUUUUCGCUCACUCUCUUAGUCCCAGGAUUUGUAUAGCCUACAAAUGUGUCUAUGGAUCUUAGGCUCUAGUACUAGACAAAGCAUUUUGCUGAGAGUAGUUGAUGAAAAAUAGUUCUGGUUGAAGUUAUAUUUGUGAAGUAAUGGUGUUUCUUACUAGAGAUGUGAGCACCAAAACAGGGCCUGACAUUUAGUUUUUUUUCCCAAGCAUGAACUCAGUUCGCUGCACUUUGGCUUGUUUAUGGUUAAAAAUCUGAUUUUACUUGAUCGUUAUUUCCCGUUACAGGUUUUAAUGCAGCAGUGGCGGGUUGUUUCUUUGCUAUUGAGACUGUUUUAAGACCUCUACGUGCCGAGAACUCGCCUCCAUUUACCACUGCAAUGAUAAUAUUGGCCUCUGUUAUCUCAUCGACUGUGUCAAAUGCGUUGCUUGGUACUCAGUCAGCUUUCACAGUCCCCUCGUACGACCUGAAGUCCGCUGCAGGUAUGUUUAUGAUACUUUUAGGCUCAGUUGCAAAUCUUCCAGUUAGUCUUGUGGUAUGAUUUUUUUUUAGUAGCUUAUAAUUUAGUGUCCUGAUGGAUUAUGUAAUAUAUAUAUAUAUAUAUAUAUAUCAUAAAGAAUCUUGGUAUCCUUAAAUAUCGAAGCCGAGAUUUAUCUGCUUCAACUAGUACUUUCUAAUUAAUUUUCCGAAAUAUGUUUCCACUUGUCUCCAGAGCUACCUCUGUACCUGAUAUUAGGCAUGCUGUGUGGGGCUGUCAGCGUUGUUUUUUCUCGCCUCGUCACAUGGUUUACCAAGUCAUUCGAGUUCAUCAAAGAAAAAUUUGGUCUUCCGGCUAUUGUGUGCCCUGCAUUAGGUGGUUUAGGAGCUGGGAUGAUUGCUCUCAAGUAUCCCGGAAUUUUGUACUGGGGGUUUACAAAUGUUGAGGAAAUCCUGCAUACUGGAAAGAGUGCUUCAGCUCCAGGAAUCUGGUUAUUAGCUCAGUUAGCUGCAGCCAAAGUUGUGGCUACAGCUUUGUGCAAAGGCUCUGGGCUUGUAGGCGGUCUAUAUGCACCAAGUUUGAUGAUUGGUGCUGCUGUUGGUGCUGUGUUUGGAGGUUCGGCUGCUGAGAUUAUUAACAGAGCUAUUCCUGGUAAUGCUGCUGUGGCUCAACCACAAGCUUACGCUCUGGUAUUGUAUUCCCUUUGUUGCAGGCCCUUGCUCCAAUGCAGCUUUUUCUUAUUAUAAUAUUGUCCAAUUCAGUUGUUACGAAUUCUGACUUAUCAAGAUGCCAUGUUUAUAUGUGAUGCAGGUUGGGAUGGCAGCGACACUAGCUUCCAUGUGCUCAGUUCCCUUAACAUCAGUAUUACUGCUGUUCGAACUAACAAAAGAUUAUAGAAUUUUGCUUCCUCUCAUGGUAAACAUUCGUUUUCCCUCUCACUUUUUAUGAUGCUUAUGUAAAAUGGUGUAAAACCGUUUUGGAGGGGCGAGAUUAAUGAAAAUCUUUUUCUAGUAUUCUGAUUUUGUCAUUAAUAUGCUAAACAAAUUCUGGGUUUUUCUACCCUUUUUAAAACUAGGAAAUGUACCAGUUACCAUGUUCGCUAUAGUAAUAAUAAUAUAUUUUUAACCAGAGGUCGAGAGCUAGUUUUGUACAGAGAUAGAAAUAAUUUUCUUCAUGUCUACAUCAUGUGCGUUCUUGAUCUGAUCUGUCUGUCGGUUUCUUCUAACAGGGAGCAGUUGGUUUGGCAAUAUGGGUUCCCUCUGUGGCAAACCAAGGCAAAGAAAGUGACUCAUCUGAGGGUCGCAGCACAGGAAGAGGAUACUCUUCUCUUUCGCCUAAAACUGAAGGUGUUUGGAGACACACGGAUAUUGCUGACUCCCUUGAGCUUACCGUCAUAGAGAACCCUGACCACAAAUCCUUGUUGGAUGAAGAAACUAUUCUGGAAGACUUAAAGGUUCAGCGAGUUAUGUCAAAGAAAUAUGUCAAGGUUUCUCUGGGAACAACUCUAAGAGAAGCAAGAAACAUCCUUAAAGACAGCCACCAGAACUGCCUUAUGGUGGUAGACGAUGAUGAUUUUCUAGCCGGAAUCCUAACACACGGAGACAUCAGACGAUACUUGUCCAAUAACGUACCUACAAUCUUAGAUGUAAGUAGUCAAACAAAAACAAACUCUCAAAACAAACUCUUCAAUUUACUUCUUUGUCUCUUGCAGGAGAAUACAUGUCCAGUCUCUUCGGUGUGUACACGGAAAAUAACAUACCGAGGCCAAGAACGUGGAGUGCUUACUUGUUAUCCAGACGCGACAGUUGGUGUGGCCAAAGAGUUAAUGGAGGCAAGAGGAGUGAAGCAGUUACCUGUUGUAAAACGAGGUGAAGUCAUUCACCAAGGGAAAAAAAGGAAAUUGCUUGGCCUUCUUCAUUACGACUCCAUCUGGACUUUUCUCAGGUAUUAAAUUAAAAAGUCUCUCUUUUACCUUUAAUGCCCAUAAAACCCCAUUGUUUACGUGUUCGUUUUUGGUGUAUAUUCACAAUCUUAAUCAUCACAAGCAAAAUUUGCAAAUUUGUCUGUUAAUUGUAAACGUAAAUGCAAUGUUUUCAUUUCAGAAAUAUGACCCUUUUUUGGAUGUUUCUCAUGUAAAAGCUUUUGCGUUUGAAACAAUCUUGAAUUCCGAAUCGAAGGGUUUGAUUUUUUUUUUUUUUUUUUUGCUGUGGUUAUAAUUUUUUGCCAGAGAUGAAAUGAGUCGUAGGAGAUUGAUCAACGAGCGUAGAAAAGAGAAGUACGAGGAGGUUGGUGCAGCAAAUGGGCAUUGAUUGGGUUUGUACCCAUUUGGUAUAGCUUUCUUCUUCUUCUUUUUUUUUUUUAAUUUUAUUUUUGAGGUCCAUUUGAUUAGAACGGAUGAAAAUGUGGUCGUAAAAUAAUGUUAAUACCUCUUUAUUAGUUUUGGAAAUAUAUAUAUUGUUCUCAUAAAGUAACACUCAUAUCAUAUAAUCAAAGAGAAUUCUAGUGACAUAGAUACGAUAAAUUGUUGGGUGAUCUCUACUUACAAAAUUAACAUCACUAACCUCUUAGCAAACCUUGUGAUAUUCAGAAUCGACAAUAUCAUAGUGAGAUGAGUGAGUUCUGUUGAUUUUUCUUGUGUGGUUUCUCUAAUUAAUUGUUUAUCGAGGUUUAGAUGGUAUUUAGUCACCUUUACAUAACUUUAAUAAUAUGAUCAUAUUCGAAAAUUCAUUAAAUUGCUUUUCUUUUGCAUGAAUGUGAUGUACAACUGUUAAAUUAAAGUUGUGAAUUUAAAAGGUUUUUAUCUUGAUGAAUAAAUCAUGUACAGAAGAUCCACAAAGAUAAUGUCAUGACUGAAACUGGACCCUUCCUUUAAUGAUUUUCACUAAAACAGCUUUUAAAGUAGAUUUGUUAACAAAAGAGGGACAAACCUAACAAAUAGUUGACUAAUUGAUUGGAGUGUGAUUGAAUUUUGUUGGUCAUAUAUUGGUAAGUGGGUGAAGAAUGAUAAAUCUAAUAUACGUAGCUUUUUCUUCAUUAUUAGGUCGGCCCUUAAUGUCAAACAAAACAAUCAAGAGUAAAGAGAAAUGGUUUCAAUAUUCUGAUUGUAUACCCACAAUAAAAGCGCAAUAUAGUCUACCAUCUUCCAAUCUUUUAACUGAAACAGCUAAAUAUAAAAGCGUAACUAGAAUAUCAAUUAAUUUCAAAUGAUUAUUUUUCGAUAAGUCAUUUACGAUAUGUGAACACUUUACAUUUGAAGGCUUUAAACAUGUCAAGAGAUGACAUGCAUGUACUAUUCGUCAAUUUCCUUUUACCUAAUCUGAAAAAUGAUACGUUGGACCAUUAAAAUGUCUUUUUCCGUCUUUUCUAUUUCUUCUUUUACAAGCUAUGGACUAAUAAAAAAAAGGAGAAAAUCAAUCCUUACAUGUAGAAAAGUGAUUGUAAUUUGGACAAAUAAUUUUGAAUUGACUUGGAUUUCGAUCACCAUUAGAAAAGUAGUCGUUUUCUUGAAGUCGUCAUCAUCCAUCAUUCAUUAUACCAAAAUAAAGUUAAAACAAUGACAAAUGUGGUUAAGGAUGGUUUCAUAUAUUAAGCAUGUUUACACUUGUCUUUAAAAAAAAAAAAACGUGUAACUACACAUUAGAAAAUAGUUUCAAAUAUAAUAUUUUUGAAACUAGAUGUUAUCAGAAUUAACAUUUGCUCACACAAAUUUAUUUGAAAACGUUAAGAAGUCAUAAAUUGAGGAUUUUUUCUUUUUUGCUAAAAAGGUAACACUUGUAGAAUUUUUUUCUUUCAAAGCCUAUUCUCUUUAUUUUUAAUCCUUACAUACACUAUGGUUUUGAUUGGUAACUUUGCGGAAUGGCAGAAUUGCGGAAAAAAUCUUGUAGAAUAGAUUAAGCGACUUAUAAGUCGCUUUUCUGCGGAAUGACUUUUCCUUUGUAUUUUUGUUAAGCAAAAACGCAGUCUGCGUUUUUGUGUGUAUUUUUUUAUUACGCGGAUUUUUGUUGAUUGACAAAAAAUCUGCAGAUUACCAAUCAGAGCCUAUAUUACUAAUCUGCGGAUUUUUGUGUGUAUCUUUUUAUUACGCGAAUUGUGUUUUUAAACACAAUUCUACCAUUCCGCAGAUUACCAAUCAGAGCCUAUAUAAAAAAUAAAAUAUACGUAUGCGUAAGUGGGCGUGGGAGAAUCUUUGGAGUCGAAAGAGCACAAAAUAUGCGCUCGUGCGGUAGAGUAUACUGACAAAAUUGGUACCCGGCCCAACCCUACGGCCCACACGCGUCAAAACCGUUUCCGGCUUUUCAUAAAACCUCUUUCGAUUUUGAAUUCUCUUAUUAUCUCUAAUCUAUCUAUUUAAUUUUAUUAUAUAACGUAUAAUAAUAAUAAUUUGAUUCCCUGUCUUUUCCCUCACCAUAUACUGUAGUUAUUUCAAAGUUUCCCGACCUUGUCGUCAUUAACAUCGGAUAUCACACAAGCUAAAUAAUUUAAAAUAAUACUCUACUUUGCCCAUUUUCUAUGUGUAUAAACUAUGUUAUACGUUAAUACUUCGAAUAUUUUGUUUGUCUUUGUCCCCUAAUCUUUACAUGUGAAUGUCACGGAUGUUUGGAAUGAAUGUUAUAUUGGAUGUUUUAUUUAUGUAGUACAGUAAUGAUUUCAUUUUCAAAACGUAGCGUUAUUUCGAAUGAGAUCAUGAAAAAACUUGCUCAGCUUAUUCUAAAUAGAUAAACUUGCUUAACUUAAUUUAUUCCUAAUAAUAUACCUCGAUUAAUAAAAAAAAUGUACUCUGUAAAGCACUUAAUAUAACGAUCGAAUAGCUAAUACAGCUGUACAUAUGGGCUAGGAUAGAAAUUAGAUAAAAUGCGACGGUUUGCCAAAAAGUUAAGCGGCAACUAUAUAAAUGAAGACAAAACGCGGGGCCACAAAACUAAUAUACAAAAGGAAACGAGGACCAAAGGCAAAUUAAGAACUAUAUUUGUUAAAAUUUUUGAAUUUAACAAAUAAGCUAGUGCUUCGUGCCGUGUAGGGUUAGAAAGUUGCAUUAAUGCGUAGAAACAUACGAGAACUGAGGGGAAAAGUAGGCCUUUAUCGUGAAUAUCGUCAAAUUUAUCAUACUUUAUUUUCUUGUGUAGGUUAGACCACAGACUACUAUUUAUAUGGUAACGAGAGACCUAAAUAUCUACUAUCAAACGUGCCGGGUAAUUUAUAUAACCCCAAAAAAAAGUAUGAUAAAGAGUGAUAAUAAUAUAAUCGGAACACUAAAAGAUAUCGAAUCCAAGUGUUUGACUAUAAGUCCCAUUUAAAGAUUUAUCUCCAACGGGCCAAAAAAAAUUAUUAGCAAGAAAACAUUUACAAACUUCUUAGAGUUUGUUUCUUUCCCCUAAAAUGAAAAUAAUUAAUCCAAUGUAACAUUUGAAUUUGUGGAACAUUUUAUCAAUGCAAGAAAAUUAAUAAUUAGGUAGGGAUUAUAAAGAGAUAAUUAAUCUUUAGUAUCAUGAUUAUGUUUUCUCUUCUUUUCUGGAGGAUUAUGUCUUCAUUUAUCUGCUUUUCCUUUUGUUAUUCUUUCUUUCUUUCUUUGCCAUUUUGUUUAUUACUAAAUUUUUGUUCUCUAUUGCUUUUGCAAUUUUCCCGCAAAGAGAGAGUUUUUUGUGUGUGUGUGAGAAUAAAUAAUUAAUAAAGAAAUCAUUCGCUUUUACAAUUAAACCUUUGAUAUUUCUUUCCAAACAGAAAAACCCAAUCAGCUCCCAUUUACGCAAGAUAAGAAAGGAUAAUUCUUUUUUUUUUUUUGAAACUUAAUAAUUCUUUUUCUUUCCAAUUUUUGUUUUCCGGGAGAUAUCUAGUUUUGUUCCUGGAAAAAUCACUUUUAUUCUUCUCUUUUCUGGGUGAUGGUCGUGCAAAAAAGAAAGUUUCCUCUCUAUGUAAGCAUUUCUCUCUCACUACGGAAUCUUAAACCCUCUGAUUUUGGAAAGAAAAAAAAAAUCUAACUUUGGUUGUUUUGAAUCCGACCAUCUCUGCAACAUCGUACUUGAGCAGAAACAGUAUCUAAAAAACUAUCUCUGUUGUCUUCUUCAUCAGCGAAAUCCUCUCUCUCUCUCUCUCUCUCCUUCUUCCGUCACCGUCACAGUCGUCUCUGUCAAACUUAGGUUCUACUCUUUGUUUCUUCCUCUGCAUCUUUUCGUCUUCUUCUUGAACAUGGUUUCAUAUAUAAAUCAUCUUUUUUUUUAAUUAAAAAAAAAGAUAGUAUCUUUGUUGUUUUUCUGAAAGCUUACUCUGUUUGUUUUUCUCUCCUUCUCUUUGGUUUCUCAGAGUUGCAAGAUCUCUACUUUGGAAGCUCUGGAGGAACUGAGAACAGUAAAUGAACCAGAGCAAGAAGAAAGAAGAUCUUUACUCCUUUGAAACAUUCCAUUCAGGGGCAGAAGUCCUGAGCUUGGAGGAGUAUCAAUCUCUUUAAGGCAUUUAAUCGAACACUUGGUGGGGCCAAUGAAGCAAAAAUGGCUGUUAUUGUUGAUCCUCUGUUUUUAUGCAACUUUUCUGGUGAUGGGCACUCAUGGAAAAAGGCUAAUCAGCGACGGCGACUUCAACGAAGCUGCUCUGUUGAUGUCGUUCAAGCAACUCUCUGUAAAGUCUGAUCCUAACAACUUUCUGGGUAACUGGAAAUACGGGUCGGGUCGUAGCUUAUGCUCUUGGCGAGGCGUUUCUUGCUCUGACGACGGCCGAAUCGUCGGAUUGGACCUCCGAAGCGGCGGACUCACCGGAACUCUAAACCUAGUUAACCUCACGGCGUUGCUCAAUCUCCGGAAUCUUUACCUGCAAGGAAAUGAUUUCUCUUCCUCAGGAGAAUCGUCUGCUUCUGAUUCCGGCUCCAGUUGCUAUAUUCAGAUUCUGGAUUUGUCUUCGAACUCGAUUUCUGAUUAUUCAAUGGUGGAUUACGUCUUCUCGACAUGUUCAAAUCUGGUUUCGGUAAAUUUCUCGCACAACAAGCUCGCCGGGAAAUUGGGUUCUGCUCCGUCGUCGUGUAAGAGUUUGACGACUGUUGAUCUCUCAUACAAUAUCUUAUCGGAGGAAAUCCCGGAGACUUUUAUCGCGGAUUUUCCGGCGUCGCUGAAAUAUCUCGAUUUAACUCACAACAAUUUAACUUGCGAUUUUUCCGAUCUCGGUUUCGGGAUCUGUGGGAACCUCAGCUUCAUCAGUUUAUCACAGAACAAUAUCUCCGGCGAUGGUUUCCCGAUUUCUCUAUCUAACUGUAAAUACCUCGAGAUGUUGAACAUCUCUCGGAACAAUCUCGCCGGAAAAAUCCCCGGCGGAGAGUAUUGGGGAAAUUUCCAGAAUCUGAAGCAGCUCUCUCUCGCACACAACCGUCUGACCGGCGAAAUUCCACCGGAGCUUUCUUCACUCUGCAAAACCUUAGAGAUUCUCGAUCUCUCCGGAAACGCUCUCUCCGGCGAGCUUCCUCCACCAUUCACCGCCUGCGUCUCAUUACAGAACCUUAACCUCGGAAGCAACUUCCUCUCCGGCGAUUUCUUAACCACCGUCGUGAGUAAAAUCCCCGGAAUCACAUAUCUAUACGUGGCUUACAACAACAUCUCAGGCUCUGUUCCGAUUUCACUCACCAACAUUACAAACCUCCGUGUUCUUGAUCUAAGCUCAAAUGGUUUCACCGGAAAUAUACCGUCUACCUUUUGCUCUCUGCAAGACUCGCCGGUUCUUGAAAAGAUUCUCAUAGCCAACAAUUACCUCUCAGGAACACUUCCUAUGGAGCUUAGCAAAUGCAAAAGCUUGAAGACGAUCGAUUUCAGCUUCAACGCUCUCACCGGUCCGAUCCCAAAGGAGAUAUGGACGCUGCCGAAUCUCUCGGAUUUGGUCAUGUGGGCGAACAAUCUCACCGGAAGAAUCCCAGAAGGUGUUUGUGUUAAAGGAGGAAACUUGGAAACUCUCAUCCUCAACAACAACCUCCUAACCGGUUCAAUCCCUGAGUCAAUCUCAAGAUGCACCAACAUGAUUUGGAUCUCUCUUUCAAGUAAUCGUUUAACCGGAAAAAUCCCAAGCGGCAUCGGAAAUCUUUCCAAAUUAGCAAUCUUGCAGCUUGGGAACAAUUCCUUGUCCGGAAACGUCCCACGUCAGCUCGGGAACUGCAAGAGCCUGAUCUGGCUCGACCUUAACAGCAACAAUCUAACAGGAGACCUCCCUGGUGAGCUAGCUAGCCAAGCCGGGCUUGUAAUGCCAGGGAGUGUCUCAGGUAAACAGUUUGCGUUUGUGAGGAACGAAGGAGGAACAGAUUGCAGAGGUGCAGGAGGGUUAGUCGAGUUUGAAGACAUUCGUGCAGAACGUUUGGAGCGUUUUCCAAUGGUUCAUUCGUGUCCAGCGACACGUAUAUACUCAGGCUUGGCAAUGUACACUUUCACUGCAAACGGAAGCAUGAUCUACUUUGACAUCUCUUACAACUCCGUGUCCGGUUUUAUACCGACAAGUUACGGUAACAUGGGCUAUCUCCAGGUCUUGAAUUUGGGACAUAACCGUUUAACUGGAACCAUCCCGGACAGUCUUGGAGAAUUGAAAGCCAUUGGUGUUCUUGAUCUAUCUCACAACGAUCUUCAAGGGUACUUACCUGGAUCGCUUGGAUCGCUUUCUUUCCUCAGCGAUCUUGAUGUCUCUAACAACAACCUCACAGGUCCAAUCCCAUUUGGAGGUCAGCUUACAACGUUCCCUGUCUCGAGAUAUGCAAACAACUCUGGUCUCUGUGGCGUUCCCUUGCGUCCCUGCGGCUCAGCUCCUCGGCCUCUUACCUCCCGUGUCCACGGCAAGAAGCAAACCAUUGCAACCGCUGUGAUCGCUGGAAUCGCGUUUUCUUUCAUGUGCCUUGUGAUGCUGGUCAUGGCGCUUUACAGGGUGAGGAAAGCUCAGAAGAAGGAAGAGAAGAGGGAGAAAUACAUUGAGAGCCUUCCAACUUCUGGAAGCUGCAGCUGGAAGCUCUCUAGCGUUCCUGAACCGCUUAGCAUCAACGUUGCUACGUUCGAGAAACCACUGAGAAAGCUUACUUUCGCGCAUCUUCUUGAAGCCACAAACGGGUUUAGCGCAGAGACUAUGAUCGGAUCUGGUGGGUUUGGAGAAGUCUACAAGGCUCAACUCAGAGACGGAUCUGUUGUAGCGAUCAAGAAGUUGAUCCGAGUCACGGGGCAAGGCGACAGAGAGUUCAUGGCUGAGAUGGAAACAAUCGGAAAAAUCAAACACAGAAACCUCGUUCCGCUUUUGGGAUACUGCAAGAUCGGGGAAGAGAGGCUUCUUGUCUAUGAAUACAUGAAAUGGGGAAGCUUGGAAACUGUUCUUCACGAGGUAUCCAAAAAAGGCGGAAUCUUUCUGAAUUGGGCCGCGAGGAAGAAGAUUGCCAUUGGAGCUGCAAGAGGUCUAGCGUUUCUGCACCAUAGCUGCAUUCCUCACAUAAUCCACAGAGACAUGAAGUCGAGCAAUGUUCUUCUAGACCAAGACUUGGAAGCACGUGUGUCGGAUUUCGGGAUGGCGAGGCUAGUUAGCGCUCUAGACACGCAUCUGAGCGUGAGCACGCUCGCAGGUACUCCAGGAUACGUCCCGCCGGAAUAUUACCAGAGUUUCCGGUGUACGGCCAAAGGGGAUGUUUACAGCUACGGAGUUGUGCUUCUUGAGCUUCUCUCUGGUAAGAAACCGAUAGAUCCAGGAGAGUUUGGAGAAGACAAUAACCUUGUCGGGUGGGCGAAACAGCUCUAUAGAGAGAAAAGAGGAGCUGAGAUUCUCGACCCGGAGCUUGUAACCGAGAAAUCAGGCGAUGUUGAGCUGUUUCAUUACUUGAAGAUCGCGUCUCAAUGCUUGGACGAUCGACCCUUUAAGCGGCCAACAAUGAUUCAAGUGAUGGCCAUGUUCAAAGAGCUUAAGGCUGAUACAGAGGAAGACGAAAGUCUUGAUGACUUUUCGCUUAAGGAAACUCCUUUGGUGGAAGAUUCUCGAGAUAAGGAGCCUUAAUAUCGAAGACUGAGUAUGCUCUGUUACUUGUUUCAAAUUUUUUGUGUCACUGUAUAUAACAGAAGAAGCUUGAGCGAGACGGUCAGAUUGAGCAGAAGUGGAAGUAGCCAUUGAAGAUUUAUUGUAGUUGUUAAGCUCGCUUUGAGGGUUUUUGUAUUUGGUUAACUUGUAAUACACGGUAAGAGAAGUUCUUCAUUUUGAACUUUUAUAACUUUCCAUUUAAUAAUGUGAUGUUUUCUUGCGUUCUUUCCAAACAUCUUGAGUCAGAUUUUAUUUUUAAUUUGUUAAACGAUUGUUAGAAAUUUAUCAUUUUAUCUGCUGCAAAAAGUUUCCCUUCCACCAUCUUCAUUUAACUUCUGCAAAUACUUGUAUGCUUUCCUUGUUCCUGAAAGAAUACAAUAAACAAUAUAUUCAAGUUCAACAGUAUGACGUAAUCUAACAAACCAUGAAAUAAACACACACAUAAUUUGGAACUUUUUUUUUUAACAAGACAAAUUACUACAAGUUUACAACGUGAAAAGUCAACAAAAGUUAGAUUAAAAAUAAUAUAAAGUUUGGGUUUUUAUGAAAUCAGUUUGGUUUCUGAUUCAGGAUUGAAAUAACGAGAUCCAUGGAAUAUGAAAUACUAAAACGGGCUAUUUAUGGGUCGAAUUUAAAAUCCCAGUGUAAUGUGGAUUAUGUGGGGACCAUAUGCUCAAAGUCACAUUUCACCGGAAAAUAUGAUUAUGCCAAGUGCAAUACUAGAAAAGUGGGGACCAUAUGCUCAAAGUCACAUUUCACCGGAAAAUAUGAUUAUGCCAAGUGCAAUACUAGAAAAGGAACCCAUUAACUAAGUGUUGACUAACAAAAUCUAACCAGUGAUGUAAUCUACACCCUUUUUUUCACCUGAAUGUAACAAAAAUUAAUAUAUCACUCAUGGUGAUGGUAGAUUGGUAGUAGUAGUGGAUUAGCAGUUUCUACCGGUUCAGAAGUUGUUUUGUAGAUGUAAAGAUGUAAAUUGGAGAUUAGUUCCCUUUACUCAUGAGAUUAUGAUGAAGGGCAUAUUACGAACUUGGGUUAUAUUUGAGUGACGUCUUGGGUUUGAGUUAUUUUGUUUCUUUUUACGAAAGUUAUCGUAUCAUUGUUUAGGAUUUAUUCAUAUCUUAACUACUUAGAUUUCAUAGAUUUCUUUAGAUUCUCUAUUAGUUAUAAGUACUCGACACCUCCGUUAUUGUAAGGACGUUGAAUUGAUAUUGAAGUUUUUAAGAGCUUUCGAGCACUGUGAAGAGUAUUCACAUCUUUUACUGAUUUAGUCCUCGUUGUCGACCUCUAAAUCAGUUUCUCUACAGCUUGUGAUCGAACUUCGUCGAUCCCUUGUUGUUAUAGCUUCCGCUACUCUAUCAGAUUAUCUAACAACUCUCUUUUUCUAAGAGAUGACAGGCACAAACGGUUUGGUUUUACGAUAUUCUAGAUUUCUUAACAUUCAUAUAUAUUUUUGGUCGAAUUAUAUGUAAAUGUAACAUUCAAACUUGGAAAACUACAUCGACUAAUUUGUUUUAUAUGUUUUAUAUACUGAUGCGAAAUGCAUCUUUCUGGUCAGCUCCAGACUCCAACUCUUGUGUCUUGGAUUUGGAGGUAGUUAUUAAAACUAGAAUGUAUAAAAAUUAAUAUUCACUUGAAUGUAUAAAAAUUAAUAUAUCACUUGAAUGUAUAAAAAUUAAUAUUCACUUGAAUGUAUAAAAAUUAAUAUCUCACUUGAAUGUAUAAAAAUUAAUAUAUCACUCAUGGUGAUGGUGGUAGUGGAUUAGUAGAUUCUACGUACCGGUUGAGAAGUUGUUUUGUUGAUGUAAAGAUGUAAAUUAGAGAUUAGUUCCCUUUACACGUUAAGUUAUCUAACAACUCUAGAUUAUGAUUUUACGAUAUUCUAGAUUUUUUAUAUGUAACAUUCAAACUUGGAAAACCACAUCGACUAAUUUAAUUUGUUUUAUAUACUACGUAAAAAUGUUCUUUAAAAUAUUACCUACGAAAAGGGAAAAGAAAUUUAACGAAAGUUACUGAGUGGCCGGGGUGAACACCAACGCUCACUAGAUCCAUAAUAUGAGGUUUGAUUCAUUAGAAACUGUGACAUACUCACACAGAAAAAUGUAUUGGCAAUGCCAAAUUAAUACAAAAGUUUUCUGAUUAACAUGGUGUGAAUAACUCUCUUGGCAAGAGUUUCUCGUAAGUCCACCUCGGACAAACACUGAAACACAUGAACCAAAGUUUAAUAAAUUGUUCUCAAACGCGUUUAAGCCUUUUCUAUCCCAAAAGAAAAUAAAAUCUAUUCCUAAAUCCUAAUACUAUGUAGUUCGUGGUUGUGGAUUAUAUUUUAAUUGUUAAUGGUCAAUGCAUCGACUUACCUGUUAUGGCUAUUUUGAGAUAACUAUAUAUUCCUUUUAGAAUUUGUGCACUUGCCAUAUUCCUCGGUCAACAUUUUUUUGGUUCUAUUUAUGUUAUUUCCACAUUUGUGUUAACCACUAAAACACAUACCCGUAUUUUAAAACUGAACCAAAAAUAAACCAAAAUUUUGGUUAAUUUACAAGGUCCAGAUCAAACCAGUGGAACCGCCAACCUUAAAAUUGAUAAGAAAUACAGCAACCACUUUCAAAAGUUCACAGAUAUUCUAAUAUAUAUUAUUUUAAAUUCGACCAUAAUAUAUAUUACUUCAAUAGUUUUAAGAACGUCAAAAGAUAUUGACAAUAGUCUUUAAAAAGAAAAAAAACACUAAAGACAAUUUAAAACACGCUAAAAUAUCAUAUAAGAUAUAAAACUAGUUAAUAUAUAUAAUUAAUAUAUAAUUAUUAUGGUAAUAUAUUAUUUUAUGAAAACGAUAUAACGGAUCUAAAAUUGAUUAAACUUCGAUUUUAUUAACUAAAUUAUACGUAUAAUCUCGAUUUUUUAAAAAAUAUGUUAGAUAAUAAAUAUAUAAUCGCAGUAAUAUUAUGUCUAAUUUAUAUAUGUUAUACUAAUAAUAAUUACUUGAUGGUAAAAACAGCAUAAUUUAAAAUAAAUUAAAAUAAACGUAUAAUUUUGAUAUAAAACUAGUUAAAAUAUAUGAAUAACUUAAAAAAAUUUUAAAAGAUUAGAUUCUAAAUAAAUAUAAUCAUUAUAAUAUAUUAUUUUUUUGAAAAUGAUACAACAAAUUUAAAAUUAAAUAAACUGUACGUAUAACCUUGAUUUUUUAAAAAAAUAUUAGAUAAUAAAUAUAAAAUCGCGGUGAUAUUAUAUCUAGUUUAUAUAUGUUAUAUUUAUAAUGAUUACUUGAUGGCAAAAACGGCAUAAUUUAAAAUAAAUUAAAAUGUAUAUAUGUACUUUUUAACUGAGUUAUUAAUAAAUAUUAAAUCAUAGUGAUAGUCUAUUUAAUUUAACUUUGUGAUAUUAAUAAUCACUUAUCAGAAUGCUGUUUUUGAGUUUAAUAUUUUAAAUUUUUUGAUAUAUCUUGGUUACGUAAAUUAUGAAUUUAAAAAAAAAUUAAAUUAGUUUUUGUUUAUUAUUCUACAAGAAAGUAAAAAGUCGAAUUUCUUUUAUUUACAUCAUGCUUUCGGUAUUGUUUUGAUAAACCCAAACCGAAGUAAACCCCUCGCAUAAAAACCAAAAAUCGAAAAAAAAAAGAAGUAAUAAAAACUUCUUUAGGCAUUGUUGACACUUGGAUGACGAUGUUUGACCAUUUAAAAUUGUUACCAAAGUAAAUGGUGACGAAUUUUGUUAUAUAAGAACACCAUCUUCCUCCUAGCUAAGUGCACACAUCUCUUUUUUCUUCUUCUUUUUUCUUUUUUUCUUCUUCUUCUUCUUCGUUCGGCUAAAUUCCUCUCAAGAAAGAGGUCUCUCCUUUACAUAUAUAAUGCUUUUUAUUAAAUAACCUAAUCAUUCGAAUUCUCCCAAAUUAUAUCACUUUUACACAAUAUUCCAAACUGAUAUAUUUCGUCUUCUAACUCUCUUUUGUUUUCGUUGUGUGUGUUUCUUGACAUCCAAGUGUUCUCUAAAAAAAAAAACAAAAAAAUGAUCGAUCAUGAUGGAAAUUUCAUGGAAACGAUAUCGUUUUGGGCUCCACCGUCCAGUCCUAGCCCAAGAACGAUUCUAGAGAUGCUGAAUCAAACCGAUAAUGGUAUAAAUCCAAUCAGCGAGAUCUUCCCUCAAACCAACUUAUCAACUUAUCAUCAUCAUCAGUCUGAACAAAGAUCUGGUCUCGGCGAGAGAGUAGCUGCAAGAAUAGGAUUUAAUCUUCCUCCACUAGACGCAGAGAACAUCAGUCCAAUUUCUGCAUUUUUCAGGAACUCGACGACUGUUCCUUCUCCUGUCGUCGAAAUCUCUCCAGGAUUCAGCCCAUCUGCUCUGUUGCUAUCUCCAGAUAUGUUCUCUAAUUCCUCACAGGUAAAUAACAAUGUCUUUUAUGUAUGUUUUUACGAUUGUUUUAUUUUAUAAUUCGUGUUUAAAUUUAUAUUAAUUAUGAUUUAACAUUUAGCCCAAAAAAAAUUAUAAUCAUAUGAUAAAUUAAAAAGGUUGAAUAAACAAAUGAUUAAACAAAUAUUUGGGAAUGUAAUUAAUUACGUAUGUUAUUUUAAAAUGAUUAGGUGGAAAAAAUAUAAGUAGUAACAUUAUCUAUCGGUAAACACAGAAUCUGUAAUUUCCUUUUUGUUCACGUUUGACAUUUAUUAUACCUAUUUGAGUUUUUUUUUUUUUUGGGGUCAAAUACCUAUAUGAGUUUACUAUUUACAAAUGAUGUCUUCAUAAUAAAACAUUUUACCUUUAUAUUUCAUUUCACCGCCGAAUAAAAUUUUACGCAAAAAUUUACAAAUUUUACAAAUGAUGUCUCCAUAGUACUAGUAUUAUGUUUGGUAAUGUAUUUUUCAGAUUAUCCCUUCGUCUCCGAUGGCCAACGGCGAGACGGUGGAAAGUUGCGGUGACAACGACGAAACGACGAUGAUAUUCAACAACGAUCUUCCUCAUCAGCCGCUGCACGUUGAUCUGCCUCCUGAAGAAGGUAAUAGAGUUGCUUGUGUCUCAAGUUUGCUUCUAUUUUGUAUUUUUCGAAUCUUUUUAUCGGUUCUUUUUUUUUUUUUACAUGUGAAACAGGCUCUGAUGGUAUUCCAACGGAAGAGUCCGUUAAUAUCCCAUCUCAUGAAUCUCUUGCUGAUCCCAUUGGUGCUCCUUUAAACGCAUCUUUUGAAUUUGAAAUUGUUGACCAGACCGAUAUCAUCAACAGGGGCGGAGGUAGUGAAAGAGUAAUGGGAUCACGUGCCCUUACUCUUUUUUUUAUUUAUUUAAAUAUUUAAAUAAAUUUAUUUAAAUUACUUUUAAUUUAGUGAUAGAAAAAAAAUUGUCUCCAACUAAUUUUGUUUAUCAUACUUAUAAACUUAUGCUCCCAACUAUUUUUUUUUAGAUCCACCACUGAUCAUCAACAUCAAUAGCGAAAGCGAGGACGAGGACGAGGAUGAGAACGAGGGCGAGGACGAAGAAUACAACGAAGAUGAAGAUGUAGACGAAGAAGAAGACGACGACAUUGUUGCUGAACUAGAAGUCGAACCUUCAUCUCCAAAGAGAAGGUCCAAACAGAAUUAGUUUAACAUAUCAUAAUCGAUAAUACUAAUUAAAGAACAUCUCAAUUUUAAUUAAACCAAAGUUAAUGACCGAAUUCUCUUGCAGGAAAUUUGAGGUAUCAAACAUGAUUGGAGCGACAAGAACAAGCAAGAACGAAAGGGUCAUAAUUCAGAUGGAAUGCGAAGAAGACCUUCCUGACGAUGGUUUUCGCUGGAGGAAAUACGGUCAGAAAGUUGUCAAAGGGAAUCCAAAUCCGAGGUUGUCAUUUCACCAUGUUCCUAGCUCUUUUUUUUUUUAAUAACCAAUUCGAUGCUAAAUCUUAAAAAAAAAAGAUAUUUUUUGUGUUUUGGUAUAAAUUAAUGGUAAUGGCAGGAGUUACUACAAAUGCACGUACAACGAGUGCCAAGUGAAGAAGCAUGUGGAGAGAGGAGCAGACAAUGCGAAGUUAGUGGUGACCACAUACGAUGGGAAACACGAGCACGCUGCACCAGCUGCACGCAUUAGCCAUUCUGGUCCAAGGAGUCGGUCCGGUUCAUCAUCAGUGACUCAAGAUUCUACCAAUCGAACCGCUCGGUUAGGCAGGCCGCCUUCUUCGUCUCAAGCCAUGAUGAGGCCGCUCUCUUCUUCUUCGGCCCCACAAAUUGAUAUGACACAGUUCUAUAUGUCCGGACUCUCUAGGCUGCCCACUUUACCGGUUAACCAGAAUACUGGUUCUACGUACCGAAAUGAUGAACCGAAUGUGAUACCGGACGGCUCAGAGGUCUACAAGGGGAUCAUGCAUCGGCUAUCUCUUGAGUUUGGUCUCCAAUUUUAGGUGCAAACCGUUUUCAACAACAACUAAAAAGAGUUGAUUUUUUUAUUUUUUUUUAAAUCCGUAUCCGCAUUGAUAUCAUCCCUUAUACAAUAAUAUACAAGAUAUACAAAAACUUGUACUCAUCAGAGCUUAUUUUAUGAUUUUUAAUGAAUGUUACUCUUUGUGCUGAACGGUUUAAUUUCUAAUAAUUUGAGUUAGAAAUGCCUAAUUAAAAAAUCGAAAAUCGGAUCAAGGAGUUUUCUUUAAACCGAUCGGUAAUGACUCGGACAAGUCGGUAAGGAUACGACUAGCCUUGCGUCCAAACACCGCUCGUCUUUUUAUUCGUGUCAACGGCUCAAAAGGGGAAGAACAUGAACAAAUUUGAGAUUCUGGAAUUGAAUUGAAUUGAAGUGGGAGAAGAGAUAGAGAGAUAAUUCACCAUGGAGGAAGUGACGAGAUCUGUGUUAGCAGAGGAAAUACUGAAGCGUUUAGAUCUCGAGAAUCUCUGUUCCGUCGCCUGUGUUUCCACCACGCUCCGCUCCGCCGUUGUCUCCGGCGUUCUCCCUUCUCUUACCUCUCUCGAUCUCUCUGUAAGUCUCCGAUCCUCUAUAAUUCCGCGUUUUUUCUCUCUUGGAAAUUGAUGAAAUUUAUCGACUUUCGUUCCCUUGUGUUGUUAGGUUUUCUCUCCCGACGAGGAAACUCUGAAUUACAUGCUGCGUGGUUGCAUCGGACUCAGGAGCCUAACUCUGAACUGUCUCCGCCUCAGCGUUGCUGCUGUGCGUGGGGUUCUCGGGCCACACCUCCGGGAACUUCACUUGCUCAGGUGUUCACUUCUUAACUCCACCGUCCUCAAUUCCAUCGGGAGCCUCUGCCCAAAUCUCCGGUACAAUUUCCGUUUUCCCCAUGAUAGUGCGAUAGGUGACUCAAUGAAUUCUCGUGCUUGUGGGCUAUAUUUAUUUCUGCGAUUUAGUAGUUUGAUAGACUGAAAAAAAAUGGAAAAUUUGAUCCCUUUUUCUUUGACUUAGGGACUAUCGAUCAAUUCCAUAUAUAGAGAGAGCUAUGAUCCGGUAGAUGAUAGGACGUCUUUUUAGUUUCUGGUUCUCAUAUUAGACUUUCACUAAAAGAAUCGAAACCCACCUGCUGAUAAUUUGUCUUUCCUUGAAGGCAAGCGUUUACGUGUUUGAGAUUAGCUAUGGCUUUUUGUCAAUCAUACAGAAUUGAGUUUCUUUCUAUAGAGCAUUGAAGGUAUGAAAGUCAGCUAAUUUGGUUUUAUAAUUACAGGGUUCUUACGCUGGAAAUGACAGACCUGGAUUCACCCGUUGUUUUUCAAUCAAACCUGACACAAAUGCUUAAUGGGUGCCCGUAUCUGGAGGUAAUUUCUUAAAGCUUGCUGAGGGAUUGGUCCGAAGAAGCGAGAAAGUGUGAAAUUGAAUUGGGUUUUUAUAUUCUUGUGAUGCUUGCAGUCUCUGCAACUAAAUAUCCGAGGUAUCCUAGUAGAUGCCACCCCUUUCCAGUCUGUUAGAUUCUCCUUGCCUGAAACCCUCAAAGUUCUAAGGUUACAGCCAUUGCUCGAGUCCGAGGCAAUUCUUCUCAUGAACAGAUUCAAAGUCUCCGGAAGUUGUUUAUCUAAGGCUGAUUAUAGUGCCUUGCUUUCUCCUUCACCUUCUUUGACUUUGCAAAGUCUGUCUCUUGUACUGGACUUGAUUUCUGACAGGCUAAUCAUAGCUAUCACAGGUUCUCUUCCUCAACUUGUCAAACUGGACCUUGAAGACCGUCCUGAAAAAGAGCCAUUUCCUGACAGUGACUUGACUUACACUGGGCUUCAGUCUCUGGGUUAUUGUCAGCAACUCACAAGCCUCUCUCUAGUUCGAAGUUGUUACAACCGCAAGAUAUCAUUCAAGAGAAUUAAUGACAUGGGUAUAUUUCUCCUUUCCGAGGCUUGCAAAGGUUUAGAGUCAGUGAGACUUGGCGGGUUCCCAAAAGUCAGCGAUGCUGGUUUCGCAUCGCUCCUUCACUCGUGCCGGAACCUGAAAAGGUUUGAAGUUCGAGGCGCCUUCCUGUUGUCUGAUUUGGCAUUCCAUGAUGUCACAGGAUCUUCUUGUUCUCUCCAAGAGGUCAGGCUCUCCACGUGCCCUCUCAUAACCAGCGAAGCCGUGAAGAAACUGGGGUUGUGUAGCAAUCUUGAGCUGCUCGACUUAGGAAGCUGCAAAAGUAUAUCAGAUUCUUGCCUAAAUACUGUUUCAGCCCUCAGAAAGUUAACUUCUCUGAAUCUCGCAGGAGCUGAUAUAACAGACAGUGGCAUGCUUGCACUUGGUAAGUCGGAUGUUCCCAUCACGCAACUCUCCCUCCGCGGCUGUAAGAGAGUCAGUGACAGAGGAAUUUCCUAUCUGUUGAACAGUGAAGGAACAAUCAGCAGAACAUUGUCAACACUUGAUCUCGGUCACAUGCCAGGAAUCUCAGACAGAGCUGUACACACAAUCACGCGCUAUUGCAAGGCUUUAACAGAGCUAAGUCUUAGGAGUUGCUUUCACGUGACAGAUUCUUCGAUAGAGUGGCUUGCUACAAGGGAAAGACAAGCAGAGGGAGGAAGCAAACAGUUGAGGAAGCUCAACGUCCAUAACUGUGUGAGGUUGACGACUGGAGCACUGAGAUGGCUGAGCAAGCCGUCAUUUGCAGGUCUCCAUUGGUUCGGAUUGGGACAGACACGGUUCGCUGGUCGUAAGGAGACAGCUAGGUUCCGCGAGCAGAGACCCUGGCUCACGUUGUGUUUUGAUGGGUGUGAGCUUGGAUGCUAUGAUGGUUGGGAAUUCCACACGCCUCAACGCCAUUGAGGAAGCUCGUCGUCUAACUAGUUUAUGUAUUGUAUAAAUUCUAAAAAUCGUUCAGAAAAAUGAUUCAAUGUACAAGAAUGUGUAAUUUAUUUGAAACUUUUUAUUUUCUUUAAAUUAUAUUGUAACUAAAUUUAAGUGUCGUGGGUUAUAGUUGAAAUUAAUUCCAAAAAUGCACAAAAAAAGUGACAAAACGAUUGCAUAAAACUAAAAAAAAACAAUUGGAAAGGCAAAAGGAUUCAAGUGCCUAUAUGUUAGCCUUAGCAGAUGGCAACAUAUACUUAAAAUCUGGAGCCAAGCCAACUACUAAAGAUUUGACUUAUAUGAUUGAUUAAGUAGUUAUAGGCUAAUUAAGAAAAACAAGCUAGAUACCCAUAUUUCUGAAUUAAUUAAUUGAAGAGGCAUUCACAUAUCUACAGACUACACAUUAACGACAAAUGUAACCUGAAUCAACAUCACGUGUCGGUCUCACAAACCGAACACCCGAAAACCAGAGUGUUGUCUUCCCCUUUACAAUUCGUUUUUUGGAUUCUUUUUUAGUUCAUUACAAUAUUCUCAUCUGUAUAUAUUUCUAGUUAGUCAUAUUUUCUAUUAAUAUAUAUAGAUUUACAUAGAAUCCAAAAAUACAUCAAAAAUCUUUAUAUAUGUAAUUUAGUCAUAGUUUACAUCAGAUAUUUAUUUCAACAUAAGUAAUAUGAAGAACUAACUAACCAGCUGAAAUACUUGGUAAGGAAAAUUAUUUGACCAGCCAAUAGAUUAUAAAACUUUGGAAAAUGUAUAUGAAAAAAGAAAAAGUAAAAAAGUCAAGACAAAAAUAGAUUGAGAUUGAUGGAUGGAAGUAAAAAGAGAGUGGGUGUGUGUACAAGAGCAUGAGGGAUUGCUUCUGUCAGUAAGCAUAUGAAAUAUAUAGAUUUCAACUCAAACCCUAAAUCCUUUUUCUCUUCUUUCUUUUUCCUUUUCAUCACUACAAUUUUUUUUUUCAUAUUCAUAUAUAUAUAUAUAUAUAUAUAUAUAUAUAACUUAAUUUGGUGGGUGAGGUUUAGGUUUCUAUCCACACGCAAAAAUCGCCUUUCAGCUCAUGACGACGUACGUCAUCUUCUUCCCGUCUUUGUUACAUAUUAAUUUCACCGUCUUGUCAUAAGUAAUUAUUUGAUGUUUGAUCUCUGAGAAAAAAGAAGUGUAGGGCUACAAAUGUUUUCGUUAAAAAAAGUAUAGGGCUAUGCAUAUAUUAUCCAUUUCCGAUCAUAUUAUGUGUAUACUUAUAACAUAUUAUAGGGCUAUGAUCACUAAUGUUUUCUCCUAUGUUAGCAUAUAGUUGGCUUUAUGAUGAAAUAGUCAGUGUAUUUUUCUCAAUGAAAUAGUAAUUUGUAACGUAGAUAUAUUACCUUGGAAUACUAAUCAAUGUAUUUGCUACAUUUAUAUAUUAAAUCACUUAUAUACAGGAAAUGCCGGUAAAAAUAAAAUAAUCAAUCAAGUUCGCAAUUGUUAAUAUAUGUUUAUGUAUGCAUAUAAAUGUAUCAUAGUGCAUGGACUCGUGUUCCUGUAUAUGGUUUGAUCAGAAAGAUCCGAUCUAAAUUUGAUCAUUACAUUUAGAAUUCAGACCCAACUAGACGCGUGUGCGUGUAGGUGUAUAGAUAUGUGUGCAAUGUUUUAGUCUUAUUUUUAAAUAAGAUAGUAAAUGUGUUAGGGCAAAGAGUGAACAAAAGGGUAUGAAAAAAAGGGAAGAGAAGGGAGGCAACGAGACACGCGAGACGAGAGAGAUACCUAUGAACCACGACUUGUGUGUUUGUGUUUCAUUAAUUAAAAUUAUAGCAUGAUUAACUAUGAAAUCAAAACAGCCUUUCAUUUCAAUUUAAAUCUACCGUAUAACAUAACUAUAAAAAAACACACCCAUUUGUUUUAUUUUUGACAACUUUGAUGCUUUUGUUUCACCCGACAAAUCGGCACCUUUUAGGGUUUUCAUUACCUGUUUCUUCCCCAAAGACAAAUCCCUUUUUUCACCCCAUUAUUUUACUAUCUCUGGAUAUAAUAUUAAUUACUUUGAAUGGAGUAUAAAUAAUCGAUAAGUACCUUUCUCGGAAAUAACGAAAACGCAUCAUUUUAAAACUCGACAAAGAAAAAAGAAUUUUCGGGAAACAAGAGGAACCCAGUGGUUGUUUGAUUAUUCCUCUAAGAUCUCUUCUGUCGACAUUAACCCUAAUAAUUAAUUAAACAAAGGGUUUCUCUUUUGGCAUCCAAAUGGUGGUUUCUUAGUAGUCUAAGUAAGAAUUAUGGUACUCAUGGUAGAUAUUAAUUAGUUUUAUUACUUCAAUUUUUUUUAACCUUGACUUCUUCAAUUUGUUGGAUAGGUGGCUUUCGUCGACGUAAAAAGAGAAUUGGCUUCAGUCUUUCACAGGAAUAUACAGCUAAAUAUUAUAUAUACUAUAAUUUGUUUGUUAAGUAUCAGAAAAGACUAGCUUCUUCCAUUUGAAAAUAACUGAUGUUUAAUAUUUUUGCAUACAGAUUAAAAAAAAGCUUAUUAUUAGUUUUCCCUAUAUAAAAAGCAUCUUUUAUUAUCCACCUAGAUACAAUUUAACCACUGAUAAAACAAACUGUAUGAUAUAAAUGAUCAUAAAACAUAGAAAAUAAAUUGCAAUGAAAUUUAAAAACAUCAUAUAAUCUGAGAUAAUUUUUAUCUAUAAAACAUCGAAUAUUUUGAAACGAAAUAAAUAUAUAUAUAUAUAUAUAUAUAAGAUGUAAUAUGGGUUUUCAACUUAUUAAGAAGCUGCUAAUUCCGAAAAGGAAACAUAAAAAUGUUCUUAAUAGUUUUGUAAAUAUGUGAAAAUGAAAAUUAAAACGAUAUGUAUUGUGAAACCUCUGUUAGCGCACUAGUAUAUAAAAUCCCACACACAAAAGUUUGGGGACUAGAAAGAGAUCUUCUAAAUGAUUUCAAAUUGAGUGCUCCUCCCUUAACACAAACUAAAUAAAAACUCCUAUAUUGCUAAAUUGUCAUUUAUAAAGUUUAGCCAUGAACGAAUAAUUAACGUCUUAGAGUUAUCUACACUUCGAUACGGCUCAGUAUUUUUUCAGAGUGUAAUUGUUGGACCCUGAAAUUAGAUAUUCUUUGAAUGGACAUAUUUGACUCUUGAUUGAGGAGUUGUUUUAUGAAGAUCUUGGUGUUAAACCCAUAAAGUCAACUCGGAGCUGAUCAGCUGCUUCAAAUUCGGUUUAGAGUUAGUUUUGGAACGCAUGAUGGAUUAAUGAUGUUUUUUUUUCUUGUAUCAUUUGAUAGUUCGGAUUGACUAAUGAAGGGCUUGUAGGCUUAGAAAAAAAAACUAAACAAAAAACUAAAGUAUAGAAUUGUGAUACAAGAGGGCGGUACUCUCAUUCUCAUAUAUAUAUUAUCAUCACGACUACAUAUAAACAUAAUACUAAAAUAAAUAGAAAACAAAUUAAAAAGCAUGAGAAAGUGGAAUCUCUUAAAAGAUCGAAGAGACAGAUUAACUACUCUCUCGUGCUGAUUAUAUUAUUAAACUGGUUGAGUCCAAAUAAGGCCAUUUCCACGAAUUUAAAGGUCUCUUUAAAUUUAUAACUAUGACGUGACUAAUUUAAAUCAGACGAUUUCAACCAAUUAGUUAUUUAAAACUCUCACCUACUAUUAAAAUUUACCAUAAUCAUAUAUAAAUAUAAUAUAGAAAUUUAAAAUACAUUUGAAUCAUCAGUGGAUACAUAUAAUAAAUCUUAAAAAUGCAUCCAAUAUACUAGUGGAUCGACUAAUUAAUCAAAUUAAAUUAAAAGAAAAUAGAUAAAAUGGGAAUAUAUAUGUCAAAACGAUACACCUAAGAUUUGAGUUUGAAGAAAAAAAAAUCUUAGUAGGUUAAACACAAAAGAUUAGGUUGUCUCUUUGUCUGAGCUUCCCAAGAAAGUAAAAGUCACACGUCCCAAGAUUCCUUCGCCGGAGCCACCGUCCUCCGUCGUCAUCUACAAAAUGAUCUUUCUUGCCCUAACAGCAAAAAUGAUCGAUAUUCUUUUUCUCUAUUAAACCUAACUCUUAGGUUUUCUUCUUCCGAUCAUUUCCACGAUGAAACAAAGAAGAGAGGACGAUUUUGCCAUCCAAGAAACAAAGAAUUGUUAAGAAACUGAAGAUUAUAACCUUCUGAAGGAUAAUGGAGUCUAAGAAGAAGCUUAGCUUGAGAGAAAGCAAAGCUUCCUAUGGGAACGUUAACGAAGCCAAAUCUCUUCAUAAUCUCUUCCCAGAUCUCAAACCUCCGAUGUCUUUGCUUUCUCUCCUCCGCUUUCGCCGCCACAACAUCCAAAAUCUCUUUUCCGAACCACCGUUGCUCUAGGGUUAGCCUCUCUCGGCUAUUCGGCGGCAAAGUGGCUUCCAGCGAAUCAAAGAUCGCCACGUAAUGAUCCACAGCUUCUGCGAAUCUGUUCAAGAACGAAUGAUCUCCGUGGUUGGCUUCUCUCUCUGCCAUUGUCACGAUUCUAGGGUUUAAGCUCUUGAUCGCCGACAAAAAGUGACCGAUCAUAUCUCCGUCGUCGUUAGAGAAUCUGUGGAGGAAGUGAACGCAGUUUACUGCGAUGGUCUCUCCUUGUACGGCGGAGAGAGCUAACAAUCGGAUCUGUAGCAAAAGUCCGGCGAGAUCUUCUUCAACGAUCACAAGCGUGUGAAACUGAAACUGAAGACCUAGAGAGUUAGCAAACCGAGUUAAACGGUCUCCGGUUCGGUUUAACCCGGUAACGUCUCGACCACAACCGGUUAUGCGGAGAGAUGGAGGUGGACUGUUAGGGUUUGAUGAUCUCUCAGCUAGGGCUUGCAUCAGUGGAGGCCAUUGAAGCCCUUGUGAGAUAUCUAAAUCAAGUAUAUGUAAAGCUCCGUCACCGUUUGUCUCCGUCGCGUCGAGGAUCGCUUGGUUCGCCGUCAAAUGACCGAACCGAAUAAAAGGCGUUAGUUGGUUCAGCCAAAGAUAGUAACAAGACUCGAAUUCGGAGUUGUUGUUGUUCUUGGUUCGAAACAAGAACUGUUCUUUGCAUACACUACUUGUAAACACCGUGGAGCUAGUCAUUUCGUUCGUUGUCCACGUGGCAACGUUUUCAGCCGUUGGAUCUUGUUGUUGACGGUUGAUCCGUAUGGACAAGGCUUUUGAGAAGAGGUGGACGAGCCGCUCGGUGGAAUCGCCGUAAGGAGAAGAGUUUGCGGAGAGGAUCGAGAGCAAGUUCUGAGCGGCGGAGAAGUUUGACUGAGAGACGAAAUCCGCGGCGGUGAAAAGGAGACGACGGAGGUGAUGUGAGGCGGAGGAGGAGGCGGAGGAGGAGGCGAGGCAUAACGGAGGAGGAGGAUUCUCGGUGGUGGUGGUGGCAUCUUCGGAGGAGGAGCUAGAGGAUUUGAAGGAAGCAAGCAUUUGAAAAGAUUGAAAGAUGCUUUUGGUUCAUAUGAUAGAUUCGUUUUCUCUCUCGAUCAAAUGAGUCCUUUUCAAUGGGUAAUAAUAAAUAUUAUUUUUCUUUACCUGAAGGUAUAUUGCUUGCAUUAUUAUAAAUAAAUUCCACAUUAGCUAUAGCAUGUGUGUACACGCAUAUAUAUAUAUAUAUAUAUAUAUAUCUAUACACAUAACACAAAUCUAUGGAUAGAGUUGAAGAUGGACCGACCAAACCAUUCAAGGGUCCAUGAGAAUCCUCAAGCCGGUUUUAUGAUUAAUUAAAAAUUUACUUUGUUUAUAUAUCUCACGUAGCUUGAAACAAUAGUUGAGUAAAAAACUAUACAAAGUACAAUCAUUAAAUUCUUGUGUUUGAAGUUUAGUUUGAAACAUAUAUAUACAUUUAACAUUUUCUCAUCUUGUGUUUCAAUUUUACACACUAAAUUCUAAGACCAAAUUUGUUUCAGUUCGGUUUAUUAGAAUUUAGCACACUCUUGAAUCCUUUUCUAUCUUUGCAGCCAAGGAAUCUUUCAUUUAUUUAUCGACGUGCACUAAAUAUAAUAAAGCAAUUGCUGUAUUAGUAUAUUUCCCCACAACAAUAGAUACUAAUUAAAUAAAAACACAAAUAAAAAAUAUAAACUAAAACAGUUCAACAUCAGUCGUAUACAUAAUAUUUUCUGCAUUCACACGCCUUCGUCGACAGGAUAAUAUAUACUUAUGUGAGUAUAUUUGUGCGGUGGAUGGAUCGUGAAGGUGGCCCACUGUGUUAAUUGAUUAUAUGGCGUUUGCAGGAAUUAUGCUUAUAGGUUCCAAUAUUAGAUGCGUAAAAUAGGAAUUCUCGCUGAGAUUCUGAUGCCGAGGAUGCCAAUUUACGAGAUCUAGCUAAAAGAAAUAAUUUUGUUUACAAAUAAAAUAAAACAAUCAUAUAAGAUGAAGGAAUCUGAUAAUCUUGGGAUGUACAAAAAGAAAGAAAUAGCUUUGCUUGCAAAAUCGAAAAGGUAACCCCAAAUUGCUAAUUAUUACACUUUCUCAUUUAUUGGAUUUACCAAAAUGGAAAUGCUGCGACCCUUCAAGUGAAAAGGAUUCUCUCUCUCAGACUCUCACUACAUUAUGUAUGUAUAUAAUUAGAGCAUCUAUAAUUGGAUUGGCGACUUUAUUGCUCAUGUCAUCAUAUCAUCUUGUACUAUAUAUACGAAGCAUCUUAUCGAAUGAUAAAUGCAUUUACAUACACUUUUUAAUAUAAAAUCUUACAUACAUAGUUCCACCAAGGAGAAAGAUGCUUUCAAAGUUCAUGACUUAAAUCGUUUGGUGUAUGCAUCACAGUGGCUCGUAAGUAUUCCUGAAUUAUUCAUUCUUCUUGCUAUAAACGAUAUUUUCUUAUCCUCGAACCGGUAAUUCAUUCACGUAAUUAUAUUUUUGUGUAUGUGGUGGAUUUUCAGAGAAAAUUAUUAUAUAUGGGAAAUCAUAGUAUUUCAAAUUGGAUCCUAGUCAAAUCAACUUAAUACAAAAACUAAAAUAUAAGUAAGUGAUAUAAAUAAAUAGUGUCUGCAUUAAAUGAAUAAUAAUUAGGAGCUGGUAGAAAGAGUAGUAGUCGUCAAUGAGGACAAAGGAGAUGGAUGUGCUUUUUAGUCUGGAAAACACAUAGCGAUCCCAUAGGUUUUUUUUUUUUUUGGCACUAAACUUUCUUUUGACAAGUCUUUUCAGAUGAUAUUUCUAAUUUGACUAAACAUUACCAUCAAUCAUCCACGUAAAUCGAUUUCUUAAACCUCAAUACAAAAAAGGUAACUGUUUAACAUGAAUCCAACUAUUAUUAAUAUCCAUAGAUGCUUUACAUUUUAUGUUCUUUUGGGUUAAAUAUUUUAAUCAAAAUGUAGAUUAAUUUUUUAUAUUUUCAGUUGUUAAUUAAAAAUGUAGUUACAAAAAAUACAUUUUAUGAUCUAAUGUUGUGUUUGGAUGAAUGUGAUAGUAAAAAAACUCAGAUAACGCCGUUAACACACUAUAAAUUGAAUAAGGAGUUAGAAGUAAAAAAAGACAUAAAAAAACAUAGCGUGUUGUGAAUCAGUUAUCAAGAAAGAAAGGAAAUUGGUGUGUCUUAUUCCGGAGAUAAUGAAGAGUAUAUAUAGUGUUACAAAGACUUAGCUAUCACCACAAGUUUCCGAUGUGGGACAAAUACAAUAUUAGUAAUGGGUCUUAUAAUGGGCAUCCAUAUAUUAAUAUUCAUAAUACUCCCCCUGAUGACCAUUAUAACGAUAUUGUAGUAAAGCGCGUAAGAUGUUGCCUCAUUAAAAACCUUACUAGAAAAAUCCUGUGGGAAAAACCAUAGUUAAGGGAAAAAGAGUGCAGCACGCAUUUACUCCCCCUCAUGUGUACCUCCGUCUAGGUCCUUGAGACGUUGUAAUCCAAUAAGCUGAACCAAAUUCUUGAAAGUAGCAGUUGGAAGCGCCUUGGUAAAUAAAUCCACCAAAUUAUCGCUUGAACGGAUCUGUAGAACACGAAUAUCCUCAUUCUUCUGCAAGUCAUGUAUAAAGAAAGAAUUUCGGUAGAAUAUGCUUUGUUCUAUCUUCUUUGAUGUAUCCUUCCUUAAAUUGAGCGAUGCAAGCAGCAUUGUCUUCAUACAUAAUUGUUGGAGCUUCUUUUCCUUUUGAUAAACCACAAUCUUCUCGAAUAUGUUGAAUGACAGACCUUAACCAUACACACUCUCGACCGGCUUCAUAAAUAGCUAAAAUCUCAGCAUGGUUAGAAGAAGUAGCUAUAAUGGUUUGCUUCAUAGAACACCAAGCAAUAGUUGUACCACCAUAUCUGAAUACAUAUCCUCUCUGUGAUCUGGCAUUAUGUGGAUCAGAUAAAUAUCCAGCAUCUGCAAAACCAAUCAAAUCUUCUUUGGAUGGAUUAAAAAAUAAUAAAUCCAUAUAAUUUGUUCCUUUGAGUUAACAAAAUAUAUGUUUAAUCUCAUUUCAAUGUCUUCGAGUUGAACAUGAGCUAAACCUUGUAAAUAAAUUUACUGCAAAAGAUAUGUCAGGUUUUGUAUGAUUAGCAAGGUACAUCAAUGCCUUUAUUAUAUUUAAAUAUGGUACUUCAGGACCAAGUACUUUUUCAUCGUCUUCUCGAGGAAGAGAGGGGUCUUUUAACACAUCAAUUGAUAUUACGACCAUAGGGCUACUUAAGGGAUGUGCAUCAUCCAUAUUAAUUCUUUUAAGCACCUUUUCUGUAUAUGUCGUUAAAUGCACUAGGGUUCCAUCCUUUAGAUGCUCAAUUUGCAAUCUCAAGCAAAAUUUUAUUUUCCCGAGAUCUUUCAUCUCAAAUUAUUUAUUCAGAUAUUCCACUAUCUGAGAAAUCUCUACAUGAGUUCCAAUGAUGUUUAAAUCAUCAACAUACAUUGCAAUUAUCGAGUGUCCUGGAUGAUCCAUCUUAAUAUUUCUCUUUGCUUUUGAUGAUCUUAAUAAUCUCUUUAGUCGUGAUACACUUUCAUAUUUACAUUCCUUUUAGGUUACUAUCAUUUGCGUGUUCUUGUUGCCUCGCUAAAACCUUUUCAUGGAAAAACCCAGUGAGAUAAAAACAUGAGAAAGAAAAAGAGUACAACCACGCAGAUCAUCAUAUUUCUCCCUCUGUAAGCAUCUUCUUCAAGAGAUGCAUUCUAAUCAUAUAUCAUCUUUUAGGGAAUUGAUAUAAGCACAACCUUAGUUAAUACACUCAUAUGCUUAUCAAACUUUCUCAGGUUAGUGGAUUUCUAGUCCAUAACAUCCUUUCUCAUAGAAGAUAUUUUCUUCUUCCAUUUGGACUUUAUGCCAAAUUUUUUUUUACAUACAAUCUUCUACAUAUUCAUAUUGUACAUAUUUGUACAUACGACUUAUUCAUGCUCUUCUUGUAACAUCUAUCAUGUUGGAUUUCUUUCUUGCCAUACCAAAGCACAUCUUUCAAUCAUGAAAGAGAUCAACAACUUUCUCAAAUAUCAUUUUAAGUGUGGUACUCCAAGACCAACUAUGUAUGAGCAUUUUGUAUAUAAAAUAAUAUGAGGAUCUUUGAGACAAUAUCUCUUUCUUUAGUUUACAAUUUGGAGAACCUCAAGACAAACUUGUCAUUCCAAAGUUUAUUCUUCCAAAUUUCGACUUCCGGUAACUCUUCAGGAGUUUUUAUUAUAUCCAAACCAAAGAUUCCAUUGAUCCAUAAUCUUUUGAUACAUACACAUGAGUAUAUUGAUUAUCAUAUAAUAUCCGCAUGAAGCAUAUUUGCUUUAACUCAAUAAUCUAAUAGCCAAUGUUCUUGAGAACCUCAUUUUGAAAUCAUUAAUCCUUCUAAUUGCUUCUGGCAAUUUGAUUUCCUUUUAGGACUAAAUCAAGUACUUUUCUCAUUCUUAGACUGAUAAAGGAUCUGUAAAAUAGUUGCAUCCACCACAAGAAAGUAUAUCUUUUCAUGUAUCACUUUCAUUCAUCUUUCGUAUAAAGAUCCACUUAUGUCUCAUAAUUUUUACACUUUCAAGUAGACGGACUACUGGUCCAAAUUCUUCUUUACAAGAUAUUUAAUCUUUGCCUUUACGGCCUCUAUCAUGAUUGGCCAAUCAUCGGUUUACGUGUUUUUCAAUACAUCUUUUGUACCGCGGUUUUUGAUCCUCAUUUCUCAUCAUCAAUUGCUUCAUUACAUGCAAAAAUAUUAUCAACGUUGAUUUGCUUUUGAUUCCAUUCAUUCCAGACAUGACUCAGUUAGUUGAAAUCUCUUAUCAUUAAUAGGUACCUAGAUUUCUUUCUUUCUCAUGUCUAUAUCUCAUCUAGAGAAUACUUCCUCAACCUUGCCAUUUUAUAUUAUGCUCUUUUUUCUUUCGAGGAUCUUAUCUUUGGAAUCAGUAGGUCUAUCACGCUUCAUGCGAUCUUUAGCCUCUAUAGCAGUUGAUAUUGUCCCCCCGGGACAUCAAUAUUAAUUGGAGCACAGCUGGUAUAACUUAAUCAGGGCCAGAUACUGCUUCUAGCAUCAAAUUUGCUUAACUUUGCAAAUAAAUUAUCUUUCAAACUUUUAGUGCACAUUCUUUCAGAGGAUCAAGAUAAUUUCUUUUACUGAUUUUCUAGCUGUUUAUUUUCUCUCCCUUCCUUAAUUGUUGGAAAGACUGACUCACUGAAAUUACAGUCUGUAAUUCUAAUCUUAUCCCUUAUUUGAUGGCUUAAUACAUUUACUCAUCAAGGGAGAUCCAUAUCCAACAUAUAUUCCUCUUUUGAGGUCCCAUCAUAGAUCAAUGUGGUGGAGCAAAAUUAUCCAAAACUUUUAGAUGGGAAACAUCAGGUUCCUGACCAAAACCAACCAUGGGGAGAACUCAAAAUAUUCGUUGGCAUAAUGCGAAUCAAUGUGGUUUCACUCUUAAUCAAUUAACCAAAUACUUUCACAAAGAUACAUAGUGGGUGAUCAGUCCAAAAUAUCUCUUUGUGUAUGUACCAGAAAAUUAACAUAUCCAAAUUUAUUGGAGAGUGAAAACCAAACACAUAAGAAUCUUCUGGAUCUUUUGCGCAUUGUUAUUUAACUGGAAUGGCUUAACCAGUUAUGCCAAAACAGUGAGAUUUUCUGUGAACUUCUUGUUUACUAGAUCCAUUUAUAUCUCAUAUACUAGUGUAGUACAAUUCAAUAGAGAAUACAAGUAGUUUCUCUAAAUUACUUUUACUGUCUUGGAUAAUACUCAUGAUGUGAAGAUGUUAAUCAUUUCCUUCACUCAUUGUCUCAACUUGAUAAAUCUUAAAAUCUUUUAGAUUUUCUGUACACAUGAUUUAUCGAACAUGAGUGUGAACAUGAUCUUCUGGAUGUUCCACUUACUAAGAAUUGUGGGAUUCUACAAUUCUCCCUCUCGAGAUGAUGAUGACACUUCAGUUCCAUUCAUCUCGAAUCGAAUCCCACUCUAGGAUCAACAACAUACCCAACUUGGGUUUUAUAUUAUAUCUUAGAUCCUUUUGACCUUUGAGACUUAAGAAAGUAUAAUCCAUUAAUGAUUCCAAAUCCUUUCAUAGGCAAUCAUAUCUGCUCUUCUGGAGCUUCUAAUAUUUUAUACAAUCUCAUCUUGUACUCACACUAGUUUAUUUUAUCAUCAUAUGAUAUACAUAUCUCUUGUAUGUUACCAUCUUUAUUCUCUCAGUUCUAGUGAAUAUCAGAAUUCUUAAAAGAAACUCUUUGGCCUCAACCUUGACCUUGACCAUAUCCAUAUCCAUAUCCACAUUUAUGUCUGCAACCACUUUCAUAGCCAUAUUUGGCCUAUAUCAAUCAUGUGGUAUUUUCUUUCUCAAUAUAGGGUGUCACAUUCACUUCAGGGAAUGGACUAUCUCAAAUCAGAAGUAUAUCCUGAUUUUUCUCUUUUUAACUCAUUAUGUUGCUCAGCCUCUUUUAGACCCAUAUACAAGUUUAUAACACUUCUCAAAGUGUAUUGUGUCUACAAGACAACAUCUCAUUCUCUAAAUGGUAGAGUAUGUCUUUUAACAUCUUUGGAUCAACGAUAUUAUCUUCACAUAAUAUCUGAACAUAACCGAGCCAAACUCACUGCAGACUUUAAAUCACAUUAUUUUAGAUUCAACCAAUCAUAAUGAGUGUAAUAUCACAUUUUGGUGAUUCAAAAUUUUGUGGAUCUUUUUGGUCAAGUACUCGAUCUUAAGAUCAACAAAGAGGCAUUAUCACAUAAAUAUAAUCACGAAAAUUUGUUCAAAUUUCAAAAAAUAUGAUAAUCAACCCAGAUGCAAUUAUCUUAUGAACGUUAAAUGUUCUAUCACUUAAAGCAUGCAUCGAUUUGAACAAAUAUCACAAAGCAAAUGAUUUUGACUAACACAAUUUAAUUGUACUCAAUCAAUUAUGAUAUCCAACCAGCACAAAACUUAUGUAAUAAAAUAUUUUGAUUGUCGUAUUCUAUCACCAUAAUUAAUAACAAUAGUACGAUUACUAAUAAGGAUUUAAUCUAAUUUAAUAUUACUCACAUAAAUGAUUAAUUAUGGACUUAUAUGAAGAUUAAUAAUAAUUUAACAUAGUUUAUAUAAAGCAAUUAUAUUAUAAACUCUGGCAACAUCUCUAUGUGCUAAGUUAUAUUAAUUGAAAAAUCAUAAAUCAGGAUAUAAUCACAUAUAAUAUUUCAAUCAUUCAUUAAUUCAUUAAUAUUUUACCUUUAACCUAGUUUUUAAAUCAAUCAAUCAAUUCAUCAAACAAUUUCAUAUAAUAUGAAUGUGUAAAUUUCGUGAUAAAGCAUGAUAUAAUUUGUUUCGUUUUAGAAAACCUUAUCAAAUAAAACAGAAAAAAUUCAGCCGUGCACAGAUAGGACAUAUAUUUAUAUUAUGCUGUUAUAAUCUCACCGUGCAUAAAUAGAGCAUAUAUUAUGCUCAUAUAACCUCGCCGCCGUGCAUAGAUAGGGCAUAUCUUGUGCUCUUAUAAUCUCGCCGUGCAUAAAUCGUGUAUAAAACGAUUUAUGAUAAAAUCCAGGUGUGCACAGAUUGGGCAUAUAUGAUGUUCUUGUGCAAAAACGGAUCAUAAAUAGUGUAGAUUAUAAAAUCGUGCAGAUUUAGGGUAAACCCUAAGCAUGGAGGAGGCAUAGUCUUCAUUCUUCGGGGAAAGAAAAACUUCUCGUCCCAAAAUAAAAUUUUGAACUAACUUUCACUUUUUCGGUUUGAGAGAAAAAAAAAAUUUAAACUAACUCUCACCUUUUCGGUGUGAGAAUAGAUCGAGAGACGAUCGCGCUAAUAACGUGUUGUGAAUCAGUUAUCAAGAGAAAAAAGAAAUUGGUGUGUCUUAUUCCGGAGAUAAUGAGGAGUAUAUAUAGUGUUACAAAGACUUAGGUAUCACCACAAAUUUCCAAUGUGAGACAAAUACAAUAUUAGUAAUGGGCCUUAUAGUGGACAUCCAUAUAUUAAUAUUCAUAAUAUAGCGCUAUUAUAUGAGCAUUAAAUUUUUUUAUUGAUUUAUUGUGCUAUAAUAGUUAAAAACUAGCGUUAUUGGCUUUUAUGUUUGGAUUAAUCAUUUUAGUUGAACUAUUUUUUCGUGGUUUUUUCUAUCUUCGGUUUUUUUUUUCGUUUAAAGUUGUAAAUCCCCUGAUCAGCGUUCUUUUGAGUUAUGUAGUUUCGCUAUUGUACUCUUCCAACUUUUCUAUGUUUCGAGAAUUUUACUUUUGACUUUAGUAUCUUAUUAUAUGUAUCCCAUGUAUCGGAUUUAGUUUUUGGAGAAUUCCUGUUUUCCGCUGGUUUUGUGUAUCAAAAUUGUGUUCUACUUUUGUAUUCUAUCUUUGAAUUAUAUAAGAAAAAAAAAAUUUCAGUGAAAAAAAAAUAAGUUAGAAAGUAGGACAAACAAAUAAAUAAAUAAAAAAAAAACAAAGAAGAACAAGAAGAAGCACGCAAUGAAAUAAAUGAGGGAAGGGAGAGGCAGGAAGUUUAACCCAAAAGAUUGGACGAAAGGCUGACACUUUUGCCUUUCUCACUUUUUUUAUUUUCUUUCUUUCCUUCAAUUAAUAAAAGUAAAAUUUGUUAUUUUAUUUUGUGUAUCUUUGGCUGCCACGUUGGAUGGGACAUAUUGGAAUGAGGUAUUUCCUUCCUACCCUCCACUGCCAUUCCUAUAAUUAAAAUACGAACAUUCUUUCUGUUCCUAAUUAAUGAUUUUUUGGACUUAAACAAUUAGAUUUGAUGCGUUUAGAAGAUACGUUCCUUUCCCAACAAACCAUCGCUAACAAUUACAUGCGCUAACUUACGUGAAGACCUUGAACACACGUGUAUCAAAUUCACAAUAUUAUCAAGAAAUUAGAAAAAAUGGUAAAAAAGUAGUGAAGCUUUUUGUGUUAGCUUUUCAAUUGCUUGAAGUUGAGAGAUAUAUGUCUCCUUAUGGUUGAAGAUCAAAACGAGCAGAAGAAAGCUUUUUUAACGUUUCACCUCAUCUGUGUCGCACGCGACAAGCACGUGCACGUCAAGAUCCUUGUCAGCUCCACUCUCAAUAACUCACAUAGAUAUCAAUAUAUGUCCCUAAUCUAUUUAGCUAUCUGCAUAUACAAUUUCCCGACAAAAGUUUGAUUUGUUUUUUCUUUCUUUUUAUAGCCUAUCACGCUAUUAUAUUUCUAUCCAUUUAUUUACUACACGAUAAUCUCAUGCAGUUCUCGUGUAUCUGAAUAUGAUUGAAUAACAUCGCAGUGUGAAUGUAUGAUAUUUUGUGUUAUGAUACUCUCUAGGCCUCAUCACAGCCCUAGUCAUUCGGCCCGAUAUCAAUGUGGUGUCAACGUGAUCAUUCAUUUAUUACAAAAAAAAAACAUAUAUAGAUAUAUCCUAUCAUUCUGACAAGUUACAAUCGGAUUACAACUGUAAUUCAUUUUAAGUAUUGUUAUUUUGGAUCCUAAUAGAGUUAAUCAUGCCUGCCUUAUUGCCUUUUAUGUUUUGGUUUUUGGUUAAUUUGUUUUAUGUUUAGUUUGUAGUUGUUUGUUUUUUUUUUUUGGGGGGGGGGGGAGCUAUUCGCUCCAGAAGAAUUUCUAACUUUACCGGUUUUGUGACUAUUGUUCAAAGGUUAAAUUUUCGGGUUAAAUUAUGGUUUAUUCGACGUGGUAACAUCGCUUGAUAUUAUAAUAUACUCUUUCAGAUGUGAAAAAAAAAAUCAUUAGGUAGCAAAAGCUACAUCAUUAUCUCUACUCAUAUCGUUAAUUAGUUCAAGGUUUAGCUAUAUAUGAUUAAAUAAAACAAUAAACAGAAGGACGCCAAAUUAAAGUUAAUAAUGAUUCCCUUAAUUAAUUCAUUUGUUUAGAAGAAGAAGUCUUACCGUUUAAUUAAUUCAUUGUUUAGAUGAAGAAGUCUUACUCAAGGAAUAAAACAUACAUACAUUUCACAAUUCAUGCAUAUGUAUAAAAAAUAUUGUCUUAUGGCAAAUUAAUAAUAACUUGAAUUAAAUAAUCAAAAGAUCCGAAAAUCAUAAUAUAAUCCGUUCGAUUCCAAAUUGGUCUCAACAAAACAAAAACAAACUCUUUUUUCUGUUAAAUAAAAGUCUUAAACAAAAAUUAGGCUCCGGCAUAAGGGUUAAUCUUAGGUUUGUCCUUGACUAGACCACAUUGGAGGCUUGACUCCGGCAUAUUGUAUUCGUCCCGGAGAGAUUUUUCCGGCGACAAAACGCUUGCGUAGAGUUGCUGUCCCAAGUAACGUCUUUCGGAAUUCUCUGACCUAAUGUUCCACAUUCCACAGUUGUCAAAUGUGAGCAAGAUUGCAGCCCAACACUUGGGGUAGACUUGGACUGUGUGUCGGCUCACUGCGUCUAAAAGGUUGUAGUUCUUCCUCUUCUCUGGUGUCCAUGUCCCUGGCUCAACUCUGUUUAAUACAAUGAAAGACGCUUUAAUUAGAAUUUAUAGUUUUUUUUACUCGUAUAGUGCACGAAAAGGGAUGUAGAGUGUUACUUACGCUACAGCGAAGAAGGAAUAGCCAUCCAAGUGCCAAGACUGAACGCUCCUCUCAUGGUUCUCAAACACAAUUUCGAUGAAGUUGCGGUGAGUGAUGUUAAGAACAUUGGGUUCGAUCUUGAUGUUCUUGAUCUGAUCCGAGGUAGGGUUAUCGGAGAUGCUGUCAUACUUGAAAACCUUAUCGACAACGCCAAAGUACUCAGCAAGCUUCAAGGGUGUCUCUGGGUCUGUGUGUGAGACACCACUCAAUGCGUACCUGAGCUUGCCAUCGAUCUUGCCCUGAGUAUUCACGAGCUUGAUGGUGCGAGUGAUAUUAAUCUUUCCGUAGUGGUACGAUCCCUGUGGGUUAGGUCUAGCUGCACUGGCUGUCAAGUUCCAUCUAAAAGAGCGGAACUGGUUCAAAGACCAAGCCCAACCAACAGGAGCCGCAGGUAGCUGAGAAGAGGCGGGGCCUUUUCCUCCCUCGUAGCGGAGGAGCCCUGUGGUGGUCAAAGCGUUUUUCAAGAACCUUGUGGAAGCUACCAUGUAGUAAUCUUUAGGUUCUUGGUUCGCGGUGACGAGAACACCAAAGCAUUGACCGACGUGGACGUCAAGCGAGUCAUAAUCAUUCUGGAGAACGUGUGAGCCUUCCAUCUCAACAAGUUUCAUCUUGUGGUUCUGAAUUCUGAAGUUGAGAGAUGCCUUGAGACCCACGUUACAAAUACGGACUCUGUAGGUUUUUCCUUGCUUCAAGGUGAAAAGAGGCUGGUCGGAGCCGUCACCUUUCCCGGCCUUACCAUUGAUGAGAAUGCCGUCUGGACGGCCAAUAGUACGGCCACUAUCGAGGAACUUUUUGAGCUGAGUGUGGCUUUUCGUAUACCAGUCGUUGAUAAGGAUAGUGUAGUCAUCUUCAGGAUCAGCGUACGGGACGGGGAUUAGGAGACGGCUGUUCACACGGAGACCACCAAAGGCACCCGCGGCACGAUGCAUAGCUGUGGUCGGGUAGUAGAAAUAGCUACCGAUCUGAUCCUUAGGCUGGAAAUGGUAUGUGAAGUUCUUACCCGGUGGAAUGGGACACAUUGUUCCGGCUGUACCAUCUUGCCAUGAGUUCUUCCUAUGCUGAAUUCCAUUCCUAUUUAUAAAUUUGCCAAAAUAAAACCCGAAUCAGAAGGUAUUGGCAGCAUUGACUAUUAAUAAAAUCGAAAUGUAUUAAAUAGAGAAAAAACAGUAUGUAAUAAUAUUUACAUUUUUUGUAUAUUUUGACAACUUUAUGCUAAUUUUUUUUUUUUUUUACCAUCUUCUCCAUCAAAUUUUUCAGUUUCAAAAUUUUCUAUUGAAAUGUUAAAAAGUAUAUAUAUUAUUAGAAAUAAAAAUCUGUGAUCAUUGAUCUACUUUGUUUAUUUUAGCGUUUUAUUAACAUUUUACAGAAACUAUGUUCGAUUGUUCAUCUAACAUUUGACUAUUUUACGAUUUAAUUAUUCAUUUAAUAUACAAUUCAAACUGAUAAAAUAUUGAUUUUUAGAUAACCAAACAAUAAAACCGAAUUAUAUAUAUCCAAAUAUAAUGACCAUUCGUAGCGCCCUAUAUAUGAAGAAAAACGUACCAAGUAAGGAGGAAAGGCUCGUCGAGGUUGUUGAAGACAUUAACGAUGAUGUUGUUGUUAGAAGUUGAGUUGAUGUUAGGACCAGGGAACUGACCGUUGAUGAGAAUGACUUGUUGUGGAACUCCGAGAGGAGAUGCGGUUCCGUACGUCACGUUCCACACGUAGUGAAAGUAAGGAUCCUCCGCUACGACGACGGUCGCCACCGCAAGGCAUAGGCACACGGCCAACAGUUUAACCCCUCCCUUCAUUAAUUACCAAUAUUAAACUUUACUAGAUAAUAAACUUUUUGAUUUUCUUUUUCAAGUGUUAGAAAGAAAAAAAGUGAUAUUUUUUUGGUUUUGUAAUGUUUUUUUUUUUUUGAGGGGUUUGAAUUUAGUUUUUUUUUUCUCCUUCAAAUGUUAGACGACGUUUUUAUAGUUUAAUCGAAUUUACAGUUUCCUUAUUUUUCUCGUUUCUUCAGGUCCUCUCGUCACGCUCUCCCUGUCGUCCAUAUUAGGAAUAUUCAGUUUGACCUCUCGCUAUUUUUGGUGUAACUUUUUUUUUUUCUAGAAUAUUUUUCCCACAGUGUCUUCGCGUAUUUUGCUCAUUUUGAAGAAUAUAUUUGUGAGUCUGUUCAUAUACGUGUGGUCUAGUAAUAACGCAUAUGACUAAACUUUAUUUCCUAGACAAAUCAAUUUGGGUUGGCUAUGAUGAUUUAAUGUCAUUUGGCAAUAAGAUUGUACAAAUAUUCAGUUAUGCUCGAUUGAAAAUAGUUAUACAAACUAAUUAAUGAGCUAGUGAUGACUAGUAAUUGAUUUGACGUGAGAAAUCGAGAACAUAGUGAAACAAGUUGAUGGGGUGAACAAAUAUGGUUUAACAUGGAACAUGCAAAUCGGAUGGAUCAAGCAGUACAUAUUCAAAUUAAGUAAAUCAAUCAAGCUCCAAAUCGUCGAUGGUUCCUUCUUCAUAGCUAGCAUAUCAGUUUUGAUUCAAAUUUUGCUAAAAUUAUUAUUAUUAUUCUUUUUAUAAACUACAAAGUUCUGUUUUCAUAGCUUCAUCUAAUAGUAUUUUCACAUUUAACCCAAAAAAGCAAUAAAAAACAAACAAAACAAAUUUUGAAUAAGAACUUAAUAAAUUUGUUUUGUCAACAAUAAAGAACAGUAAUCGUGCAGUGGGGAUAAAAUAGUUAUCAAACUUUAAUUAGUUGACUAUUUUCUAACAUUUUAUAUGUCUAAAAAUAAUGUUUUCAAAUUUGAUUGUAUUGAUAGUUAAAUAUACAUUAAAUAAUUUUUUAAAAAGCAAAUAUGAGAUUUUCAACUUAAAGAAAAAGGUAUUUGAACCAACCUAUUUUUGAAUGAUGGGUCAGUGAUUGAAGUACAGUUCACAUUACAUGACUACAAAGCACAGUCACUACAAGGAAAUCAAUUAAGCUUUUGAGACGAAAAAAUAGUCUCAUAAAUAAAAUACCCGGUCGCAAAUUCUGAAAACCACAAAUAAUUAUAACUCGGGUUAUUUAUUCAACGCUAAUUCAUUCCUCACAAGUUCAUAAAAAGUUAACUCAAACGAUUAUAUUUGUUUAGUCACGAAUUUUGUCUUGACAACAUUUUUCGGGUAACAAUUCAUUUGACGUGUGAACCAGUUAUUGACAUCGUUAGGGACAUUUCCAAUAUUAGAAUACAAUCCGAGUUGUAAUAAUUCAAAAAGUUCUGGAACCUUAAAAACCAGAAAGAGAAAGAGAGAGAAAACUGUUUGUUGCAUCACCAUUUUCACAUAUAGAAAAUUGAAUUAGAGAUGAAGCGUAAAAUAUGGUGACGAUAACUUGCGAAAGAAGUUAUGUUUACCCUUCAUAAAUACUUCAAAUCACCCAAGUUACAAGAGGAUUCCUCAAAGGAAAGGGUUAAUUAUACGUAACACAGAAAGUAAAAUUAAUCUCUUUUUCUAGAAGAAAAAGAGAAAAAAUAAAAAAUAAUAAUAUGGAGGGGAGGUUAUUGACGGUGUUGGUCUGCCUCGUCUCUACGGUGGCGAUAGUGAACGCCGGCGAUCCUUACUUCUUCUAUACAUGGAAUGUAACCUACGGAACCGCCUCACCUCUCGGUGUUCCUCAAAAGGUGAUUCUCAUCAACGGCCAGUUUCCUGGUCCUAACCUAAACUCAACCUCUAACAACAACAUCGUCAUCAAUGUCUUCAACAACCUAGACGAGCCUUUCCUCUUGACCUGGUACGUAUCCAUAUAUCCCCAUUCUUUAGCUAGUUUCUGAUUAUAUGUUAUUAGGGUUGUUUUCAAGGACCGGAUCAUUUUCAGUUUAGACAGUUUUAGUCCACUCCUCGUUCUAAAGCUUGAGCCACAGUACCCAUUAUUUGAUCUCGAGGGAACAGACCGGUUCAUGAUUUACCUUAGGAAAAAAGAAAAAGAAAUGAGUAUUAAUGAUGGGAUUGUGACUGCAGGAGUGGGAUUCAGCACAGGAAGAACUGCUGGCAAGAUGGUGUGGCUGGGACUUCAUGCCCCAUCCCAGCAGGACAGAACUUUACUUAUCACUUCCAGCCCAAGGACCAGAUCGGUUCCUACUUCUACUACCCGACCACUUCUCUCCACCGGUUUGCUGGUGGUUUUGGUGGUCUCCGUGUAAACAGCCGUCUCCUUAUUCCUGUUCCUUAUGCUGACCCUGAGGAUGAUUACACUGUCCUUCUCGGUGACUGGUACACAAGUGGCCACACCGCUCUCAAGAACUUCCUUGACAGUGGACGCACCCUUGGUUUGCCUAACGGUGUUUUGAUCAAUGGAAAGUCCGGAAAGGUGGGAGGAAACAACGAGCCUUUGUUCACGAUGAAGCCCGGAAAGACCUACAAGUACAGGCUAUGCAAUGUUGGAUUCAAGUCUACUCUUAACUUUAGGAUCCAGAACCACAAGAUGAAGCUUGUGGAGAUGGAAGGCUCUCAUGUUCUUCAGAACGACUAUGACUCACUCGAUGUCCAUGUUGGCCAGUGCUUUUCAGUUCUUGUGACUGCUGACCAGGCAGCUAAGGACUACUACAUGGUUGCAUCAACUAGGUUCCUAAAGAAGGAAUUGAGCACCGUUGGUGUGAUCCGGUACGCAGGAAGCAACGUCCAGGCUUCAGCUGAGCUCCCCAAGGCUCCCGUUGGUUGGGCUUGGUCUUUGAACCAGUUCAGAUCCUUCAGGUGGAACCUCACCGCUAGUGCUGCAAGGCCCAACCCGCAGGGCUCGUACCAUUAUGGAAAGAUCAACAUCACCCGUAGCAUCAAGCUUGUCAGCUCUAAGAACAUGGUGAACGGUAAAGUCAGGUUUGGCUUCAACAGUGUAUCACACGUUGACACCGAGACUCCUUUAAAGCUGGCAGAGUACUUCCAAAUGGCAGAGAAGGUGUUCAAGUACAACGUGAUCAAGGACGAGCCAGCAGCCAAAAUCACAGCAUUGACAGUAGAACCGAAUGUGCUCAACAUCACUUUCCGUACCUUUGUAGAAAUCAUUUUCGAGAACCACGAGAAGAGUAUGCAAUCAUUCCAUCUGGAUGGUUACUCCUUCUUUGCAGUCGCGUAAGGCUCUUUUUUGUGAUCCCUUUUGCUUUGUCUUUCUUUCUUUCUUUUAACUCUCUCUUUCUAACUAACUUUUUGCUGUUCUUGUUUCCUAGUUCUGAGCCAGGGAGGUGGACACCUGAAAAGAGAAAGAACUACAACUUGCUGGAUGCUGUUAGCAGACACACGGUGCAAGUAUACCCCAAGUCUUGGUCAGCUAUUCUACUGACAUUCGACAACGCAGGUAUGUGGAACAUCAGGUCUGAGAACUGGGAGAGGAGAUACCUUGGUCAACAGUUAUAUGCGAGCGUUCUGUCACCUGAGAAAUCGCUAAGGGACGAAUACAACAUCCCCCUCAACACUAACCUCUGUGGCAUCGUCAAGGGCUUGCCAAUGCCUGCAAUCUACACUUAAAAUAAUUAACCACUCACUCCACAAGUGGGGUGCAUACUAAUGAUUUGCUAAUUAACCCUUUCCUAAUUUGAAGUGUGUAAUUUGUAAACUACAGUCUACAGUUCAACUAUACUAUCAUUAACCACAAAUCACAAUUAUAGACCAAGUUUUGUCCUCAGUUGAAACAAGUUUCGUAUUGAGCACCACAACUAGUUUGUACUAUAAAAAAGGAAAGAAUCCCAAGAUGUAAAGUUAGUCCAGAUUCACGACAAAACAAGGCUUGGAUUGAAACAAAAUAGAAUACCAGAUAAUGAGCAGUGACCACCACUUAUUGAUGAACAACCUCAUGGAAAUGCCUAACACCUCUUAUUGAAAUACCUAUAAUUCUAUUGUGGUUUGGUGAAAUCUGAAGAAUGAGAGAGAGCGAGAGAGGAAGAAAGAAUGAGAGAGGGAGAAAAAUGGUUCAGUGGCGUUAGCCAAAAAGCUCUGAUACCAUGAAAUCUGAAUAAUUUCCCUGAAGUUUAUUCACCACCAAUUACAUCAAUAUAUACAGAGGUCAAGAGACUUAAUUAACGGGAUUCUCCUUUGAUUGACAAGCCUAUAAUCUAAUCAUAUCAAUCAAAUUAAUUACAAUAUUUGACUAGUAUCUAUCAUUUGGUUCCGAUUCGGUUCAGGAUAUUUUGCCCAUGCCUAUCUGCGACUUUACAAUUAUUUGAAAUGCCAAUUAUAACUUUGAUUUUUUUUUAGUUGACGUUACUUUCUUUGAACUAUUGAAGUCCACAACGAAAGAAAAGUUGAUUAACAUAACAUAUAAUUUUCUGUUAGAUGUAAAUCAGACCAAACGUUUAUAUUAUUUAGGCUUCUUCAGUUUUGAGCUAAAUAUAAUGUUAUCCAUAUUUCGGAGUAGUAAUUUUUUUUUGUUACGUAAGUUGAUGAAAACGGUCGCUAGAAACAAAAGAGAGAAAAAGGAAAACCCUCUCAUUUCAUUUUAAUUUAAAAUUCAAAAAAGCGGUCUAUACUCUUCUAAUUUCCUCUCCUUGAAAAAACGGCUAUAUUUAUUUUUAACAAUAAUAAAUAACACUCCUAUAAUUUUCUCUGUUUUUUCUCUCCUAAAUAAACGCUCCUCGAUUAGACCUAAUUUUCUCCUCAAUAUUCAGUUUUUCUCAAUUCUACCGAAAAAAAACUUUGUGUUUUUUACGCCAAGGGUAAAGGCGUAUGCUUAAAGAGAGAUUUGGGUGCUUUCAGCCAUGCCCACGUCGUCACUGCCACAUCCACCACUGCAAAGAAAAUUUUUGAGAUAUAUCGGCGAUGACAUGGAAGCCGAUAGAAUUCAAUGAACCUUUAAUUUCUUAUAUGAGAAAAAAAAGUUAUUUGCAGAAGAAUUAAUCAGCAGUGCAAUCAGUUAUUUUUGAAGCUUGCUAUGGCAAUUAGUGAAGAUGAGAAAAGGUUUGUGUUUUGUGUUUCAAGCUUAGAGGGUUUACGUUUUUUCUUUUGAUUUACAUAGAGCCGUACCUAUACUAAUGAAGAUCCUAAGUAGAGGCAGUCAUAAGUUUUAAAAAAUUAAAAACAAAACAAAAUGAUUGUGCAAGAAUUGGUCUGAGAUUUUAAUCAUUUGUCUAAUUUUACUAAACUAUAUAAAACAGUAAGUAUGUGAACAUAUUGGCCUUCGAAAAUAUUAUAAAUUCAAAUACUCAAACAUAUGUGAAAUGAAUUUGUAUCCACAUCAACACACAAAAUAGUGUAAUAUGUGAAUAUUGGUUUAGUUUAUCCAAUUUUAGUUUAGGCAUGUGAGAAGAAUAUUCAUCUAUAAAUGAACUUAAUAAGUCUUUGUAGUAAAUCAAUUUCGAUGUUCAUUGGAUGAAAAACUUAAUAACUCUUCAAAGUUUCACAAAUGUAUUUUAUGAACUAUUUUUUUUAGUUUCGUCCUAUGCUUAACAAAAUUUAUUGAAUAUUAAUUAUUAGCAAAAUAACAAAUACUAUAAACCGGCCAAAAAUUCACUUUGAUUAAAUAUACUUUUUGAUUAUAUUAAAUUAGUCCAAAACUAGCUUAACUUUAAAUUUUUGAUAUGAACUAGUCAAUAUAAAGGUGAUCUCAAAUUGUAAUUUAGAAUUUAUAAUUUUCAUUUAUUUUGAAUAAAUUUGGUAGAAGACUUUAGAUGAUGUAGUUUUUGCUUUGUUUGAUUUUUUAGCUUAUUCGUUUAAAAACAAAUCUAGUUUUAUAAUAUAAUGUCUGAUUAAAAAAAAUUAAAAAUACGAUCAUAAUCACCACAAAUAACAACAUACAAAUUCGCUAUAAACAUCUUAUCCAAUUAAUCUUAAUAUUGACCACUAAAUCAGAAAUUGCAAAUCAAUUUGUUGAAAGAUAAUUUGUAUAACAAUUUAUAAAUUUACAAGCAAUAUUAAUUAGAUUUUUUUUAAUGCUUUUAUGAAUGAACAAAAAUUAAACGUGAAAUUAUAAUAUAAUAGAUUUUGUAAAAAAAUAAACUUUUAUAGAUAUUUUAUUUAAAUUAGGCCAUAGGCCAAUGUUUCCCAAUGCAUAAGACACGCGCCCUGGAUUUACAUCUCAAAGAACUCAUGUGGUAUGCUUUUUCCUUUUCUAUAAUACCAGACUUGUGCCAUGAAAGAGGCGAGUACUUCUCUUGCGAGUACUUCUCUUGUCCCCAAAAAAGAAAGAGGAUGAGAUCAGAGAAGAGAUUCAAGUUACCCCAAAGAUACCAAAAAAACAAAUCAAGACGUGCUUCAGAUGUUUUUCCUAGCUUCAUGAGACCAACAGCUAGUAGCAACAGAAGAUUAUCAGGGACAGAUUUUAGCGUAAUCUCCAAUGGUCGUCCAGGCUUUAAGUCUAGAAGAAACUCAAUGAUAUCUGUCCGAGCUGAAUCUGUGUGUCUUCCGGUGAAGAAGAACGGAUUUGAUCCCGCGUGUGACUCACCAGAGAGGAGCGUUUCGAAGUCGACUUGCGUUAUGCGUCCGAAUACAGCGGAUGAUGCAGCAACGGUUUAUAGUCAGGACAUAUCUGAAUGUGAUAUUAAGUUGGUCGUGUCGGAGCACAAACCAAAGGUACUGCAGAUGGGCCCCGGAUCUGCAAACAAAUCCCGCUCCAAGAUCGGUUUCUUGAGAAAAACGUUAACCAGAAAGAGGGUGGAACAGAGUUCUCAAGGAUUAAACAGUUGGCUUCAUUUGCAAUCCGAAAACAGGAGUUACGUGAAAUAGGUAGGAUCGAAGAAACAUUUAUGCAUGUGUUUUUCUUUGCUGGUUAAUUAAAUGUAUAAUCCCUUGAAGCAAUAUAUAACAAACAAGCAAUAACUUGAAGAGUUGAAAUCUUGGACAAGGACAUAGUUUUGAUGGAAGAAACAAAGGUUACAUUAACCAAAUUUAUGAAAUAGAGAUUAAACUCUGGAAAUAACAAACAGAAUAUCCAGUGGAUUCAGCAUCAAAAACAACAAGAUCAUUCUCGGUUUCAGGGUCAUGGGUCAUCAGUGUUUUCAUUUGCACAAGAUCAUAAAACAGCAACUCCUUUUUCUUCUUCUUCUUAUUAGUAUUAUUCUUCCCAUCCAAAAGUGCUAGUGGAUGGAACGCGCAUAAUGUUGGGCUACCAUAAAUAAUAGAAAUUACAAGCAGAUUUAUGGAACAAAUUUUGUCCCAUGUAUUGUUGCUGGAAUUGAACGACCAUAUCACUUGGAUGUCGAGGUUGCUAUUCUUCUCGGAUACACAUGACGAUAUCGUAAGGAGUACGCUCUGGAUUGGCUGCAAAAGAAGCUUUAGAUACGACUUGAAAAGCUUCCGUGUGAAGAUCAAAAAAUAGAACUUUGGUUUCUUGGCAUUCCGUGAACCAAUGAAGCGACCCAUGUACAAAAACGGGAUCGGCACAACCAGCAAUCCGAUAAGGAGAAGCAGGAGUGACAUACCUCCAAGCGUUGGUGCUAAAGUCGAAAACUUCACAUGUAGUAGCGUUUUCAAGGCCUAUUUCUAAAGAGUUGUAUAGCCAAAUGAGCUUGUAUGUGCCUCUGGAUAUGUCUUUACCGAAUCCAAGCUUAAAGAAUGAGUGUCCAAGUUCGAAGUAACUUUCUCGUAAGUCGAUCAUGAGUUGCUGAAAUUGGCAUAGAGGAAGAGGGCGAAACCAUCUAGUGGUGGGGUUGACCACAAACCCUGAUUGUUUGUGAUGAUAAAGACAAACCAGACCGUCACAGCUAUCAAAGGAGACGAAGUACUGCGUGUUGUUUUCCUUCUCCCAAGGAGUAGGGAUCUUGACCGAUGAGGAUGAACCCAACACCAGUGUUCUUAGAGAUUCUAUGUCCGGCGGGUGAGGACAUCCUGACACCAAGAGUACAUCUGGAUCUCCUGAUUGCUGUCGCUUCUUCAACUGUCUUUCUUCAAAGACUGGUGAUUCGAUCGUUGAUUUCCAUUGCUUCGACACAGCCUUGAAUCUCAGCAGAGAAUUCACCGCAAGUCUCUCCAAGAUAAGCUCUACGACAUCGUGUGGCACCGCAUUCCAUCAUCAAGCGACGUCUUUUCCACAUUCUUGCCUUGUCUCCGUAGCCAUUGAUGAGAUACAGAGGCUUAUUAUAUAUACUGCAAGUAAUAACAAAUACAUAGGAGAAUUUCAACAUUUUCCUUUCCUUCAAUCUAGAAUUUCAAUAAGGAGAAUUUUCAUCAGAUCAAGGAAAAGGAUAUUCUCUCUCACCACAACACAGAUCUUCUCCUAGCUAAUACUCAAAAACCUCGACACUUUCCUUUUCAUAAUAAAAAUCUAAAAUGUCAAUAAGAAAUUUCUAGGAUUUUCCAUCAGAUUUUCUCUCUCCAAACGACACAGACAGAUCUUCUCCCAUUUACUCAGAAACCUCUUGGAACCGAACCCUAUCUCUUUCUUUUUUUUCUGGGCUUUGAAUUUUCUUUGGGCUCAGAACCCAUAUAUGAUUUAAACCAACGUCUUUCGUCCGUUAUUUGCAUUUUUUCGUACUUUGAAUGAAUCUAUUUUUUGUCGGCAAUAUUUUUUUAUGAAAAUCUGAUACGUGCCCGUGAGCGUUAGACAAUCAUUAACGGGGUCGUUUAAUGGGUCUCUUCAAAUAUUUUAAUAACUAGGGAUUAAUUUGCGCCGGAGAUAUAUUUUUAAUUUUUAAUUAAUUUAAAUAAUUUGAUGAAAACAGUUAUUUUGUAAAAACAGUUAUUGUUAUAAAGUUUACAAUAAUAUAGUACAUAUUUUUGUGAAUUUUAAAUAAUGAAUUGAUCUAUAUAUAUAUAUAUAUUUUUGAAUUAUAAAAAAUGAGUUAAUCCGUAUAUGAAGUUAUUUUAUAAGAGUGUAAAGCAAAAUAAGUUGUUUUAAACCCGUUGGCACUAAACUAAAAUAUUAUCUAAGCUAUUAUAUAAAAAUUAUAAUAUUAUAAUCAUCAACUCUAAUUUGCAUAGUUUAAUAAUUGACAUUUAUAAUCUGUUCACUAACUAUAAAAAUUUAAUUUUAUCUUUUUAACUAUAUAUGAAAAUAAUAUAAUAUUCUUUACACUUAGGUUUGAUUUAUAAUAAAUAAAUAUACAACAAAUUAUAUUUAAUUUAAAAUAUAUAUAAUUUAGUAGAUUGAAUAUAUUACUUAUUUUAAAAAUUAAUAUUUUGAAUUUUGAGAUUUUUUGUGGGUAUUAAAAAAUUAAAAUUAUAAUCUGUUCAUAUCGAACUAACCCGUUUACUUAACAUAUUUGUAUUGGAUUAAAAUUUAAUAAUUAAUUAUAAUAUUCACCGUUUUUUUUAUUUAAACUUUAUAAUAUUCACCGUUUAAUAACUCUUAUUUCACCACAAACUUUUUUUAUUUAAAAAUCAAUUUUUCAUAUCAAAUUUUUAGUAAAAUAACUAAAAAGGUAUUUUUGUAUAUAAUCAAUCAAAUGUAGCAAAUUAUUGAAAAAAACACUUCACCACUUUUUUUAAUAUCAUAACUUUUAAUUUUGACUUUUAUAAUAUUUCUAAAUUCAAAAUUUUAUUUUCACGGUUUUAAUUAAAUAUACUUUAUAAUAUCAUUUGAAAAUAGAAAUAAUAAAAACUAUCAGAUUUUUGAAUUUAGAAAUUAAAUAAUAAAUAUACUCUAUUAAGUGAGAAAUAAAGACUUUCCAUAUUUUUAGCAAUAGAGUUGAAAGACAACUAUAUCCUUUCCUAUUUUAAUUAUUUUUUGUUAUUUGUAAUGACAUAUCAUGUAAUAUUUUACAAAAUAAAGGUUAUAUUUUAAAAUGUUUUACUCAAAUAAUAAUAUAGAGAUAAAAGUUGAGAAAGUUGGGCUUAAAUUGUAAAAACGUCUUUAUCUGGCGACGGGGAGAGACGUCUCUUGGGCCAGAUGUCACGUGUCUAGAGGUCAAAAAAUAUGGGGAAAAUAUAAUUAUUUUGCUUGGGCUUUUUUUUUCAAUCCUUCGAUGAGUUUCUACAUUGCACCAUGCAAAUUAUAUAAGUCUCACAAGAAAAUCUCUAAUUCAAUUAUAAUAUUAAAAUAUUGAAUAAGAGAUCCAUGAAAGUCUUUGGGUUGCUGAUGCUAUGAAUUUAACGGAGCCCAACAAUCUGUGCUUGUACAUAAAUAGAAAAAUUGAAGCCUGGAAUAGAACAUGGUUUGGAGGGUGUAUUUUUCACUGACCAACAGACCAAGGAUCUUAUAUAUGUUAUGGCCGUGAACCAUAUUCUUGUUAAGGAUUGCUUUAGGUUCCUUAUAGCAUUGUUAUGUUUGAUCCAGAACCAAUGCUUUUUGUGAGAAUUUGCAUUGUUUCCCUUGAUCACCAAGUCCACUUCUUCACAAUUCUCUAUGAUAAUAUGCUUCUUCCACAAUGUUUCUCUUAUUCAAAGACCACACUUAAUUAGACUUAAUUAGCUUCACUGGAAGUGGCCUCAAGAAGAGCAACAGAAAUAUCUGUGCACAUGCAACCAUUGAAGAAGAAGAGCCUUGCAUGCCUAUGUUUACGCCAAUUGUUCACAAUCUGUACUCUCGUUCUUGUCUCUCUGCACCUUAUCAUCAUCCGCCAAGUUGCUAAUUAGCUCAGCUUCUCUUCUCGUUGUAGGAUGAACUUGUGACGACAGAUUUCUUGCUGAUAUCAAUCAGUAGACUGUUCAAAAUCGUUGCAAAAGGUGACCCAGAUAUGUUGUAGCUCUAUGUUAGAACAACAAUUCCAAACAGAGAUCUCGAACCCUAAAAAAUUAUCCGGAAUGUAACACCAUCAGCUGUGCCGGAAUUAAAAUCGGCGGCAGGUUUUGACCAGAACAAUUAUUAAGAGCGACUAUUUUCCGUCAGAUCAGUUACCAUCUUAAGCUUUAUUUCCUUUUUGUUGAUUUAGAGAUGUUUAAUAUAUAUAUCUAUUAUAUAAAGACUCAGUUGAGUCUCACAAACUUGACACAUCAGCACUCCUUUGAAUGACACAUCAACUCAUUUAUUUGUUAUUUAAAAACUUUAGUAAAACUCUAAUUAAUUUAAGCUAAUUACUUUUAUGUUCAUAUUUCUGUGCACUGAUUUAUUUACCAUCAUGGGCCUCAUGGCUUUUUGACUCCCAUUUUUGAUGCUUCCUAUUUUUAAUGAUGCUUCAAACGUUGUCUUAAAUAUUGGUUACUCAUGUUUCAACGCAUAAAAAAUAAUCAGCAAAUAUAGAGGAGAAGACAUGGAAAAAAGUAAAUAUUAUCUAAGAUUUUUUAAUAAAUCUCUAAUCUACAGCUUGCACGUUGUAACUUAUGCAAAUUUCUAUAUAGAAGCUUACUAAAGUGAAUGUUGUUCACAAAUCCACGGUCUAAGAUUUAUUUCUUGGUCAUGGGCAGAGACAUCUACAUUUAAUACCAUCGUUUGUGUUCAUUUAAAGGAAAAGAAGAAUUUUGCUUUUAAAAAGAAGAUUUUGUAUGAUAGUUUCGAGAAUUCUGUGAAGAGUAAAUAGCAAGACAAAGUUAUAAUAAUAAUUUCUAAAAUAAUAAUAAUUCGGCGACGAAGCUAUAAUAAUAAUUUCUAAAAACUUUGUUUUAAGUUAAGCUGGUGUAAGUUAUAUAUUCUAUUUAUUUUUGUUUUAGAGAAAAUUUUAAGGGAGAAAAAUAAUACUCCGAAAAACUUAUUACAUCCAUUAGUAAAUUUUUUAAUAUCUAUGUUUUUACAAGAAAUGAUAAAAAUCUCGUCUUAAUGAAUAAUAAUUAAAGAAAUCUUUGUGGAGAAAAGAUAAAUAUAAUUUAUAUCAUUUUAUGUGCAUGAAAUGUAGCUUGUUUUAUCUCCAUCAGAUCUUGGAGUUGGAGUAUUGGUUCUCCCAAGUACUGCAAUAAAAAGCCACUGGAGCGGCAAGAGCCAAAUCCGAUGGUGAAAAUGGAGAAAGACGUAUUUGGUAAGCUUUUACGAUAGCUGGUCAUGCUUAUCUAAAGUUCUAAACUCUACCUGUGAUGCAAAAGAUAAUAUAUAGUAUGAAAUAUCACAGAUUUUCAUGCUAUAUUCAUUUCCUAACUUUUCUAAUUUUAGUGGAUAUUGUGACGGUUUUGCCAAUGAGAAUAUGAAAAUUUUAUGGAAUAAAGUUAUCCAUUUAUUUUGAGAAUAUACCUCUUAGGUUCCUAAUCAUAAUAUUUAGUAUUUGCUGGAUUCUCAUAUCUUUGUUUAUAAUGUUCAAGAUAAUUUUUCACGUUUAAUUGAAGACAACGUUUCUUAAUAGAGAAAAUUUCUCAUAAGAUUUCAUAAAACCAAAAAAAAAGUCAAGAAAAAAACUAAUUAAAACAAAAUCACUUUAACAAAACAAGUUAACAACUAAUCUCUCUAAACAUAUAUAUGGCCAGUCCAAAAAAACCAAAAAUCUAAAUUUUUUUUUUAACAUCAUCAAAAAUCUAAAUUUAAUUUCAGUUUCUUUUGGUUUUUGAUCGACAGUCUAGAUACCUAGAACGGUUUGGUUACCCAAACCGAAGAUAUCGAAUUUAUGUAAAUAAUAAUUUGUAGGUGGACACAAGCGCUUUUUUGCUAGAAUGUUUGCCUUCGAAUUCUUCAUGCGUGAAAUGUGUGAUAUAGUGAAGGAAUUGUAAACUGAAAUUUAAGGAUAAAACUAAACUUCAGUUUUAAACAUUAUAAAAAUAUUAAAAAGAAAACCCACGCAUAUGCGUGGGUACUCAUCUAGUUAUAUAUAAAAAUUGCUCAACUUUUUCCAUAUGAGUGACAUAUCAUCAUUUGAGAAUUGAUAUGGGAAUGACAUGUGUCAUUUUUUAUUUAAAAUUAUAGUUUUUAAAGAAAAUUAAUUAAUAAAUUUUAAUAUUAAGUGUUCAACCACUCAAAAAAAUGAAAAGUAUUUUUGUUAAUUGAUUCUUAAAUAACAUUUAUGUAAAUAUUAAACAAAAAUUUAUGUUAUAAUUAAUUAAAAAUUAGUAUUUUUUAAUCAUUUUUUGUUUUUUAAUAAUAUUAUAUUUUAAAUUAAUUGAUUUAUAAUAAUAUACUAACAAAUAACAAAUGAUGAUCAUACUUAAAAAAAUACAAAUAUAUAAAUUUGAAAUAGUUGAAGAAAAAAGCUAUUUAAAAUUACAGUUUAAAGAGAAAAAUUAAUUAAUAAAUUUUAAUAUUAAAUUUAAACUACUCAAAAAUAAGAAAAAAUCUAUUAAUUGAUUUUUAAAUAACAUUUAUGUAAAUAUUAAACACGGAAUUUAUGUUAUAAACUUUUGAUUUUUAAUGAUAUUAUAUUUAAAAUUGAUGGAUUUAUAAUAAUAUACUAACACAUAAUAAAUAAUGAUUAUAUUUUUUUAAGAAAAUACAAAAUAUAUAUAUUUGAAAUAGUUGAUGAAAAAAAUCCGCACGUUACAUGCGGGUAUUCACAUACUUAUAACAAAAAGGAAACAAUUUUUCUGAAAUAUGCCAUUACCAAAAAAAUUAAGAUAUGACAGGUUUUUCCUAAGCAUUGAACAACAAAACUAUAACUGGCAUCUCCUCCAAAAAAAUUAAAAACAAAAACUGAAUCAUUAAACACUAAACAAAACUCUCUUUUAUUCAACAAAAAAAAUUGGGGGAUCAAGACUGCCUGCUGUUCUUUGUCUUUACUUCGUUAACCCGUUGAAGAAGUCGUUACCAUAGCCCACAUCAAUAAACCCUAAUCCCAGAAGAAUACGGAAGCAUAAAGCCUGAAGUUUCCGCAUAAACCUAUGAGCUUUUCCUGCAACCAAAAUACGGAAUCUCAGAAGCAAAAAAACACAAGAUAAGAUCUACACGAAACACACAAACGUCGGUCCAAAUUGUUUACCUCUCCCGCCCAUGAUUUCUUGUGGUCUACGCAAUGGUGGAGCUACAUCCUCCGUGAAUCCCAAAACUCUCUCAGAUUUCGGUUUGUGCGAUUGAUCCAAACCCGUUUCCGGUAAGAGCUGUUUGAGAUCAGAUUUUCCUUCUGACAGCAAGAUCGAGGCCGGUGAAUCUUGCUCCCAAUCCGAGCUGUGAUCAACUCCAAACCAUACAUUGUCUAUGUGUUGGCUAAGUCCAUCAUAUACUAAGCUUGGAGGAUAAAGAGAUUCUUCGUCGUCAGGAUUUAAGUAUCUGGACAGAAUCUGAUCUUCUGUUUCAGAAGAACAUAGACAUUGCAGCUCAAACAGAUCUUUAAGCAUCGGUGUAGGUUUAAUCCCUGUUUCCUCUGUUUUGAACUCUUCAACGAUUUCAGUGCCAGUGAUUUUCUCCGUUGUAAACCUCUUUGUAGAUGACUGAUCCAGCGACCUGUCUCUGCUUAGUCUGCCCGGUUUAGCCGGGAAAGGAGUUGCAGGAAGUCGUUUCUUGUCAAGCACGUAACUCCUGUUUUCGGAUUGCGAAUGAAGCCAACUGUUAAUCCUUGAGAACUCUGUUCCACCCUCUUUCUGGUUAACGUUUUUCUCAAAGAAACCGAUCUUGGAGCGAGAUUUGUUUGCAGAUCCGGGGCCCAUCUGCAGUACCUUUGGUUUGUGCUCCGACACAACCAACUUAAUAUCACAUUCAGAUAUGUCCUGACUAUAAACCGUUGCUGCAUCAUCCGCUGUAUUCGGACGCAUAAAGCAAAUGGACUUCGAAACGCUCCUCUCUGAUGAGCCACACGCGGAAUCAAAUCCGUUCUUCUUCACCGGAAGACACACAGAUUCAGCUCGGACAGAUAUCAUUGAGUUUCUUCUAGACUUAAAGCCUGGACCAUUGGAGAUUACGCUGAAAUCUGUCCCUGAUAAUCUUCUGUUGCUACUAGCUGUUGGUCUCAUGAAGCUAGGAAAAACAUCUGAAGCACGUCUUGAUUUGUUUUUUGGUAUCUUCGGGGUAAUUUGAAUCUCUUCUCUUAUCUCAUCCUCUUCUUCUUCCUCAGUAAAAUGAGGCUUCCCAGAGAGUUUCUCUAAUCUCUCGUUUAGAUAUCUGAUCUCUUUUAACGUUGUCUCACGCUCUUGCUCGAUCUUUUCCAUCAUAUUCUGCAGAUUCAUCAACACAGCCUCCUUUUUCUCUUGUUCUUCCUACGCAUCAAAAGAAUCCUAAACCCAUCAGAGAUUGUUACACUCUAGGGUAAGUUGAUGUGUUAUGCAAGUUAAUGUUUCCAUUACCUUUGAUUCGUCCUGUCCUAAAUGGAUGUUAUUUGCCCUCGUUGCGAAGUUCAGAGAGCAUAUGGUUUCACACAGAUCAUCUUCUUUCGGGCUGAUAUGAACAAGCAUCAAUGUUUUAGAGUCUUGCCCUGCAAAACUAGGAAAGAAACUCAGAGAAGAGAGCAAAUAACUUCAGUUAAGAUCAAGAUCUUUCGGAAGAUCUUAGUUACCGAGGGAGUCUUUCAGGACCUGUGUGAGCUUGCUGUUCCUGAAAUACAAAGAACAAAAAACUCAAAAGUUUCAGAGAUUAAUGUAGUAAGGGUUACAUAAAAAAGAGAGGAUAUGUUUACCUGUAAGGAAUGUGACCAUUCUUGCGUUGAAGAGAGUUGAUGACAUCUCCAAGAGCAGAUAAAGAGAGAUUAAUGGCUUUGCCUUCAUCAAAACGACGACCAGUGGCUCUAGUUUUCAACACGCGCUCGCUUCCUCCAAGAUCCACUAGCCAAAUCUUGUUUGUUUCACGCCGCCUCUCAGGAGCUCCAAGACAAGUGAUCGAUACUCGGAUCAUACUGUUCCAUGAUUUUCAUCCAUAUAUGAGAGAUCAAAUAACAUAGGGUAAGAGGAAAAAAAAAUCAAAAAUCAAAAUUUUGAGGUCUUACCAGUGUGAUCUGCUGGAUGCAGAGUUAGAGUUAGUGGAGGCAGUUGCUCUGUUUCGACAACCUAAUUUGUAUAACUUGAAGACUUGAUUAAAGUCUUUCACUUUAAUAGUCACCAAGUUCUCGAUGUCUACCUCUCCCUUUGCGUCUGUGUGAAUCAGAAGACUGAAACAGAGAAACAAAACUCAUUGAGUUGCAUUCCAAACCCGAUCCUUCAAUGGAUAUUCUCUGCACAUGUUAUUAUGAGUAUUAUUACCUUGGAGGUAUUGGAUCAAUGGGUUUAGUUGCUUGAGAAACAAGCAAGUCUCUGAGAUUUCCCAUGUAAAUCUCAAGCAUACUAAAGUUGAUCACAAACUUAUGAUUGCUUUCCUCGACUUGUUUGAAUAAUCCCUUUAUCGCUCUAGGAACAAUACCUGGAGAUUUCGGAAGACCCUCCUGCAUAAAUAUUCAUCCCAAUAUUUAAAUAUCAACUUUAAGAGAUGGAAACAACAUGGUAAUCAAAGAGAUGUUUUUGAUUGAUCCUUCUUACCAUUGUAUAAGUUUUCCCAGUACCGGUUUGUCCGUACGCAAAAAUGCAGGCGUUGUAUCCAUCGAUAACCGAUUUUAUUACUGGUUCGAUCUCUAAGAAAACAUCAUCUGCAAAAAAUUUGUAUACUAUAUAUCUUCAAGAACACUUUAAUGUAUGCGUAAUCAAUUGUAAAUGACGUUGUAAUGAACUUCCACUAAACGACGUCGUGAUUAUAGUGUACGCCACUAUGAAGCUUGUAAGAAACUUACCUUGUGAUGAAUCAGGUUGGAAAACUCUGUCGAAGUUGUAGGUUUUCCUCUUGGUUUCUGUUAACUUUAGGACAACGUUUCUUGUAUCCGAAGCAACUGGUGCUCUCAAGUUUUGGGAGUCCAAGGGUUUUACUCGACAAAACACACGAAUGUUUCCUGACCAAUUUUCCAAAUCGAAAUCGAUGAAACUAGACUCUUAAACUUGGAAUUUACAGUAUAAAUCGUAGUUUAAAAAAAAAAUCGAAUACUGACCUUUAAGGUCCAAAAACUCGUUAAGAAUCCGUCUUCUUUGUUUGCUCUGAUCAUUUACUUGAACUGUUAGUGCAUAGAGUUUAUCUGUAACACAAAAACAGAGGACACAGAGUGAAACCCAUAAGUAAAAAUUGAAACUUUGUUGGAAUUUUUGAUAUAGUAUCACUAUCUGAAUUAAAUAUACAUUCUCAAAUUAAUUCUACAUAAUAUAAUACCAAAAAAAUAAAAAUCUACAUAAUAAAACCCGGAGUUGACAAAUCUUAUCUUGACUUUAAGUAUUUAUUAUCCGGUAGAAAUCUUGACUACAGAAAUAUUGAACCCACUUAAAUUGUAAAAUGAAAAAAAUGUGAAAACGAAUGAUCAAAGAGCCGUUAGAUGACUGCCACGUCACUUUAAUACAGUACAAGAACAUGUGAUCCAACGGUUCAGAUGCUUUGCAUGUAGUAGGUAAUCUCCACCAAAGGAUUUUAAUUUUUCACAAGAAAACAAGAAUUUGAUUCAGAAGAGAAUACCAAAAAAAAAUUGAAGAACAAAAAACCAGAAAGAGAAAAAAAUCUUUAACAAAUGGGGAAAUGGGGAAAUGGGGAAUCCGAGAGAAGUACCUCUAAGGCUCUGUACUUCGAUGAAAGCAGAGUCGUCUUCUUCCUUUGACGAUGAAGAAAUCUCAGAAGAUGAAACAUUCUUGACGAUGUUGCAGACAGAUUUAACCCAAGCUGAAGUCAAAUGAGAUUUCAAACCGAGUAAUGAAUGGAUUGUCUCCGGCAAAUCCCGAACUGGUUUCGGCCUUCUUCCCUCCAUUACACCAAAUCUUGAUCUUGAUUAGAAAACAGAGCAAUUCGCAGGAAUCAGAUUUUGAUUUCACUGAACUUUUGCCGAGAAAGUUAGAGGAAAGAGAGGGAAGUAGUGAAAUUUGGGUCAGAGCUCAUCAAUGGCGGAAUCUGGAGAAUAGUUUUUUUUUUUAAGAGGACAAAGAUGUGGAGAGAAUGUUCUUCAUAAGCAAAAAUCUCUGCAGGUGCCAUGUAUAUAUAUAAUUACAGGCCCUUAUAAUACAAAAUAUAUAUUGUUUUUGUUAGUUUUACCUUGGGGAGAGAAAAUUUUAGCUGAACUUAACACUUGUCUAUCACUAAAUGGAGAAUUAAAAAAUUUGUAUAACUAUUAUUCAAAGAAAUUAAUUACUAUUCCCCCUUUUUGGCUGGAACAAUAUUGAUGAAAAUGCUACUUAGAGAUAUUUUUAUCUAAUCAGCUUAACGGCUGUGGAUGAGUUCAUCCAAGCUAUCAAUUAUUUUUACAGCUUUGUUUUUUAUUUGUCUAAAGUAACUAUUUGAACCAAAUUUAGUGUUUAUGCUUUAUUUUAUACUAUUAAAUUUAAAGUCAUAGUCUAAAUUUAUAUAAAUAACCAAAUAGAAUAAUAUAACUAAAAUAACCAAAAUAACCAAAAUUAGUAUUUGUAUAUAUGAAUUUCCUUUUUAUAUUUUAUUUUACCUUAACAAGAUGUUGUUUAUAAAGAAAAACGGACAAUCGGUCUAUAAUAUAAUCUAAUCUAAUUUGUAUUAAAAAAUACUAUAAUUAGAAAAAACAGCGUGUCAAUUCUCAUAAAUAUAAGACACGUGGCUACAAUGUUUUAACUAUUUUUCUUAUUCAAAACGCGGCAUACUGAAUUCUAUUAACGUUAUAAUGAUGAUUUCACGCGGAGUUUGUAUUGGGCCUGACUUUAAAAGUAAGAGUAUUGAUCUGCAUUUUCUAAAGAAGAGCAUCAUUCUUACAAAAAAAAUAAUAAAAAUGAUGAGUUUAUUCGCAUAAAACCCUUUUUUAUGCAUUUUUAUAAUUUAAAACAGUUAGCAUGUUCUUUGUUUUUUUUUUUGAAUUUCGCUUUCGAAUUUAGUACUAUACAUUUUUCUAAAUAGUUUUAGCUUCCAAUACAUUUUUAUAAUCUACUUUUGUCAUUUGCAAUGACUAACAUUUCAUCCAAAAUGUAAAUAACUCUAUUAGUUAAAUACAAUACUUUUGGUUUUAUUUUAGUUUUGUUUCACAUGUUUUUUUCUUCAGAGUAAUAUCUAAUAGUUUUUUUUUUUACAUUUUGAAAAAUAUUUGUUUUUAUUAUUUAGGGGUAGUACUGAAAUUUUAAUAUUAUCAAUACUAAUUGGACAAUGUUGAGUGAAAAAGUAUCAAAUGGACAAUAGGUGAGUUUUUUGUCCUAUAAUUCUAAUUUUCUCAUAAAUAAUUAAAUUCUCUUUCCCAAAAAAAAAAUUAAUGUUAUUAGAUUCAAAUAAAAUAAGUUGUACUAUGUAGUCGUCUAAAAAAAUUAUCGACGCAAUCAAAUAACAUCACAACAAAUUUCAAAUUCUUCAAAACUAACUCAAGUAAUUAAAUAUUUUGCAGCUUAGAUAGUGCAACGAAAUAGUUCACCUGCCACGAUGGAUCCAUCAAUGGAUAACGCAAUCUCACUUGUUAUAGUCUAUGGUUAGAGUAAAAGUCUCGUCAAUGUCUCUUUCUUACGAGUUACGAUCUACUGUAUUAAUUUUUCCUUAGCUAAAUCAAUAUCCGUUGCCUUGUUUUUUAUUUCUUUUCGCCAAGGUAACAUGUAUAGGGGAUUUGCUUUUGUAAUAUCCAACUUUCAUUUUUUAUGAUAUUUACAAGUUAGCAAAAAAGAAAAAGAAAAAAUAGAAAGAACUAUUUUUAGCAAGAACAAAAAGUAGAAAGAAUAGAUAAUAAUCUUUAAUACUGUAGUAUUAUCACGUUUUGGAAAAAACGCCAACAUAGACCAAUGGUCGAUGAACAGAAGAUUUGUUAUUUUUUCCCAAUAUAGGUUGACCCAAACAUCUAUGCAACUUAGUAAUGUCAAAUAACCUUUAUUUCCCAUGAAUGGUUAUGUUAUGCAUGAAUAAUUGAAUACGACCUUUUCCCAUAAUUAUACAUAGAUAAUGUAGUAAGAAAAUAGAGUUUGUAAUAUUUUAUCCAAGGAAUAAGCAUCUCGGUCCAAAAGAGAUUUCAUAUACUGUCGUCCGAGCACCAUUGAGAGCAUUGAAUGAUAUUGCAUAGAGAGAGAGACAUGACUGUCGUAAUUCGGCCAUGCCUCACACGCUCUCUCUCUCUCGACAUAUGUGAUCACAUGCCAUAUAACCUAAUCAACCGGACCGAUAUAUAUGGCAUCUCAUCCACCAAACCUAUAUAUAUAGUGAUUAUAUACAUUGCAGUCGAUCGCCUAUUAGUCUAGACUCUAGAGUUAAGUUAAGCGUGACCUAAUCCGAUCACAUAUGGUCUUCUAAUGCAAGUCACUAACUAAAUUUAUGCAAAAUACUUUUUUACUUCACACAAUGAGAAAGAAAUGAUCCAUGAUAAUUCUCAAUGAAGUCGAUCGAACCUUACCCUUGACAUCAAUCUAUAGUUUUCAUUUUUUUUUUUUUUUUGAAUUUUCAUUUCUAAAAUCGAACUAAUUUAUCCUUCAUUUACUACUGGUCCUGUUUUUUUUUUUUUUUUUCCAAGGAGUCGUAUCAUAUUGGUCCUCUCCUUCAUUCAAAGAAAAGGUGCAUGGUGUUAUUUGUAUUUCACUGCCUGUGUGGGUUAAUGGCUCCCAACUCGCAAGACAUAUAUAGGCCCUUCGUAGUUAAUACUCUGCACCAAUUAUAUACAUUUCUCGUGGGAUCCAUCAUUAUAUGCAUAUACAGUAGACCGUGUAUGUAUCUACACGCAUGAUUUAAUUACCAAACAAACAGUAAUGUUUAAAGUAAAAAACCCACUAGGCUUCAAGAUCUGGUAAAACUCUGUGUUUUAUUCAACGUUCUCGACCCAAAAAAAAAAAAAAAAUUCAAAGUUCUCAAUUAUUACAAGUAGUACAAGCCUUUUCGAUAAAGCCAACAUACAAACAUGUGUAUACACCUUAUAAUAUACAAAACAUUUGAAAACCCUCACAACGCAAAAAAAUCAGCACAUGAAGGCAAAGACAGAGAGAUGUAAUUGCUUAAUCUUGAGGAGUCUCGAAUCUAGUCGGUGUGUCGAUGCCCGCCAUACAACAAAGUCCACUUAUCAAGAUGGUAAGCAGGACGAUUCCCUGAAAAGAGGCAAGAGACCUUAUCACAAAGACUUCUUAUGGAAACACAAGCUUCCAGCUCGAGACAAUUAAAGAAUGUGCAUUAGAAGAAAUUUGCUUUAAAAGUGGGUAGCUUUACCACUAAGAUUCCCUCUAAGAGUGAUGACUUGAAUUUGCAGAGUUCAUCACAGGUUGUAGAAGCUUCAGCUGUAGUGUUUCCUGUGGCUGUUUCAGCCAAAAACCUUUGGAGAGUUUGGUAAGGAGUGUACCAAUAAGGAUCAGAGACAUAUAGGGUUGCGUAUUUAGUUCCAGAAUGCUCUACUGAACCAACAAGCUCAGAGAUGAUUUCACCUGCAGAUAAUGGUUCAAAGAAAACUUAGUUAACUUAAAACGAGUAUCUAAAUGCAUGCUAUGACUUCUUUUGUAACCAUGAUCUGUCCACUUACGAUCUGAAGGUGACUGGUAAGAUUGAGUCGAUGAUUCAGAUCCCUCAGAGCAGACCACAACCAAGUCGGUUUCCCCUUCUUUUCUUGUUUCUUUUCUAGCAACCAGAUGAUCCUGUCGAUCGAUAAUUUAUAGGUAAAUCAGAAGGUUCAAGAGUAAGGGUGCAUGGGACUCUGGAAAACAUAAACGUCAGAACAAUCAGAUGACUUUGAAAGACUGCACUUUCGAUAGUUUCUGAGUUGUUCCAUCCUCAACGAAACACGAGUCUGAGAACACGAUAUUGCUGACUCCAACAUUAUGAGAACAAGCUUCUUUAAGCCCUGAAACAACAAAUUUUCCAUCCUUUCCUCCUCUGGUGCAGAUAUAUAUGGGAAUGCCAACGAGAAACUAGAAGCUGUAAACAGAUUCUGGUAAAAAUACGAAGAACUGAAUGUUAAUUAUUGUUAAGGCUUCAGAGAGUAUCAAUGUAUAAAAAUUGUAUGUAUGUUCUAUUGUUCUAGAAGUUAAGUAAAACUAGCUUACCUUCAAUGUGUUAAGAAGGGCAGGAAAGGAGUAGAGGUAAACGAAGAACUAACAAGAAGACAGCUUCAUCUCCGGUCCUCAAAUCUGGUCUGUGUUGGUAAGGAGUAGCGGAAAACGACGCCGUUUUGUAGUUAUUUAACCGAAUCUGGUUUAGCGACGAGAAAUCGGUCUGAAUUUAACGGUACACAGGAGAUAAACGGCUACGUUUUGGUAACUGUCGGGUAAGGGCCAUUCACAUUCCGACCCGGCCCAAUUUGAAAUAAAUAAGACGAAACUUGAACAGAGUCAUCGACUCACCGGACCAAGUAGCGCCGGUACUUGUAAAAUCAGAGAUACUCAAACUCUCGAGUCUCCUACGAGCCCUCCUGGUUCGUUCUCUUCUCUCAUUCCCGCCUAAAAACCUUUAACUCUCUCGAUUCGGCCAUUGAAGCAGCCGCAACAGCUUGAGGAGAUUUCAAAAAAUGGGUAAAGUUGAGAUUAAAGAAGAAGUAGAAGGAGAUCGCGUCGGAACUACCGAUUACUACUUCGAUAGAAUCGGCGAACCUAUCUGUAUCAAAGAGGAAGACGCUCUAUACGAUCUCGAAAACCCUCCCUCACAGCCUCUAGCUAUCUCCGAACGCCACGGCGUCGUUUUCGUCGCACAUUCCUCCGGUUAGUAUUCUUAAUCGGUGAUGAUUGUCCAGGUUUUUGCUCGUGCUGUUUAAUGUAUGUGGCCGUUUUUGUGUGAAAAUUAGGGUUUCUUGUUGCAAAGACCAAGGAUGUAAUUUCUGCUUUGAAGAAUAGUAACGGGAAAGGUACCAGGGUUUAUCUCCAGAAUUUGAGCCUCGUGGAUGUUCCCGUUGGCAACGUUCGUAUACUGUCUCUCUCUGCGGAUGAUUCCAUUCUCGCUGUCUCCGUCGCUGCUGAUUUUCAUUUCUUCUCUGUGGAUUCACUUCUUAAUAAGGUAUAUGGCUCUUAAGCCUUUAGUCUUUAUGGCAUAUUCUCUGCCUGUAACUGUAAGCUUGGUUUCCCGGGUUCUUCCGUAAAUUGACUUCUACUUUAUACUACUUCUUGCUAAUGCGAUUUUUUUUUUAAAUGUUAUGCCGGUUCUGUAUGCUUUUUCCUUGUGAAUGGCGUUUGAAAGCACACAACUAGUAGUAGCACACUAUCCAGCCCUUUGCUAGGAAUGAGAAUCUAUGUUGAUUGAUAGUUUAUUUUCUUUAUCUGUCCUUUGAUGCAGGAUGCAGAACCUUCAUUUUCUUAUUCACCUGAUGAGUCAGACUUUGUUAAGGAUUUCCGGUGGACACGGAAAGAUAAACAUUCGUAUCUUGUUCUUUCAAACCAUGGGAAUCUCUUUCAUGGAAUUGAUAAUGCACCCCCUAGACAUGUUAUGGAUGGUGUUGACGCCGGUUUGUAUCAUUUACUUUUGCUACUUCUUCAGCAACACAAUAAACCAUGUUUUUUGGAAUUUCAUUGUGUACUAUGUUCUUUUUUCCAGUUGAAUGGAGUUCAAAAGGGAGUUAUAUUGCUGUGGCUCAAGAUAAUAGCCUGCGGAUUUUGUCGUCAAAGUUUAACGAGAAGCAGUGCAUAGCGUUAUCAUUUGACGCCUGGAAUGGUGAUUCCAAUGAAAACUGUGUUGUGAAAGGUAUGUUGUAUGUUUUAGCCUAUCAAAUCAGUAUUUUCCAUUUUGGUUCAAAUAGCAUAGUUGUUGUAUGGUAUAUGAGGUGUUUUCGUAUGGACUGAGUCGUCCUCUAUUCCGAUGCUUGGACAUAGAAUAUUUACAAAAUGAUCCUGUUGAAAGUUCUUAUUUCGUGCUAUCUCCCAUCUAAAUCUUGGUAACAUUCCUAUAGAUCUGUAUUUCUUGAAAUGGUGUUCAAAUUUCCCUGGUUCUAUGCAUACUUCCGUUGAAAAGUUUCAUGGAUCGCUCUGAAGUCAAACCCGCUCAAUGACUGACUGUUUACCAACAACACUUUGCAACAGUUGAUUCUAUUCGAUGGGUACGUCACAACUGUAUUCUUCUCGGAUGCUUCCAGCUGAUUGAUGGCAUGGAAGAAAAUUACUUUGUUCAGGUUAUUAAGAGUCCGGACGGGAAGAUAACUGAUGUGAGUGACCGUUUUUAUGGGAUAGAAAGAAACAAUAGGAUCUGUAACUUGUACUUAUAUAUUUAUCUGAUAUGUGGUUUUUGAGCUUCUUCUUUGCAGGGUUCGUCCAAUCUGGUUGCUGUAUCCUUCUCUGAUUUGUUUCCAUGUUCGAUGGAUGAUCUUGUUCCGGCUGGUGUUGGACCUCAUUUGCUCUUUAGCUACAUAGACAAAUGGUACUUUAGGCUAAUUUUAUGUUCUUUUUAUUUUUUUUCUUUGCUUUAUCUUUUCAUGAAUGCUGGAAUUUACCUUCGCCCUGCAAGCCGUUUGUCAAUCUUUCUAACUCUUGAUUUAUUCGGAUCUUAAGAUAUUUUUUCAUACGUAACCAACUAGGAUGAGCUGUAAAUAAUUAAGUUCGCUAAUGAGAAUUGUUUUAAAUUCAACUAUCAUAUAAUACUGGAAGUAAAUCUGAGCUAAUUCGUAUUUACAAUUCUCGUCUUGAAGCGCAAUAGAGUCAGUUUAGUUAUUCUUGAUUUCCUCUUAAUCGCAAUAAGGAACAUGGACAAAGUAAACUACCACUUAAUUCAAUGUUGAAGAUAGUAAAAUUUUGCUUACUCCUCUAUAUUGUCAACUUUACAGCAAACUGGCAAUCAUAGCAAACAGGAAGAGCAUAGAUGAGCAUAUUGUUUUGCUAAAUUGGCCACUUGGUGAUGAUAAAAGUGCAGUUGCCGUUGUUGAUAUUGAUCGAGAGACCUUUUUGCCAAGGAUUGGACUCCAAGGUAUGUGGUCCAGAGUUGCUGCAUUCCAAUGUGCUUUUUCAUACAUUACACGUUCGAUAUAAAAAUGAUCAUUCUUUUUCCAGAAAAUGGAGACGACAAUAUGAUCAUGGGACUCUGUAUCGAUAGGGUUUCUGUUGAAGGGACCGUUAAUCUCCGUUCGGGAGAUGAUGAAAUGAAAGAACUCCCGCCGUAUUGUGUUCUUGUGUGCCUCACUUUGGAAGGAAAAAUGGUCAUGUUUAAUGUUGCUAGGUAGGCUUUGUCUCUCAUAAUGGUUAUAAGUUUCUCCUUUUCUUUAACUACAUUACAUGAAACAGUAACGUUGUGUUCCUCUACAGUGUUGCAGGACUCCCAGCUUCAGAUAAUGUUGAUUUGGCUUCUUCUUCUGAUAUAGAAGAUGCUAAUGCCCCUUCAAUUAGAGAUGAUCUUUCUGAACAAUCUUCUGAAGAGCCUGAACAACAACGAAAUGUGAAUGUUUCGGUACAAAAUGAACUGAAACCCCUCAACUCAGAUCAUUUAACUUUUCUGUUACCUACCGAACAAAGGUUCCCAAAUGAAACAAUUUCUAGUAAGGAAAUUGGUUCUGUAAAAAAUUCAGCGUCUGGGGACAACAACGGGAAGCAAGAAUUCUAUGCUGAAAAACCAUUACAAGCUGCAGAUGGUCAACAAAGCAUGAUUCCUAGGCAGUUCGGAACAAGUUUUGGGGUAACUCCUUCGUCUUUAGGAUAUGACACCAACAAAUUUGCAGGACUGGGUCCUAUCCUCCCUGUUUCUGAUAAGUUUCAAAAAGACUUAUCUGAGCAGUCUAAGUCUCUGCAUUUUCAGACCAGUUUUGGGUCAAAGAGUACACCAGCUUUAUUUGCAUUUUCUGGCCCGCAGAACGCUACUGUUCCUUCACCACAAAAUACACCAGCUCAGCCAUGGUCAAGUGGGAAAGGUAUCUCACCUCCAAAUUUUGCCUCUGGUCGUUUUACUUCUGUGAAAGAUACUCAGCAUAAGCAAUCAGAACAGACGGGAGCUGGUUAUGUAAAUCCUCCUACGUGCAUCAAAGAGAAGCCUGUACAAGUUAUUGAGACUGCUAAAGCAUCGGCUCUGAUUAAUUUAACUCCUCCGCUAGGCCAAAAUCAAGACGCUGAUGAAGGGGUAGAAAAAAUCGAGCCAAUUCCGUCUAUCCGUGCCUCUCAAUUGUCACUACAGGUGAAAUCUUCGUUCGAAAAGUCCUCUAGUCUUCAGCAGCACAAAACUCCGUCCAGUCCUGGACCUCUGAGACUCGAGAAUACCAUGUCAAAGCAACCCAGUAAUGUAAAGUUUUCACACAAUAUUUAUUUCGUAAGAUUUAAUAAUGUGGUUAUGUAUUAUAGGAAAAGGGUGUUCCGAACUCUCAUGCUGUGCUCUAGUAUUUAUCUUACUGGACUUAUGUCAUUGGCGUACCUUACUCUUCCUUUCAUUUGCCAGAUAAAUGAGAUGGCCAGAGAAAUGGAUGCGCUUUUACAGUCCAUUGAAGGACCAGGUGGUUUCAAGGAUUGUUGCACCUCAUUACUCAAAAGUCAUAUUGAAGAAUUGGAGCAAGGACUUCAAAGUCUUGCUGGCAAGUGCCAAACGUGGAAGGUGUCUUUAAAAGUUCAUUAUUGUUUCGUAUUAACUUUCGAUUAACUUUUUAAUAUUUGAUCAAACCACCCUCCUGCAAUAUACAAAUACUGUCAUUGAUCCUGGCCUUCUUUGUAUUGUUAACUAAUAUGGUUUGAUGGUCUUCAGAGCAUAACUCACGAGCAGCAAGCAGAGAUCCAACAUCUUCUGGACAAAACAAUUCAAGGUGAUCUAUCUAUUUUAUCAUCCCAGUAUGUAGCGCGAAAAAAAUUUGAUAGCGGGUUAUUGUUUCUUUCUGAAAAGGUGUCUUAUCAUGCAAUAGGCGAACUAGGAAUAUAGUGAAUGUACAUUGCUUCUAAGCACUAUCAGUGAUGUCUAGAAAGGAUUGACUAAAGAGGCAAGUUGAACUCUUAUCCUAUCUCAUUUUCUGCCCCACCAGACUUCAAAUCUCAACUUAAUCGAGAAGUGGGGAACAAAUCAGGAUAAAAUCAUAUUUAUAUAUGAUGUAUCCUUUUACGGGGAUACGUGGUGAUAAGUACAUUAUUCUCACAUAUGUUAAGUACAUUAUUCUCACAUAUGUUAAGUACAUUAUUCUCACAUAUGUUAAGUACAUUAUUCUCACAUAUAAUAUUAGCAUAAGCUUGCGCUUUAAAUGAGGUCAUUUUUACAUAUGUUGCUCUGGAAGUCCCUAGGAAUUUUGUUCUUUUGUCUCUAGAUAUAUUUAAUACCGUUUCAUAUUUUACACUGGAAUUUAGGCUGCAAAUUAUCAGGCUGUUAUUUGUUGUCUUAUUAUUCUUUCAUGUGGGGAUUUCAGUUUUGGCCAAAAAGACAUACAUGGAAGGGUUGUAUAAGCAAACUUCUGAUAACCAGUACUGGCAACUUUGGAACCGCCGGAGGUUGAAUCCUGAGCUUGAGGCCAAGCGGCAGCAUAUUGUGAAACUAAACAAGGUUGUUUAUGGGUUGAUAUAUCUCACUCAUUUAUCUGUUACUGCCCUCUAAGCUUGCUUUUUAAUUUAUCCACUACUUUUCCCGUUCAGGAUUUGACUCAUCAACUGAUUGAAUUAGAGAGAUAUUUUAAUCGGCUUGAACUCGAUCGCUACCAAGAGGAUGGAGGACUUUCUGUGGCCCGGAGAGGUUUGCCAAAUAGGUCUGCCCCUUCAAGGUAUAUUUUGUGGUUAGUUGUGAAAUUUAAAUAAAAACCCAUCAUUAUAAAUUGGUUAAGUUGGCCAUAAACUCCCCAUUUCCACCACUGAAAUUGGGUUGAUUCUCUCUGCAGACGUGUGCAAUUCCUUCAUAGCCUUCAUAACACAAUGAGUUCCCAAUUGGCAGCUGCUGAGCAACUCUCUGACUGUCUCUCAAAACAAAUGACAUUUCUGAAAAUCGAUUCACCUGUCAAAAAAAAUGUGAAGCAGGAGUUGUUUGAGACAAUUGGGAUCCCUUAUGAUGCUUCUUUCAGCUCGCCAGAUGCUGUAAAAGCUAACAAUGCAUCUUCAGCGAAAAAUCUAUUACUCUCUUCUAUUCCUGCAAGUAUAAAUGCACAGUCCAGACAACGUCAGUCAUCUGGUAUGAAAAGUUCUGACCCUGAAACGGCUAGGAGGAGGAGAGAAUCAUUAGACAGGGUAAUUUCAUGGGAAAUCUUUGACUCAGUACUAGACCACACAAUAUAUGUAAUUUAUGGUGUAUCCUCACGCUUUGCUCUACUUUUUGCAGAAUUGGGCUGCUUUUGAGCCUCCAAAAACAACUGUCAAAAGGAUGCUUCUGCAGGAGCAACAGAAGACGGGUAUGAACCAACAGACUGUGUCGAAUGAGAGAAUACGGUCAACGAUUAAUACACAGGAGCAAUCACUGCUUCGCCUGAAGGAUCAUGCAUCACCUGUAGUCUCCUCGAAUAAGGGUGAGCUAAGAUUUACUGUGUAGUGCAAUAAUUUGAUUUUACAGUGUUUCAUUAGUAUUCUUUAUCGUUUCUCUGGUUUGACUGUACAAAAUAGGAAAAAUGGAAUUAUUCCAACAAGACACAUCUGAAGCGCAAUCAACCCCGUUCAGAUCAAGGCCACCUAUGCCACAAUCUAACAGUCCCUUUACCUUCUCUCCAAUAUCUGCGUCGAAGGCAAGUUUCGAUUGGUCUGGAAAUAUGUCGAACAAUAAAGCUUCUUAUGCUGAGGAAUCAGCCCCGUCGCAGAGUAAGGAUCCGAAGACAGUUUCACAAUUAGGAGGACCAAAUUUGCUUCUGAAACGACCAGUGGCAUCGACUGUAUUUGAACAGACAGAAAAGAAGGCUGGAGAAGUUAAACUUUCUGAAGGCAAAGCAAAUGUGUUUCCUGAUAGAGCUGCUGGAAAUGUGCAGCGGCUUGGUACCACAUCGUCAAGAUCCGAUUCUGAACCUAGCAAAGGUUUUGGCAUUCAACUGUCGUCGGUGCCUACUGGUGAACCAGCAUCUAGUUUCCCUGUAAAAUCGCUGUUUGAUUUCAAUACCAGUAGCAGUAUCCCUGGUGACAAAGUAACUUUUCCUGCUGCAACGGUGUCAGUUUCAUCUUCACCUUUGUCUAGCACGUCACUUGAUUCCGUUUCCACGUUAUCUACACCAUUAUCACGUCCAGUGCCAUCCUCUACACAAGAUUCAGGUAUAAUUACGUUGACCUCUGUCUGUUUCUUUUGAUUCAACAUAAUUUUAUAGUCAACUAUGGCAACUUUAAUAUCUGGUCAAUGACACCGCUGUUAUCAAUUUCAGUUCCAACAUCUAUUCCCAUCAGCUUAGCAUCAGUCCCUCAAAAGUUUUCAGUCACAUCGACAUCUGCAGUUUCAGGUUCAGCUACGGGGUUCAGUGUUCCAUUUGGUAAAUCGUUGACCAGUGCCAAUUUUGAUCUCAAUCAAGAAGCUACGUCAACACCUUCUCAAUCACCUGGCCCCACAACUGGCUUCUCUUUUAAGUUACCAGCUUUGUCUCCAUCAUCCCCUGAAAUUGUCACAUCUUCAGCUGGCCAAUCUUCAUUUCUUCCACCAACUUCCACAGCAUCACAAGUGUCAUCUAGUCUGGUCUCUGCAACCAGUUCCCUAACAGAUAAUAAUCGUUUGUUUUCAUCAGCCUCCUCAUCGUUGACUGCUCCUGACGCGUCUCAGUCUCCUCAAGUUUCCACCCCGUCUUCUGCUGAGUCCAUUACAGAGCCAGUCUCAGAGCCUAAAAAACCAGAUGCUCAUAGUUCGCCAAUUCCAAGUAUGGGAAGUACUGUAGAUUCUGUAGCAAAUGCGACAAAAGUACAAACUGAGCUGCUGCCAGUGAAAAGUGAGAUUCCAAACCCAGAGACUACAGUAACCCCUGUCAGUUCAUCUGGGUUCCUGUCUGGGUUUUCAUCCGGAGCUCAGUCUAGUCCUUUAAGCAUGGCGCCGCCUUCAUUCAGUUGGCCAGGUAGUUCUCAGCCGCAACAGCUAUCGUCGACACCUGUCUCUUUCCCUGCAUCUUUAUCAACUUCUGCAAGUCCAUUUGGUGAGAAAAAAGACACUGUAGAUACACAAGAAGAUGAAAUGGACGAAGAAGCUUCAGAGGCUAGCCAGACGACUGAACUUAGUAUGGGUGGUUUUGGAGGUUUUGGGCUUGGGUCAACUCCAAACCCGGCUGCUCCCAAAGCAUAUCCAUUUGGGGGUCCCUUUGGUAAUGCUACAACAACAACAAGUAAUCCGUUCAAUAUGGCAGUCCCCAGCGGCGAGCUAUUCCGACCAGCAUCAUUCAAUUUUCAAAAUCCUCAACCAUCUCAACCGGCAGGGUUUGGUGGAUUUUCUACAACACCUUCUCAGACACCACCUACUCAGAGCGGGUUUGGCCAACCGUCACAGAUUGGUGGAGGACAGCAAGCUCUAGGAUCGGUUCUUGGUUCAUUUGGGCAGUCGAGGCAGAUUGGUGCUGGUCUCCCUGGAGCUACGUUUGGUGGUCCAAGUGGAUUUGGUGGCUCUAACCCAGGGAAUGGCCUCCCAAAUGCACCAGCGUCUGGGGGUUUUGCAGCUGCUGGUUCUAGUGCUACUGGUGGCUUUGCGGCCAUGGCUUCAGCUGGUAGGGGAUUCGCUGGAGCUUCUUCUAGUCCAACUGGUGGUUUCGCAGCUUUAGCCUCAGCUAGUGGAGGCUUUGCCGGUGCUGCUCCAGGAGGAGCCGCCAGUGGAUUUGGUGGACUUGGUUCAGGCUCCGGAGGUUUUGGAGGCUUUGCUCCUCCUAGUGGUGGAGGUUUCGUGGGAGCAGCAGGAGGUAAAGCAUCUUAACAUUGAUCUAUACAUACGCAUGCUCAAACAUUUUGACCAUUUUGUCUGUCGUUGACAGGUGGUGGUUUUGGAGGUUUUGGCAGCCAAGGACAAGGCCAAGCCGGUGGUGGUGGGUUCGCAGGCUUUGGUGGCAACCCCGGAGCAACAGGAAAGCCAUCGGAACUCUUCACACAGAUGAGAAAAUGAGACAAUUUGUUCAAAUCAGUAUGCAAAUGCAAGCGAGUCUCUCAUCUUUUACGUAGACCUAAGCUAGCUUGUCUCAAGAAAUUUUGGUCUAGCUCUCAAGUCUCGACUUACAGUCAAGUCGUAUAUUUUUUUCUAUAAAUAUUGUGUGUUUGUCUACUCCUUUUUUUUGUUAAUGUUGAAAUGUAGUUACGUCAUCAACUAACCUUGAAAAUGUUAUAAAUUGCUGACUUAACACUCACGUGGCUCAUGCCUUAAUGGCCAUACAGUUAAAGCUUUUUCAUCAUCUUUUGAAAGCUGGUUUGGCUUCUUUAUUUUUUAUAACAGCAGAAGAGAUAUUUCCCUUUCUUAAUUAUAAAUCCAGAAACUUUCUUGCUAAUUAAAAAGUGAUUUUAAAUCUGGAGAACUAUAAACAAACUGAGGAAGGUAAUAAUAAAAAAAAAAAAAAAAGAGAGAAAGAAGUAGUGGGCCUAGUGGGGAACUGGGAAGGAAAGGAGCAGAGAGGGCGUUAUUCGCAGUCUUUGAUUUUAAUUAAAUUUGGUAAGAGAGAGAUUUAAUUUCUCGGGAGAAUAUAUUUUCUGUUUUCCUCUUCUUCGAUUCGAUGUGAUCCCGCCAAACAAACUCUUUACUCUCUCCUCCUCCUCACGAUAUUCUCCACCGUCGAUUCUUCAGCCCUUCUCUCUCUCUCUCUCCGUUGAUCUGUGCUUUGUCGCCGGAAAAGUUCUCUGAAUUUUCGACAUUAGAAGCUUCUUCGUGAUAUUGUCUUUUAUGAAGGGACAUCGGAGUAGCGACGAGAUUUAUGAUGCUUUGUGGUUCUUUGCGAGAUCGAAUACAGCCUUGGCUUCGCGACUAUGUUAGGCUCCAAUCUCUCGCCGUCAUCCUUAUUUACACUCAGGUUAUCUCCCUCUCUCUCCCCGUGGUUGAUUCAAAUCUGUUUUCGGUCUAGGGUUCAUCGAUUCGAGAAAUUGUGUCAUCGUUGUGAGAAUCGCGUUUUUUUUUUUCUGAAUUGUUGUUGUUUCCGGUGGUUUCAGAUUGGGUGUGCGCUGAUUGGAUCACUAGGAGCAUUAUACAAUGGAGUUUUGCUAAUAAACUUGGCGAUUGCGUUGUUUGCGCUUGUGGCAAUCGAGAGCAAUAGCCAAAGUCUCGGCAGGACCUACGCUGUUCUUCUUUUCUGCGCUAUUCUUCUUGAUGUCUCGUGGUUCAUUCUUUUCACCCAUGAGAUAUGGUAUCGCUCUCAAACUAAAACCUUGUUUGUGAAUCUGAACUAAGCAGCAUUGCUUUUGAGAGAUUUUACACACAUAUUCGACUAAAAAUUGGAUAUCAGUUUCACAACUUUUGUUUAGGCACUCUAUUCAUUUUGAAAUGAUUGAUCAUUAGCAUAUUUCCCUUCCGAUUUCUAAAGCAUUUCGAUAUAAGGAAAUAUUGUUCAUAUGAUGCCCUUUUGAUUGACAAAACAUCUCCUUUGUCGACCCCAGGAGCAUUUCAGCUGAGACGUAUGGAACCUUCUUCAUAUUUUCAGUGAAGCUGACCAUGGCUAUGGAAAUGAUUGGCUUCUUUGUGAGGCUGUCGUCGUCACUCUUAUGGUUUCAGAUUUAUAGGCUGGGGGCUUCUAUUGUGGACAAUUCACUUCCUCGUGAAACAGAUUCAGAUUUACGAAAUAGCUUCUUGAACCCACCAACUCCUGCUAUAGCUAGACAAUGUUCAGGUGCAGAAGAAAUCUUGGGAGGUUCUAUGUACGACCCAGCCUACUACACCUCUCUUUUUGAAGAGGGCCAAACCAAUAUGAAUUCACCCAAGGCAACACAGGUUUUUCUGCUUUCUACUCUCUUCCCCUGUUGACUUGUUUAUGUGCACUCUUUGUAGUCGAGCUUUCCGCUAUUUUUUCUAUUUCGAGUUUUUGUAAUUUAUCUAGUACGGUCUCUCUGACUGUAUUUCUUCCUGCCUGGUUACCUUUAUCAAGCCUCCCAUCUAAGAUGAGUUUCCUGGUUCGCGUUCGAAUCCGUUUGAGCUGUCGUGGAUGCAAUGCAAUAUACCGAAUCUGGGAUAAACUAAUAAGCUAGAUGAUUCUUUAUCUUCUUUUAGCUCUUUGUCCUUAACAAGAUAGGUCUCUGAGUAAUGAUAUUUCCCGUUUUAGGAUGUACGUACACACACUACAUAGUGAUAAUGAUGGGAAGUUUUAUCUAACAGCAGUAAAGAAAGAUGCUACUCAGCCAAUUUAAAGUUUUUCAUCUUUGUGUCCUUUGUAGGUGAAUCAUUAUUUAGCUGGGAACAAUGGAUCACCAUCUGCUGCAGAAGCCUCUCAGAUUAAGUCUCCCACAUCCAGAUCACUACAUGCAAUUGAUGUUAGUCUUUAUUGAUUUGACAUUUUCAUGGUUCUUGGUCGUAUUGCACUAUGUCGUGUUUUUGUUGCGUUUCCUUAUCACCCAUCAGAUAUCAUAAGGAAAUUCUCGUCUCAACUUCUUGUAGGAAGAGAAGGGUUUGAAGCAACCGGGGAUGUCUUCAUUAUGAGAACCCCAUUCAAGAACGGUGGUGCUGUUUUACAUUCUAAACAAGCAACUUGCCUGCUGUGCAUUAGCUAAUGUUUAGGAUAUGAAGCAGACGCAACUAUUAUUGGGCUAGCGAGGGAAUCAUGAAAUCUUCAUGUCCAUACAGAGGGCAGCAAGAUUAUAUACCACCUAUCAGGAGAUGAGAUUCUAUAUGUUAGACGCCAAGUAAGCACCGUUUCUACUUUUGCUUUUUUCAUCAUUUAUUUUGUAUGAAAAUAUUUAUUUUUUCGGGAUCUCUUGUUAGAUUGGAGUCAGAAUCUACUUGAUGCAUCAUGAUUCUUUCCGGGUUUUUUCUUGUGUGUAAAUGGAGAUACUUUUGGUUUUUGUUGCAAUGGAGAUAGUAUAAGAUUCCGGCGUUGAUAUGUUUCGUCUGUUUGUGUUUGAUAUGAAAUUUUAGGGAAAUGAUCUUGAGUUCUGAAAAUAUUGAUAAACUAGCUUGAAUCUUGUGGGUUGCUCAUGCGUUGGUGAGCAUGAAGACUGUAGUGACAUUUUGCAGAGAGAUGAUAUGAGACUUUGAGAGAUUGUUGGACGGUCUGGUUUGGACACGGCUUGAAACCGGUCCAAACGCUCUUUGGACAUGGUUGAUAACGUCAGAAUAAGCGGUUUAGACCCGGUUUGAUACGUUCUACUCGGUUAAUACGGAAGUUGGACACGUCUAAAGGGGGAAAAUCAUAAUCCUUAACUUCGAGUUGGCUCCAACUUCAAUCUAAACCUCCAAUUUUUUUAAUUCCUACUACAAACUCUACUAAUCUCAUUGAUACACCUGAAAGAAAUGACUCAUCGUGUCCGAAUUUGCAGCGUUAGCUUCACUAACGAUUUGUUCAUUUCUCUUAGUUGGCUUUUAGUGAAACAUUAAAAGCCCAUAAAUUAUUAAAAGAGCCCACGAGUAAGUCGAGCUAAAAAGGAUAAAAGCCGAUAAAAUAAAUAAAAAACCCAAAAUCCAUGUGUUGCUGUUUCGAGAAAAGUCCACUGAUAAUUAAUCAGCUGAUUCUAAUUAAAUUAAAAAAAUGGUGUCAAAAUCCGCAAGCUUAUUAAAGACAGAGAGAGACCCAGAAGGAUCUGGAAUCAUCCUUGUUCUUAUUUUCUCACGUCAAUAUUCCUCCUUUCGUAGAUAUACCACAAUCCCACAAAUACAAUCUUUUUUUUUCUAGUUUCAAAGAAGACAGUAUCAGAAAUUUUUCCUUAUCGCUCUACUUUUGUUUGUGCUUAACGGAGAUUAUAUCUGCGGUUGAAGAAGACUCGAAGGUUAACAAAACGUGCUUAAUUUCUGGUAUUUUUUUUUUUUGAGUUAGGUUGUUCUUAUUUUCAUCAUUUACUCGACACGGCUGAUUUAGGCUAGCAAAUGGGUUGUUUCCGAACGCAGAUUCUUCUUUCUUCUUUCGAAAAUUUUUUUUGUUCAGUUUUGAAAAAAAAAUCAUUUCUUUCUUCUUUGAGUCCGAGGACUAUCAUACAUCUAUGAUUAAUGACUUGGUUUCAAAAUAUUGUCACGAUUUCGUCCUUUUUUAUGAAUGUUGUGGUCGUGUUUAAAGACUUGGUUUCAAAACUCCAUUUAGCGAGGAAGAAACAUCAAACCAUAGAUUCAGUGUCGAUAAAAACGCAGUUUUCAACUCACUGAUUCUAGGGUUUGAUGUUUCUUCCUCGCUAUAUUUGGUUUGAAUGAAGUUCCUUAGCCGCCUGAUGAAAAAUUAAGUCUUUUUUGCUGUAUUUGAAGAUUGUUUUGUUAAAGCUGAGUGUUGUUUUUGGCUAUGAACAGGGUUACUACAAGUACAAGGAAUCGGCCAUGGAAGAAGCAAUUGCAUCGAGGUACUGGUGUCACAUGUGCUCUCAAACUGUGAAUCCAGUAAUGGAAGCUGAGAUCAAAUGCCCCUUUUGUCGGAGUGGGUUUAUUGAAGAGAUGCAAGAGGAACAAGAUUCUUCAGAUACCAACGAUCAGAGAGCAAACCAUUCUCUCU
rnacentral:lncRNA from 1 species